AUACUCAGCACAUGUUUGGAGGGAGAACUGCUCUUGGAACUUUGUAGGAAUUGUUUCGAAGUCAAACUAAAUCACUAAAUCAUACAGAUUAGAAUCAUAAUCUCUCCUCUCCCCAUAGAGAGCUCAGUGUUAGAAAAUAUUAGUAAAAUUAUUGAAAUGUCAACUUCAUCUUUUUUUUGAGACCAGGCUCGACCCCAUUUCUAUUCAUCUUCUUUAUGUCAACAUUUGUAUCAAGAGAUUUAUCAUCUUUGAUUUUGACUCUUCGUACAUGAAUGCAUUUGUACCAUUUUAUGUAUUUGUUCUGUAAUGCCUACAAUUACUUACCUGCAGUAACUUAGUUAAUGGUGGUGCAUGCUUGGGAGUUAAAAGUGUACAGUAAAGAUAGUUCCUCUAAUACAAGGAUAUAGAAUUAAUCACUCUCAAUAAAGUUACUUGAUUGCUGAAGGUUAUUGGUGGAGAAUUGCAAGCUGAUAAAUAAUUGCUCAACUUAGAUUUGAGAUAACUUGUGGAAAUUACUUCUUCAGUAGGUCAUGUUGAGUUUGCAUGCAUCAUCGGAUUUCAUAUCAAGUGAUGGUUAAUUAGAUCUCAGAUCCUUGAUACACCCAUUUUUUGUAGUUGUAAAUUCUGGUCUAAUAAAUUUUGGCCCUUACUGUUUGUACACUAUAGGUAUUCUGGGAUCACUAGGAAGGAUAUAAAGACCCGCUGUCCAGUUUGCCGUGGUCUCUGCGACUGUAAAAAAUGUGCCCUUGGUCAAACCAAGGGUGCUAUGCGUAAGGUGGUCUUUCUUUUCAAUUUCACCAUAGUGUGAGCAAUUUGACAAUGCCAUUUUCUUGUUUUAUAUUUAUUUUUUGGUGUUUAUAUCUUGGAUCUCCAGGAAUCACCAAGUGGUGAGGGGAAGAUACUCAGCAUAAAAAUUUCCAACCAUCAAUUUUACAAGCUUUUACCUGUAAAACUUGACCAGGAACAGCUUGAUGAAUUGGAAUUAGAAGCUAAAAUACAAGGUUUGUUUGUGCUAUUCUUUUUUUCAAACCAGACCUCUGUGGUUCUAUUAUGACCUAAUUGUCUGCUCUUAUUUAGGAACAAAGAUAUCUGAUGUUCGAGUCCAGGUUGCUGAAAAUGGCCAGAGCGAGUCACUGUACUGGUAAGCUCUAAUCUCUUAUGUUGCUAUCAGUUACAUGCAAGCUAGUAACAUGUAUCUCAAUUUAAUCAGUUUUCUCCCUUCACUUUGUGUUAUGUUGAGGAUGACACGUAUCAAUCUUGCAUAUUAUAUGAAUGGUUAAAUAUUUCUUUGGUCAUGCAAAUGUUAAUCUGCGUGCGGUUAUCACUAGCUAAGUACCAUUACUGUUCUAGUUGUGUCAGUUCUGUUUCACCUGUUCAUGUCGUAAAACAAGGCAACUCUAUUACCUUCGCCUGUUAAUCUAACAUUAGAUGUGCUGAAAGAGUUAUUGUACCCUCAUGGUGCUUUUGCAUUGAAGCAUCUAUAUUGAGUCAUCCUAGGGAGAGCUCAGUUUUUUUUUUAAAAAAAAGUUUACAUCAUGGUUUACGCAUUUCUUUUGUUUAUAUAUGCCUCUUGUUGUGUUUAUGCUGCCUUUUCGUGUAUUUGUUUAUUGCAGCUGCCAUCUUGUUUCAAUUUCAAAUUUAUUAACCAGAGAUCUUAUUGAAUGUUUAUUUUGAAAGCAGCAAUAACUGUAAGCUCUCAGCGAGCCAGUUCCUGAGAUGCUGCCCGGCAUGCCCAUUUAAGCUGUGCCUAAGUUGCUGUCACAAGAUACGUGAAGGAAACAUGUCAGACAGCACCCCUGAAGAUAAAUUCAAGAACAGGUUGCUUCAGCAAGAGUCUGUCCAUGAGGAUGGCAGCAUUACUUGCCCUUCAAUUGAGCUUGGUGGCUGCGGUGAUGCGCCGCUGAACUUGAUAUACGCAUCCCCUUCUGGACAGUCUGAAGAGCUCAGUUCAGAUGAUGAACUACAUGCUCCAGGCAAUCAUUCUGGAGUGAAGGAUGCUCAGGUUCAUAGCUCACCUGCACCAGAGAGUAAUGGAAGAUUAUCUGCUGCCCAGACGGAAACCGUCUCCACAUAAUCACCUAAGAUGUAGCUCCAGUUGCAGGUAUGCAUUCAUCUUUCAGGUUGGAGCUCAAGUUGACAUUCAUUCUGUAGCCUGAAGAGGUGUAUGAUAUGGUCAGAAUUUGGUAGAGGGUAGGUUGCCUGAUUUAGCGAGAUUAUCGGCCUGUAAGGCCAUUGAUUUUAGCUCUGUGACAUGGGGAUUCUUAUUUCAUGUGUUGUUCAUGUUCAUCUUUGAUCCGGAAGUCAUUAUGUUAAACAUCGUUGUACAUAUGGUUAUGACUUUAUUGUCAUUGCCGAGAGAUGAUGGAAAUCAUGGAAUGGUUGUACUGCCGUUAAUUAAGGGGAGAUUACUUUUUGCUGGCUAUUUUUAGAUGUGGUUUCAGUGUUCACUCUUCAGUUGAGCUUGAAUGUUACUGUUGACAUGUGAGGGUGGUUUCAUGUUUGUUCUGUCAUGCGACUCGAGCGAGUUGGGGCGGCGGCGAUGCUACUGGUCAUGGGUGGCAAGAGUUGGGGCGGGGUGAUGGCAACAUGGUUACAUCAUACAUGGAGGACACCGCUGUUGAUGGAGGUGGUCAGGCGACACUGGGAAGCGGGGACAGGCGUGUGGCACAGAGAAGAAUCGCUGAAAGAACGCAGACAGCGGUGUGCUGAUUUGGUAGAGGAGGAAGAUGAUGUGUAGACUGUUGGAUCAUCUUCAUCCAACGAGACACCAUUGUUGACUCAGGCGACUGGCUGUUAUUAUCAUUCACAGUUUUAACAUGCAAUACUGCAUUCAGUUACAUUUAAAAAAAAUCAUUAACAUUCCAUACAUUUCAAAAAUAAAAAAUUCAGUAAUAUUCCGUAGAUGCUAACAAGGUACCACAGAGUUCUUUUUAUUAAAAAAAAAGGUUACCGCAGCAUAAAAUAAAAGCAGUUUCCCAUUGCGGUCAUUAACAUUGCAAUACUGCAUUCAGUAAUAUUCCCAGUUUCCCAUUGCGGUCAUUACCGACCUUAUUCACGUCUCACGUGUCACGUCCAAGGUUGUUCACGACCGACAAGAACUGGGCGAACGCCGCACGCGAUGAUCCGCCAUCCUUCCAGGCCAUUGCCGCGGCAUCCUUGAGCGCCGCCACUCGCGAUCUGAGCCGCUCCCCUUCCUCGGACUCCAUCACCAGCCUAACCUUGGCCUCCACCUCCCCGGCCUCGACCAGCCCCUGUUGGCACCAAACAACUUCCAAGCCGAUCCCUGCUUCCUCCACCAUGAACACCUUGUUCAUCUUCUGCUCGGAGUACAACGGCCAGCAAAGCAUCGGCACGCCCGCCUUGACCCCCUCGAGCACCGAGUUCCAUCCGCAGUGCGUCACGAAGGCGCCCGUGGCGUUGUGGUGGAGCACCUCCACCUGCGGCGCCCAGUGCUUGACGACGAGCCCACGACCUUUGGUCCUCUCCGAGAACCCGUCCGGCAGAAGCGCGUCGACGUCCGGCUCGGACGGCCUCCCCGGACCGGCGCGGAGAGGGGCUCGCACCACCCACAGGAACCGGUGGCCGGAUCUCUCCAGGCCGGCGGCGAUCUCCCUGAGCUGCUCCUCCGAGUGGGUGGCAGCGCCUAUGCUCCCAAAGCAGAGGAACACGACGCUGCGCUCUGGCUGCGUGUCCAGCCACGCGAGGCACUCGUGCUUGCCUUCUGCCUCGGCGCCGGCACCCGAGGCGACCAAUGGCCCGACGCAGUACACCGGGGGCAUCCUGCGCUCGCUGCCGCCGGGAAGAAGAAUCUGCAGAUCCCUGAGAGCUCCCACCGCCCGUUCCUCCAGCGAAGCGAACGUGUUCACCAAGAUGCCGUCGGCCUCCGUGUUCCUGCACAUGAAGUUCAUCAUCACCUUGUAGAUCUCACUCUCCGGGUCCUCGAGCAGUUCAGCGCAGAGGUGGGAAGCCGGUAAGGGCACCACGCCGUGGAUGUCGAGAGGGGUGUCUCCUAGCUCCCUGAAGCUUGGCUGGCCUUCCUCGCGCAUGGACGGAAGCUGGACGAACACCGCGAGCGCGGAGGCGUUCAUGGCGUAGAAGGUGUAGCCCGGGACCCCGAGCUCCUUCGUGACGUCUAACGCUUCCAUGGACACCGCGUCCACAAUCACCGCGCGGACGCUCCGGGGAGGCAUGGAUGAGAGGAACUCACGGAGGUGCUCGUUGUAGCGCCUGACCAUCUCCAAGUACCCGAGGAGAAACUCCACGCCCCUCUUGAGGGUGGGAGGGUUUUUGAUCCGAGGGAGCGUGUGGAAGGUGACCGACGGCUUGGCGGAGGCGACGCCGCGGACGGUGGCGGCGAGGGCGACAUCUUGGUCGAGGGUGAGGUCGAUUAGCGCGACGGCGACGGCGUAGCCGUCCGCCAGGAGGACGUCGGCGAGCUGCAUCAUGGGGACGAAGUGGCUGACGGCGAGGCCGGGGUACAGGACGAUGGUCUUCUCCAUGGCCUGUUUUACUUUCUGGGCGUGGCUCUCGGUGCCGGCAGUCGGCACUAGGUUUCGCCUUCCCGUCUUCCCGGGGAAGGAGAUGUUGUGGACUGUUAGACAAGAAAAGGCAAAAAUCUAUAUGAUUGAGGAUAGGACGAGCCGCGACAGGUCCGCGCGACCCCCUUUUGUCCUGCCAUCGUGCUGGAGUGUUGGGCCUUGUUUAGUUGGCUAAAUUGGGAGGUGUCAAAUUAGUGUGCUGGCACUGUAGCACACUGUAGCGUUUCGUUUAUUUGUGAAUUAUUGUUCAAACAUUGACUAAUUAGGCUCAAAAGAUUCGUCUCGCAAAGUACAACAAAACUGUGCAAUUAGUUUUUAAUUUCAUCUAUAUUUACUACUCUAUGCAUGUACCGCAAGUUUGAUGUGAUGGGAAUCUUCUUUUUGCAUAGUGCCAAAGUUGGGAGUUAGGGAUGAAAUAAACAAGGGCUUGGUUUGGUUUAAUGUCCCUGUUUCACGUGAUAUCAAUAAUGACAUCAACUAGAUGAAAUCAUUGUAUUUUCUUUAAACGAGCAUAAACACGCGACCCCCUUUUGUCCUGCCAUCGUGCUGGAGUCUUGGUUUGGUUUAAUGUCCCUGUUUCACGUGACAUCAUCGAUGGUUUGGUUUAAUGUCCCUGUACAUAUGAAUUAUUCCUACGUUUGUCCAUGUAUCCGAGUCCUUGAUCUAUGGUUCUCUUGGUCGAGGGUUGUGCCUUGCAAGGUCAAGUCAUAAUUGGGACGACGGCAAUGUCCAUGGCGCACGCUUUGCCGCUUGAAUUAACUCUUUCUUGUUAGGCACGUAUGUAAUACUGAUGGUCUGAUGCCACAUCAGACUAUAGCUCACUAAUUAACCAUCUGCUGUAAAACUAUCCUGAACACUAGCCUCUCGGUAAAUAAACACAAUUCUAUGCAUUAUUUCUUUUAUACUAAUAAAUUCUAGGACUGUUGAUCCCUACAUGUAGACAAUAUGCUCGAAAUACAUAUAAAAUAACAAUUAACAGAGUAUAUGUCAGGACCCCAGGUAUGAAAUACUCAAGUUCCUGUUGUGCUUACUGUACUUGUCCCAUGAUCAGUUCACAAGUACGCACAAUAGCACUGGUAUCACAAUUGCACACAAAAAUUUGUUAGUAAAAUUAAAAUUUAAUCAGAGCUAAAAUAUAAUCUACAACCAAAGUAAAUAGAAAUACAGGACUUCCAUCCUACAGUAGUGUGCCUCACCAUCCCACAACUGACUGGGAGUUAGUCCUAGAAAGAACCAACGUUGCAAAACCCACAUCCUUCGGCACGGAACUGAACAGAGACGAUUCUCCUUCAAACUCUGGAUUUUUAAUUUAAGCAAUAAGGGUGAGUUCAAUUUUGUACUCACAAGACUUAGAGUGUAUAGAAAAAUCCUAUCAUAAGGUAAACAAGGAAGGCUGACAGGUUCAUGCUGCAUUUUAUUUAAAUUCAUCAUUUUACGUAUAUUUAAUAAAUUAGUUUAGUAUAUUUAAAAUAGAAUGGCAUUACCAAUCAUGACUCACCAUUUCCCAUACCGCAUUAGGUCCUCUGACCAGCUAUAUCGGUCCGAAACAUUUGAAUCGGUGCAUGUGAUAUCAUAUAACCCUUAUCCAGGUUUUCAAAACCAAAACUCUAUAACCGGCGGCUAGUCCAAGUUGCUCAUGACUGUGAGCACGGCUAUUCGAAUAGUCUUUAACGCUCUGCAGAGUUUGUACACUUUACCCACACGACAUGCUCCACUUUGAUGCCAUCGCAAAUUGACACAUUUCCGAGAUGUGCCGGCAAGUGAGCAUGACAGAGUUGUUACAUCAGUCGGACCCGUCAUAAUGCUACACAACAGACUAUAGAAGCACCUCCAUACAUUUGCCCGGGUUAGCUACCCCGACACCGUUGAGCAUCUCGUGCACUCGGGCGGUAACAUCACCUCGGAGCCAACUGACUUAGUAAGCUAAGGCCGUACCCAUUAAGCACAUGUGGUUGUACUAUAACACUUCGACUAGAAGAUGCCAAUUUCCGGUCCUUAAUUUGACACGGGUGAGAAUCCCUAAAAUGCGCCGAAAACGCAUAUAGGACCAAGUCAUAUCCACCAUUCAUUUUAUCAUCCAUCUUUCUUUAUCCUCAUAUCAUCAUGACCUCUAGACCAUAUUAUCACCCGCAUCUACCAUAGAGUUUUUAUUUUUUCAAAUAUAAACCAUAUUUAUCUUUCAAAUCAUCCCUCCCAAGUGAUGCUAUUUAAGUGACCGCGUAUUAGCUCUAAGCAAACUAAGCAUAUGACACCGAACUGAACGAAUAACCCAUAGCCUUACGGCGACAAGGUAUAAAAGGUUUAAAAUAACAAGGCAGGUAUAUGUAUUAAAGUAGCGUGUCUACCCGAUACAAAAUGACAUUUGGACUCAUAAAAUCAUCGUCGCAUGCAUGUAAAUCACAGGCUUAGGCAUUUAAAUAGGAGCAAAGAUGAUCAAGGGGGUGCUUGCCUUGUUGCUGAUCAUUCAUGUUCUCGAGUAUCAGGUCAGAGCCUCGCUAGGCAUCCGGCACAGCUAUGAACGUCUCGUCGUCUGCUCGAAUCGGACGAAUGCAAGGUACAUGCAAAACAACCAAAUAAACAGCAAUGAAGAACCGAAUAAACACCAUCAGAUGAUAGAGCAUGAUUUUAGAACAUCUUAGCAGAAAGAAUCGAGUUAUUUGGAGUUCAUAUGAGUGAGAUAUACAAGUUUGAAGUUUCGAUAUGAGAUUAAAAAAACAGAACUGUUCGGAUUAACUUCGAUUUUUCCAUCAUUUUCGUCAUUUAUUUUUGCACCGUAAACUCACAUGAAUAGGUUCUAUUUCAUUGGCAUGACAUGCAUUCUUCAUGUAUUUCUCUUUUUAUUUUCCAACAGGAAAAUGGGUCAGGUGACGUCAUGCUUAAGUCAGCAUGAUGUCACUGCCCUUUAAACUGAGCAGAGCACCGCGAGUGCGCGGGGCAGCUUGGGCUGGCGGUGCCACGCGGGCUGAGCACGGGACGGCCAGCGACGCAAGGCUGCGUGGUGGAGCGGGCGGGCACUGCGCGAGGCAGAGCGUACUACGCACGCGGCUGGGCGCUCGCGGCGGGAGACGGCUGUGGUGGCGUAGUGCGGCGGCUGGGAGCCCGGCCGGUCGAGCAAGCUCGUGGCCAGCCCGUUGCCGUGUCACGCGUUCGAACGCGUGCCUGAGUGCGAGUACGUGCGCACGCGGCGCCGGCCGUGACAAGGAAGCGCACGUGGCCGUGUGCGUGCCGGCUUGGCCGUGCCAUGGAAACGGCCGGCGGUUCGGUACGCUCGCAUCAAGGCCAUGACGGGGCCAGGAUCGCCGCAGCAUGCGGCCGGGCGUGUGCAGCGGCCAAGCUACGUGCUUGUGCGGUCGGUGCUCGCUAGCGUGAUGGUGACGUGGUGUCCCACGGCCGCGACACGGCUUGCUGCUCCAAUUUGCUUGCCGAAGGAGAUUAAGAGGAGAGAGACAGAGACGUGCUUGGAUUUGGAGGAGUAGUGGGCAAGUGAGUGGAUAGCUGCUGACAUGCAUCUCGCGUGGGAGAAAAGAGCAGAGGGAGAGAUCGAGUGAAGGGUUGGUACUUGGUAGCAGGCAAGGAGGAGCUGGUGGUGCUCUCGUGCUACUGCUGCUGAUUAUUUACUUGCCGACAGAGAGAGAAGGGAUAGGGGAGACAGAGGUGGGGUGGACAGGAUGAAUAUAAGCACGAGCCACGACUUUUAGCUCGGUCAGAUGCCUCGAGUUUGGUGAGAAUGCAUCAUCAUCCAUCCAUGACAGCGGCGCAGCAACGGUGUCCUUCGCGCGGGCGGCGUGGUCAGGUGGCUUGGAUGGCAGCGGCGCUCGGCACUUCGUCUUCCGUGACGUGCGCACGAUUCCUGCGCAAGGCAGUAAAGGAGGAAGAAAGGGAAGAGAAGGGUCCGGCUCACUUGCGGGCUGAGCGUGGUAAGAGGAUGACGAGCGGAACCGCGAGACCCACAUUCAGAUUAUGGUGAGGACAAAGUUGGGCCUGAAUGAAAAAGAUGGGCCGCAGCAGGUAUUGUCCAGAAUGAGAUUUAGUUUAGAAAAAGAUUUCGUAUUUGAUUUGGAUUUCAGAAGUUCAAACGUAAUUCUAUUUAUUUAAACCUUCUCCAAAAAUUCCAAGAAAUUCACCAAAAAUUACUUUGAUGACUUAGAACUUUUGUAGCAAAGUUUGAAGAUUUAUUGUAUUACUUAUUUUUUAACAACAUUUUAAACAUGCUCAAAGAGGGUUGUUAAUGCAUAAAACAUGAGAAGAACAAAUAAAAGCCAAAGAAAAUUUUAUUUAUUUAUUUAUCUUAAUUUCAUUUCUGUUUGAAUUUUGGGCUGUUACAGUAUAUGCAGUUAGUGCAAAUUGACACAAAGUUAGAUCUAAAAGAGAAUCAAUAUAAACGACUCUAAACUCCAAAUUAGAUUGCAUAAUGAAUAUCUCGUCAAAACCACUGAAUUGAACAUAUCACAUGCCAAUUUUGCAGAUAGGAUGGGAGAGACACGUCACACGCAAAAUGCAAAUGAGACUAUGAGAGAAAAUGUCAGCUCGUAGGAUUGCAGUCCACAGCAGCUUGGGUGGCCCACAGUUGUUGUUGCUUUGUUGCACCCACCGGCCAGGGCAAGGCCGGCGUUGCUUUGCCGCCUGGCGCGCGCUCGUCCGACUGCAGGCGUGGGCUGACCGAGCGGGCCCAAUUCCAUAUCGAUGCAGGCGUGGGCUGCAGUGUGCUCGAAGGGCCGAAAUUUCAGCUCGCGGGCCGACGGUCCCGCCCAGCCGCUCUGAUCUGUCGAUUGGCAUGGGAUUAAUUCCUAUCGAAGAAUUACUGUAUAGCUAGCCCGUCUUAGUAGGUGAGUUCAGAAGAUGGGCCCAUAAGUCAGUGGCGCAAGGUCACUAAUGCAAAGAAGACUCGCCUAAGCGUUCUGGAGUGAAGAUUGCUCGGAUUCAUCGCUCACCUAUACCAGACAGCAAAGCAAGAUUAUGUGCAGCAGAGACGGAAUUCCUGUUCUGUGGGGAGUACCAUAGAAUAUUUUGUUGGAGUUGUUCCAAAUUCACUCCAGGAUAUAGGCCGGGCUUCUGACGGAGCGGAGGCCCAUCGCCGGAGACUCCAUAGAAUGUUUUGUACGGUACAGCAUAUACACCCUUGCUAGGGUUUCGUGGAGACUUGAUUCUCUUGUAAGCCGCCAUAGGCGUGUAACCCAAAACUCCUGAGAUAGUGAGAUUGUUGCUGGCUGGUACCCGUGGUUUUUCCCCUUCAUAUUGAAGGGGUUUUCCACGUUAAAUCGUGUGUCUCCUCUGUGGCUUGAUUCUUUACUUCAUAUUUCCAUACGUCGUUCAUAACAUGUUGUAUCGCAAUGUUCAUUCAAUAACAAUCUAUAAUAAGCUACCACAGCGUACAGGCAAAAGCGUUUCAAUUUCAUCUCAAUUAUGCAUCACAAUGGAGUCAGCGAUGCGUGAAGCACGUCUUCUCCCGUCCGACAAGAACUGGCCAAACGCCGCGCGCGACGAGCCGCCGGCCUUGCAGGCGACGGCCGCGGCAUCCCUGUGCGCCGCCACUCGCGCCCUGAGCCGCUCCCCUUCCUCGGACUCCAUCACCAGCCUGACCUUGGCCUCCACCUCCCCAGCCGUGACCAUUCCCUGCUCCCACCCAGCCAUCUCCACGCCGACCCUGCCCUCCUCCACCAUGAACACCUUGUUCAUCCUCUGCUCCGCGUACAUCGGCCAGCAGAGCAUCGGCACGCCGGCGGUGAUCCCCUCCAGCACCGAGUUCCACCCGCAGUGCGUCAAGAACGCGCCCGUCGCCCGGUGGCGGAGCACCUCCACCUGCGGCGCCCAGUGCUUGACGACGAGGCCCCGGCCCUUGGUGCUCUCCAGGAACCCGUCGGGAAGGAGGGCCUCGAGGUCCGCGUCGGCGCCGGACUCGAACAGCCUCGGCGUGUCGCCGCUCACAGGGGCGCGCACCACCCAGAGGAAACGGUGGCCGGAGUUCCGCAGGCCGGCGGCGAUCUCCCUGAGCUGCUCCUCCGAGUGGGUGGCGGCGCCGGUGCUCCCGAAACAGAGGAACACGACGCUGCGCUCUGGCUGCGCGUCGAGCCACGCGAGGCACUCGUGCUUGUCUUCUGCCUCGGCGCCGGCGGCGCCAGAGGCGACCAGUGGCCCGACGCAGUACACCGGAGGCACCCUGCACUCUCCGCCGGGAAGAAGAAUCCGCGGGUCCCGGAGAGCCCCCGUAGCCCGAGGUUCCAGCGACGCGAACGUGUUCACCAGGAUGCCAUCGGGCUCCGUGUUCCGGCGCAUCAAGUUCAUCAUCUGCUUGUAUAUCUCGGUCUCCGGGUCCAGGAGCGUUUCGCGCAAUAGGUACGACGCCGGCAUGGGAGGGACGCCGUGGAACUCGAGAGGGGCGUCUCCGAGCUCCUUGAAGCUGGGCUGGCCUUCCGCGCGGAACCAGGGGAGCUGGAGGAACACGGCGACCGUGGAUGCGUUGACGCCGUAGAAGGUGUAGGCCGGGACCCCGAGCUCCCUGGCGACGUCGAGCGCAUCGGCAGAAGGCGAGUCGAUGACCACGGCAUGGACGCUCCGAGGAGGCAGGGAGGAGAUGAACUCGCGGAGGCGUUCGUUGUAGCGCCUGAUGAUGUCGAAGUACCAGAGGAGCGGUUCGCCGUAGUCUGCGACGGCGGGAGGGUUCUGGAUGCGGGGGAGCCUGUGGAUGGCCAACGACGGCUUGGCGGCGGCGACGCGGUCGACGGCGGCUGCCAGGGCGUCGUCGUGGUCCAGGGUGAGGUCGAUGAGCGCCGCCGUGACGGCGUAGCCCUCCUCGAGGAGGACGUCGGCGAGCUGCAUCAUGGGGACGAAGUGGCUGACGAAGACGCCGGGGUACAGGACGAUUGUCUUCUUCAUGUUCAUGGCUUUGAUUCUCUGCCUGCUUCGUGGUGCUGGAUGCUAAUCGGCUCUAUCUUUGCAGUAGAACUCGUGGCCAGCCCGAGCUCUUGCUUUCGGGGAGAAGGGUGUUGAUUUCGCGUCGACGUUGGAGUGAAGAUAUAUAUGAGAGAGAGCCGAUGGAAUGCUAAGUGUGGAUAGCUAAUUAAAAAUAGUGACAGUUCGGCUAGACUUAUAAGCCAACUAAAAAGUUGAAACGGCUGAUUUGUUGUGAGAGAAAAAUAUUGUUCGGUGGCUGAUAAGCCGGCUGAUAAGCUAAAGUGAACAUCGAAAAAAAUGCCGGGUAUACAUCAAAGUUCAGAUUUGAAGAGGCGUUGAACAUGUUUCACAAGGGAGUAUCUGUACCAACCAGUACUCAAAUAGAUUCAAGUCCAACGAAUCUGUAUUAAUUGAGGAAGCAAAGCAUCGGUCAUUACUAAAUUUUUCUAAUAAAUCAAGCCCCAUUUCCUUUGUCACCGGAAACCAGGUACGGUAUCAAGUUACUCGUUGAGUGACUGGAACGGAGAUAAUCUCAUUCUCGAGUAUCUUAAGCUCAAUAAUUUUUUUUUCUAAUAACUACUUAAUGAGCAUGUUCCAAUAUCUUUUUCCAAUAUCCUGAAAACCAGAUUUGCUGACAUGGAGAAUUUUCUGUUUGGUUUUGCUGACUAGGAACGACCCGUCAGCAGCCCCCUCCCCUGCUAAUCCAACUUCUCGCAUGUGCCCUCCCGUGAUUCUUUGGUUUCGCCGGCACCCAGCUCCGCCUCCCCUCCACGCCGCAAGCAGCCCUCGACCAUGUAGCCACCUAGCCUUGCUAAGCCUGCCGGGUGCCGGCGCAGUGCCCAUACUCCCAGUAGCACGUACCCCCACGUGGAACUAGACCCUGCGUCGCUGUCGAUUACCACGAGUCAAAUGGAUUCUAUUGGUAAUGAAGAAUAUGCCAGAGGAAGGAAUCGAUGAGAGACUCGCUAUGGAUGUCGAAUUUGACCGGCAAACGCAGACUCUGCCAGCGCGUUCUCUCCGUCCGCUCUCGAGCGCCGCAGUUCUUUCCGUUCCCGAGAACCGGCAACCAGCCCCACGUGCCGCCUUGCAGUGCCCGUGCCGUCGGCGGCUCGCCCCGCUCUUCAAUUCCUAUGUCUGCUCCUCCUCAUGCUCCGGACCAUGCUCCACCUGCUACGGUGGCCGCCGGCGGGGUUCGAGGAGCUCGUCAGGGAGCACUUCUGCCGCCGCGGCAGGUUCAUGCUCUGGUCGUGCGAGGCGUUACCUGCAGGAGCGCUGCGACGUCGGGACGCUCGACGACGACGCGCGCGCCACGGUUGAGGAGAGCAGGGAGCGGCUGCUCCUGUUCAGGCUCGCCCUCAGCAGCGUCGGACUGUAGCUCGCCCAUCGCUAGCCUGACGUCCACUCGGCCGAGCGAAGGGGAUGACUUGUCAAGCUGAUGUGUCAAUCCUAGUAAACUGAUUUGUCCUGCUAGUGAUUAUAUACGCAGCCUGGAACCUCCGGAAGGAGAGAUGCAUGAGAGUCUAUCAAAAUAAGGCCAUGACUAUGGAUCAACUAACCGGUACCAUCAAGCAGAACGUAAUGGCGUACAGGGAGGCUACUAAUGUAGUUCAAUAAACCAUGUACGGUACCCUGGGUACGGAAUACCCGAGCCAUUCCCGCGAGCCGCGCGCGAGCGCUCCCUCGCAGGCUCGCACCGCCCCCUUUUGCAGAAUCCGCUUCCAGGUAAGCGAAUCUUUGAAGAGAUCCUUCCACUGUCUUUACUAUCAUAUCCUCUCCUCCUACCCUUGGACUUUUUUCAUUUCUUUAAUUUUUACACACCGCAUACAGCAACAGCUCACCUACGACAGCCAGCCAAGAACGGUUGUAUUGUAUAGUACUUUGCCGAUAAGAUACGCACAAGCACGAACAGGAAUAACAGUCUCUUUCCAAAUUUGAUUUCCCCCACAGCUAGCGCAAGGAGAUCGUGCUAAUGGAUGCAAUAAUACUGGCGCAUGGCAUGCGUGCAAAUCAUGGCAGGGCCCAGUUGAUUAGGAAACAACCAAUCAUUUCUUGGGGGUAUCAAUCAUGGACAGAUCGUGGAUGAACCGUGAUCGCCAUGUGAAUUAACAAAUGGGAUGUGAACAGAAUUAGUAACUGCUAAUCCUGGAAGUGGUCUGUCAAAAGCUCUCUGAUCUUGGAAAGGUUAACAGGUUUGCCCUGAUGCCAAAAAAAAAUUUCAACAGGUUGGUCUCUGAACAACAUAUUCAGAAGAACUCUGUUCCAUUUUUGCUUGGCAUCUUUUGCAGCAGCGAGCGGAUCACACGAGGGAGCAAGCAAGCAUAUGCUCUGCUCGCUCCCCCAUUCCUAACCUAGCUAAUCUUCCUUGCCCCCAAAUGUUAGCUUCUUGUUUGAGGCAGCGGCGGCGGCGGAUCUAUGUCCAAAAAAUGGGGAAAAGAAAAACAAAAAAUGGUUUUUUUCCCUAAGAGUAAUCAGUCCCUGCAGAUGCCGGGCGAUUAUCUGAUCCGGCUGCAGAGCCGGGACACGUCGGAGGGGCGGACGGGCUUGAGGAGGAAGUCCUCGGCGCCCUCCUCCAGGCACCGGGUGAUCCGGUUGGGCACGUUCUCCGACGACAUGAUCACCACCGGGAUCUCCUUGAGCUUGGACGACUCCUUGACGUGCUUGAGGAGCUCGUACCCGGUCAUCCCGGGCAUCCAGUAGUCCGUGAUGAUCAUGUUCACGUCGGGCAGCAGCCAGCAGGCCGAGCGCGAGCAGCUCCAGCGCCCUCGUCGCCGAUUCAACAGUGGGCACUGCAAAGAUUCGAGAACACACAAUUUAGCCUCCCAAUUCGUAACUGCUGAGUCGAUCACUCGUCGAUCAAGAAGGAACAGCACACUUUGUUCGCACAUCCAUCGAAAUUUACCUCUGUAUUCGUAACUGCGGAGGAUCGAAUGCUCGUCCUGUCGUAACAGCCUGAAAGCUUCCUCUGUUCCUUGCAUUCUUACUGUGUUCUAUUCCUGACCCUGUUCUUCGUUCACCUCGUCUACUUCUGCUUCAUCUUCAUCCUGUGCGCAGGUGAAUAUACAGAUAGAAAUCCAUUUCACAUGAGUGUAUAUAUAUAUAUAGGGAGAGUAUAUAUAUACAUGAGUGUGUGUGUGUAUAUAUAUAGACACACACACAGUUAUAAAACCACCGAGUAGAAGCCUCUGACACUUGCAUGCACCUGGUUAUAGAAGAACUGUAGAUGAGGGUUUGCUCCAUAAAAACCUGAUAGCCAAAACUACUGUACAGUCAUGCUCCUUGCACAAAACUAAUUAAAUACAUGAACAUACUGACAGAUAGAUAUGAAUGAAAAAGAUGCUCCAUAUAAUGUAGAUCCUGUAAGGAAUCUGAUAUGCACAAAACCGGGAAUACAUAGAAACACUAAAUAACUUGCAAAUUAAUUGAGUGCAGUUCUUCUGCAAAUGCAGUAGACAAUAUAUGUAUACAAGUUGUAGCUCCAGCCUCACUACUAAAGGGAUUAAUUUAACAUGCAGCACAUGAUUUAGAACAGUUUUUUUGAAAAGGAUAAACUACCAACAAAAACUGAGGAGAUUUGGAAUGGCAGAUGCAUGCCUUAAAUGCUGGGGUUCAGAUAAAGAUAAGACGGCAGGUCAGACAAUAGUGUGGAGUCCAAAUGGCAGAGGGGUGCAGUUCUUCAACGAUGGGAAAGUCGCUGACCAACGAUGUAGGAGCUUGUUAUGAGGACAUCCAGCAUUGACCUACACCACGAUCACUUCUCAUGAUUCAGUUCUGAAAUUUAAAGAUGCAUACAAAGAUGGAAUAUCCAAGCCUGAAAUUCCAAAAUACCCUUAUUAGAGCAUGCCAUCCAUUUAUUGACCAUUAUUAAUGGGGUCAUGAGGAUGGGUUAGAAACAAGUAUUAAGAAAUGGAACAAAGAAAUUUUGAAAUUCACAAACUUUUGUCGGUAUGCAUCUGCUUAUUGCAUCAGUGAAACAAUAGUAGAAUAUGGCAGAGCAGGUUUGCCCUGUUCUCAAUAUAAUCCUUACGUUCAUUCCACUGUUAUAGGUCUAUUUAAUUAGAGGUUGUACUCACAAACAGAAGCUAUAAAAUAAUAUGGUAGAGAAGUUGGAAUGGGCAAAGAGUAACAAAAAUAUAAGAAGCUAUAAAACAAUAUGGUAGAGAAGUUGGAAUGGGCAAAGAGUAACAAAAAUAUAAGAACCAUUUUUUUCCUAUACUACGAAGAUCUGACCUCAAUAUUUGGAUGGCAUGCUUGAUCUCUUAUUGUAAACUGUCAAAUUAAAAUGAUAUGACCAGUACAAACUACAUGAGCAUAAGAAAAGCAUGCAGAAGGCUCUGCGUACAUCAAUCUCACAAUUCCAUGCUUGCAGUUGCCAUCGCUGGACAUGAGUACAAUCCACCACAGCUUGCUUAGCCUACGAUAGAACUCUAUGUCCCUAGUCCAGCAUCGAAGUAAUUCUAGAGAUAAAUAAAAUGUCACAUUGAGCUGACCAAAUAUACUAGAAAAAGUAAUUUCUAGAGAUAAAUAAAAUGUACAAAAUGAUUACAUGCAAACCACAUGUCCUAGCAGCAGAUGUAGACUAAUUGUAAUGAAUCAUAGUUCCAAAUGUUCUUCAUUGUGCCUAAUUUAAUUACAUUCACGAGGAUGGAAGUACCCCAGUAGUGAAAGACAAUGUCCAACGUGAGCUGAGAUCAAUGGCGUACCGGCCGGUGAUACAUCUGAAUGCCCUUGACCUGAAACGAAAAUGCCAAUACUACCAUCAAAGAUAGCACAAUGAUUCUAAGACUGAAAAUGCAACGAUAGCUACUUCAACCAGAAAUUCUAAGAGUUUUUCAGGUGGUAAAUAAUACUCGAUCCACUCAUAAACACCAUAAAUUCACAACAUUAUGCUAUGAUACCCGCAGCCAACGUAUCCUGUAUACAGUUAGCUAUUUAAUAACUAUUGAUCAUUUUCACCAUGGUGGCUCGGCUAGUUUUGAGAUAGUCCAGCACACGCUAAACCCACACACGCCAUCCUACAUCGCCACCCCGAUUCACUAGCGGUGCUGGAGCCAUCUGAAGGCCACUGCCGCUUCACCAUCUUUGUCCCCGGACAGAUGAGGUGGAGACCCGAAGGUCAACGGGACCUCCUACGCAUUACCCCAACACCGGCGUCCCCUUCACCGGCCACUGCACCAAAUGAGAUGGUCGGGUCGUCGCACAACGUUGCCACCGGUUGAUUACUCAACUUAUUUACUAAGAUAUGUUUAUGUUCUAAAUGUUAAGAUCCUAGUUUUAGUUAAUCUAAGCAACGUAGAUUUCUUAAAAAAACACAGAGACACAAGUCCUGAUUUGGGAUACUCAUCACCAGUUUUACCCCCCAAGCAAACGGUGCUGGAUAAUUGAUCCAAUGUUGAACAUGAAACUCAUCUCCAUCGGUGAAGGCAAUAAACUCAGGGACAGAUUCAAGGCCCACUACUCGAGCUUUGACAAUUAAACGAGGCCGAUGAGCAGCCGAGCAGGUCACGUUCCCAAGAAUUUAGGCGUGCAAAGUAGCUAAUGGCCUGCUCAAUGUCUUCUGAUUCCAAUUAUCAAGAGGGAAACCUAAACCUCUCGGUUCAAAUCAACAGCUUUCCAACUACCCCAUUUAAUCCAUCAUGCUUUUCCACAAAGAUAUAUAGACCCACCCCUAAAAUGACAGUGACAGGAAAUCCACCUCGUGCUCCAGCAAUGGGUCAUUCGUGACGAUGGCAGUGUCCUCGUGUCCCUGCUCAAUGUCUUCCUGAUUCCAAUUAUCAAGAGGGAAACCUAAACCUCUCGGUUCAAAUCAGCAGCUUUCCAACUACCCCAUUAAGUGGGUGUUUGGAAGAGGGGUGCUAAACUUUAGCACCCCCACUUUAGUCCAUUUUAGUCACUUGUGCUCCCAAACAGGUGAGCUAAAACUAGUGGACUAAAUUUUAACCCUCCACUAAUCCUUUAGUCACUUGGGGUAGCUAAAAUGAACUAAAUAGACUAAAAAGUGGCCCCCGGACCACUUUCCCCCCUACCCCCCUCCCCUCUCUCUCCUCCCCUCAGUCUCUCUCUCUCCCCCCGUCGCUAGCCUCCCCGUCGCAGCCGCCAGCGCGGGUCAUGACAGCCGGAUGCGAGGAUAGUGCCGCCGAGGAGCAUCCGUCGCGGAUCCAGGUGGGGUCGCAGCAGUGGCCCACAGCACCUGGCACGGCGCGAGGCCGAUGCCACGGCCGCCGGAGCCUAGGCGCGGUAGGGCAGCGCGCAGACCCUGGAUUCCGCACGGCGUCGGGCUAGGGUAGGUGCAGGUCGCGGCGGUGAAGCCGGGUGGCCUCCGCCGAGGGGGCCUAAGCCACGCCGGGGUGCCGCUGCCAGCCGCGACGCGGGGGGUCUCGCUCGCCUUGCCGCCGCUGCUACCGCCUCCGACCGGCGAAGGGGGUGGCUGCGGGGGAGGCAACGACGGUGCUGAUGGUGGUUGGGGAGGAUGAGGCGAUGAAGGUGUGGAGGAAGAGGAGGGGCUUGGGGUUUGAGAUCGGGGUGGUGCUCCUGCGUAUGAGAGGGUUCAGGGUCUUGAGGAAGGCCAUGGAGGGGCAGCUAUGCAGGGGUAAAAAGGGUCAUUUGGUAUAGCAGGUGCUAAACUUUAGCACCCCUCCCAAACACCUCCAAAGGCUAAAGUUCAGGAUUAAAUUUUACCACCCUCCUCCCAAACAAGGCCUAAUCCAUUAUGCUUUUCCACAAAGGUAUAUAAACCGACCCCUAAAAUGACAGCGACAGGAAAUCUACCUCGUGCUCUAGCAAUGGGUCAUUCGUGACGAUGGCAGUGUCCUCAUGUCCCGGGUGCUAAGAGUUUUUUGGAUCAUGACUAAUUUUUAGUUCGGGUCACAUCGAAUUUUAGAUAUCAAUUAGAAGGACUAAACGUGAACUAAUUAUAAAACUAAUUGCAUAAGCCGUGGCUAAUUUACGAGAUGAAUCUAUUAAGCCUAAUUAAUUCAUGAUUAGAACAUAUUUACUGUAGCAUCACAUGAUCAAAUCAUGGUUAAAUUCGUUCCGCGAAUUAGCCUUCAUUUAUGCAAUUGGUUUUAUAAUUAACCUAUAUUUAAUACUCCUGAUUAGUAUCUAAACUUUAGUCUCUAUCUUCAAACGGAGCCUAAUUUUGAAGAGUUUGUGGUUGAUUGGGUAAUUCAUCUUAGCUUAGAAAAUGGGAACACUUCAGCCCCCUUUGAUAGGGCUACAGCUCCUCCUAAAAUGGGGAGGAGCUGGAGGAGCUACUUUUUUUAGCUUCGGUUUCUCCAUGUAAAACGGUUCCGGUCCCUCUCUAAGGACGGAGCCGUUUUUUACCAAACUGUUUAGUAGGGCUUUACUUGGAGCCGCAGGAGAAACUAAAGCUGGAGCCCUGUAGCCACCUUGGCUCCACUUGCUCAAAGACAUUCUGGUAUGAAAACGAGGCACUGCUACAUAAAAAAGUAACUGGAAAUUCUUGAAAGUGAGUUUGGAAAACCUUCAGCAGUAGCGUACAUAUCCUAUUCAAUAUCUUAAGGCCAAUCUUAGUGGAAGUUUCAUAAGUAGUUUCAUGAACAUUAAAAUUCAUGCCACAUCAGCAAUUUUGCUAAGUUGGCAAGGUCUUUAUGAUGAGAGAGGAAGGGGAGUUUCAUCAUAUGUGAGAAGAGUUUCAUCCCCAUGAAACUUAAUCGGCACAGUUACUAGUUCCUAAUCUUCGUAAUGGUACAAUGAAAUUGUGCACUAAGACUAGCCUAAGACAACCAUGUGUUGAAGAUCAUCGAAUAUGCACAAAUAAUAAGAAUAUGAGCACGAGGGAUCCUACAUUACUCGAUGCAUGGUCACGUCAUACACGUCGUAUCGACUAAUGGAGACAUAUACCGGUAGCUAAUAUUAGGCCAGUCUCAAUGGUAGUGUCAUGAGGUUUCAUGGUCAUUAAAUCUCAUGCCACAUCAUCAAAAUUGCUGAUUUGACAAGCUCAUUAUGAGGAGAGAGGAGAAGAGAGAAACCCACUUCAUGAAGCACAAUAAAACUUGCACUAAGCAUGUUAUGGUUUUAUGUCACGACACAUUUAAUCGUAAUACAAUGUAAGAAUUAAAUGAUACAACAUAUUUAUGAAACUGUGCAAUAAAACUAUAUGCACUGAGAGUGACUGUUCGUUUUAUUGAAAAGCUAACAUGACACUCUUUGUACAGUGGCCUAAAGAUUAAAUGGAAAACACAAUUGGAGUCGUGCAUGGAGAAAACAAAUAAACACGAUACAUAUGACAAUCACAGCAGAUGGACGGCACAUGAACAAAUAGACAUGCAGUCGGCGGGUGCAGGGGGGCUUACCGCUUACGCCCCACUACCUCCACACAAACACCACAAAAAUGCCAGACGGCCGGAGCAAAGUGUCUGCCCUGACGAUGUGCCGUCUGCAUUGUGCGUGCAGUCGUUGUGCCGAGCUAUUCAUUCGUACGGGGAUUAGAUGGGAUCAUUUUCGUGCGUGUGUAAAUACACUCAUCCGGUGAUCAUGAAGAUGGUUAGCUGUUCAAACUCUGCAUAGAAUAGCGUCGCAUUUCUAAAUCUGGAUGUCUUGGCCCUCGGGGAAAUGUCAAGCUGAUCGGUUUAUGAAUAAUGUAGUAGUGAUAUUACAGCUUGGAAUCAGAAGGGAUCCUUAUUCUCAGUAGAAGAAAUCAGCGGGGAACCGACCAGCCUUCAGGCUUGAAGUUUAUAACCGCCGGCUCCAGCUGGAUAGAAGCAUCUCCAUCAGUUUUCAAUAAAUAUUUCUCAAUAACUAGUUAAUAGCGAUAUCCCAAUAUCACUUUCACUAUUAUUGGAGGAGUUGCUUUUGUAGUCUCCCAAUAAUCUCAUCCCAAUCCAACUACCGUAUUGGGAGAGUCACAACUCCUUUAUUUAAGAAGAUUUGGGGUGAAUUAUUGGGUUAUUCCAAUAAUUAUUGGGAAACAGAAAAGGUAAAGGGAGACUGCUGGAGUGUUAUUUUCUUAUGGAAAAGUCUAUUUUACUCUCCUUAUUUAUUUACUUUGUCCACUUAACCCCCUAAGCAAAAUUUAGGCUCACUUUACUCCCCCAAACUAUUUCAUUUGGUCCAAUCUACCCCUAAUUAGAUUUCUCUCUUUUAUUUCUUUGCGUACAAAUUGAAUUUAAUUUCAGAUUUUAUCUGUUGACUUAUAACAUGAUGCUCCAUGUUAAAAAAAUAUAUUAGAAUUUUUCAUAAUUACUUUUCGUACAGUUUUGUAUAUCUAAGAUCAAUUUCGUAUUAAUUAUUCCUAACCUAUGAAAAUAACCAUGAAAAUUUCUUAGUAUAAUUUUCUAACAUAAGGCAUCAUAUUUUGUACAUGGUCACAAAAUUUAAACUCAAAAUUCAACUCAUACACGAAGAAACAAAAAAGAGAAAUCUAAUUAAGGGGUAGAUUGGACCAAAUGAAAUAAUUUAGGGGAGUAAAGUGAGCCAAAACUUUGUUCGGGGUGUUAAGCGGACAAAGUGGAUAGAUGAGGGGAGUAAACUAAAUUUUUCCCUUUCCUUAUCAACUCUUCCAACUCUUCCCAAUAUGAUAGCUGCUGGAGAUUCUUUUAAAGACUACUCCACUUCAGUUUGCAGAAAAAAAUGCGCGCAACGCAGGCGAGUUGUUCUAUCCUACUACCUCCCAUUUCUAAUGCUAGUAGGGUAGAAGAAGUCGCCAAGAUAUCCUAUUCACACCCGAUCGAACAUGAUUGGGGUGAUUGGAUCAGGCAAGCAGCGAGGCGAUAGGAGCAGCAGGCCGUGCCUUCCUGCUCACGCUGCGUCGUGGGCUUGUGGCUGCUGACGUGCCCUGCCGCUCGGUGGCCCAGAGGUAACGUGGGCUCGCAUUCACAUACACGGGCUUCUAUGGGCCCUAAAAGGUUAAGGCUCCUUCCUUCUUGCUUGCUUGUUGUUGUUUUCGGGAGAAGUUGUGUUGCCCGCGGGCUGUUUGCUGUUGGCACGAACGACACGCGAAAACAGGGCCUCGACGCUGUAGCCUGUCCCACUGCUGCAGCCUUUUGUCACUGACUGACUGGUGCGGGAAGUUGGGAAAACGAAGCGGGCAACAGGACGCGCGUAGGAAUCUAUGGCCCGGAGAGAAGAAAUCGGGAGACCGAGCGGGGAGCGUCGAGCCAGACUGACGACGCACAGACCCUGACGCCCGCCGCGCCACACGUAAACCUACCACGUGAACUGUUGCCCCAGAAGAACCAGAAAAGCUCAUGCUCAUCGUUCCGUCCCCCCACAAACUGUUCCUCAAGUUCAUCAAAAGGCAGUUCACUUCAUUCACAAAACGAAGAAACAAGUGAUUAACCCCAAGGUUAAAAGGCACCGAGAUUACAGAUGUUCAUAGUACUCGAUCAUUCCCGCCAACCUCCACUAUGCAAAACAAGUUACUACUCCGCCGUAACUAACAACUCCUACAGAAUACCGUGUAUCAACAGAGUGGCAUUGCCUUUCUGAAUUUACAAGAACGCAGCAUCCCUGCUGCUGCUGAUCAUCAUCAGGCAGAGCAGGAGGCCAAGAAGGACGUGGAGGAUCCGCGGCGUCGAGGCGGCAACCGCCGAGCUCGUGCUCCCGGUGUGCUCGAACUGCAGCGAGUCCACGGCCAGCGGCAUGUUCUCCUGGUCCGGGCUGCACCGCGGCGCCGCGCCGCCGCUGCCGGACUCCGUCGGGUGCGCCGUGUAGAGCAUGGCGCGGAGCACGGCGGAGACGGUGGGGAUGUAGGCCGUCUUGUUCUUGGCCAGCAGCCACGUCAGGCCCAUCAGCUGGCAGUCCCGCCCCAGCAUCCGCCGCGCGCGGUCGCCGCCGGUGACCUCGCGGCUCACGUUCCCCUUCAGCUGCAUUAUCCAGCAAUGAAGGAAGCACACAAGCCAGAGACUGCAAGUUAGAACCUUCUAUUCGAAUUCGAACAAGACCCUGAAGAAACGCAGAUGCAGUAAAUGUGGUUCAUGCAGGGGACGUUCUCGCAAUGCAGGUUUUGUUGCCAAGUAGGUGGGUUCUGUUCCAGACUCCCAGCACACAACGUUGGAUUUGGCUUGCACAGACUCCCUCAGUAAAUGCUACCCAUGCAUAACAACCUGUUCACGCCGAUGCACAUGCACAUUAUGCACACUUAAUUUCAGCAGACGUGUUACGGCAAAGCAAAAGCUUUCGCCGUCCUUUGGAAGAAAAAAAAAACAGCAGACUUCAGCAAUGCACGCAACAGAACAUCGUCAAAAAGUUUUUUUAGUCUCCUUAAUGCAGCAUGGUUGUUAGUUGUUACAGAUACAGCACGCAUGACUGUUCGUCAAGAUUCAGAUGCCAAUCUGGAUGCAGGACAGGCAGGUGGAGGACAAGCUCGGCUCAAUUAUCCACAAACGCCGCCAGCGGUGGUUAGCCGACUAAACAUUCAUAAUUGGAAAAGGCUUCGGACAAUGUGGCUCAUGCCAUGCUGUCUGUCGUCUGAUCUCCCCGCAACACUACUGUACUAAGCCAUGGUCCUGCAAUUAGCUGGCAGGGUAAAUGGUAGAUUGCCCUUUGCCACGGUGCUUUCAGAAAGAAAGGGCAAUUGAGUACUAGUUUCAAGUACCAAAUGAUUAGUGGUGAUCAGUUCAAGAACAAGCGGCUGGUCCAUUUAGGCAUUCGAAAGUUUAGACAAUGAUGUGUUCAGAAAGGAGCUGCUGCUUUGUGGGAAAGCCCGAAAGGGGAUCUCCUCCCAUGGAUGCUAUAAAGUUGGUGUUCUUGCAAGAACGAAGCAAUUGGAAAAAAACGUUAAGAGAUUUUCCUAUAACAAAGUAGAAAUUAGCCAAUGGGUUUAUGGAAGCGUCACAAUUUAGCAAAUAAACAUUUUUUUAUAACCAGAAAUUAACAGCACUUGAAAUGUAACAAGUUGAAUCCCAGAAAGUAAGAUACAGCAAUCAAGGAUUCGUGGGAAAUGAAAAGAGAAGGGACAAGAACAGAAAAGGUAAACCAAGGCAAAGGCAAUGGCAUUACCUUUUGCAGAGCUAGCAAGAAAGGAUUUGUGGGAGGAAAAGCUAGCAAAGCAAGAAAGGAGCUCACCUUUUGUAGGGACUGGACGCAGCGGGAGCAGCCGGAGUAGGAGGCGUUGCGGCAGCUCUUCUCCAGGUCCUUGACGGCAGCGGUGGGCGUCGCGUUCUUGGCCGCCGCGCCGACGGCGAACGCGGCGGGGCAGCGGAGCGAGCCGAUCUGGUGGAGCCGGAUGCCGCAGAAGCAGAGCACGGUGUCGCACGUCCUGUUGGGCGACGGCAGCGCCACCCCGCGCUUCUCCAGCGCGGCGCCCAGCGCGUCGACGCACCGCUGGUUGUCGUAGGGCACCAUGGGCCCGUCGUCGCCGGGCCCGAGCCCCUCCUCGCCGGAGAGCGCCGAGGGCGCGGGCGCCGGGGGCACGGACAGCGCGGUGCGCGCGUGCGCGGCGAAGAGCCAGGCCGCGAGCACGGGGCAGCAACGCCCCCGGUCGAGCGAGCCUGGCCCGCCCCCCGCGCCGCACGCCGCGGCCACGCCGCCGAAGAGCUCGGCCGAGAGGUCCAGGUGGCAGGGCGGCGAGGAGGCGUUGGACGGGGACGAGGAGUUGGACGGGGACUGCGCCUGCGAGAGCGGGAACGACGGCACGUCGGAGGCGCAGGCCGACCCGGCGAGGAGGGCGAGGAGCAGCGCGACGGCGAGGUGCGAGUGCGCCGACAUUGCCGCCGGCGAGGUGGAGUGGACCAGGUGGCGGCGGCGGUUGUGGGCGAGAGCCAAGAAGUGAAGUGUGUGGGAGCGUGGGCUCUGGGGACCGGGUCUUGUAUAAAAGAGCCGGACCGGACCCCGGGGUCCGUGAUCGGGAGGGGAUGUCUGUUGGAGCUCUUGGUUCAGGGGUUUACGGGGUUGGAGAGGGCGAAGUUUAUAGUAUGCAACAGUAACAUUAGAAAUUACAUUACAUGCACAAUGGUUUCACCCUUUGGUAGUUCGUCGUACCUGUAAUAGUGUAACCUAAGAGCCAAUUUCCGUGUCGAGUUCUUGGCAUCAAACCUUUCAAAAAGUGUCUCAGUUUGUACCCUAUGUAAACACUUGGUUCAUCUAUACUUUUAAGUCUACUUAAGUGUUCUGUAAAAAAUAUAAAGAGAGAGAGGCGAAGGUGUCCAUCUUAUAACAGCUAAAGAAGAAUAAAAUGAACACAUUACACAUCAGUGGAUGUUUUGCUUGUACGGGAAGGAAUAUUUUUUUCGAAUUUGGAGAAGUGGUUUUGGCUUGGAGUUUGUUCUUCCAAGCUUGCCUAGCAGUCGUCAGUCGUCACUAGCGGUGAGUGCCAUAGCCGGUGUGUCUACAAAGCCCUAAUUAGACGUGGAGGACUAGUGACAUAGUAUCGGUUUGAUGAUUCGGUGGUAACUCAUCGGAGACUUGCUAAGAAAGGUGAAUGCUGAGUGGAAAAAGAAAUUUAAGCGUAGAAGGCAGUGCGAGAAGUUGCUCGGGAACGACUAGCCAUCAGAUUUGGUCCGUGCGGCGAGCGGUGAUUUUUGGGCGGAGACACCGAUUGGCCGCUGUGUGGUGGUACUAGCAUCACUGUUGGAGCCAUUCUUUUUCGCGUCAUGAUGAUCCGAUGCUGCAAACAGUUGGGUCAAAUCAAGAUCGAAAAGCAGGAGGACUAGCAGAGGAGUGGUACGCUAAAAAUACAGGGUGGGGGAGCAGCGAUCAGGUUGUUAGACAGCCCAGGUACAAUCAUUUCUAUCCUCGGCUAAACAAUUGCGAAAUGGGCUCACACUCUGUCGGCUGGAGACAAAAAUGUUUAGCACGGGCAUCGAUACCCAAUCGAACUGUGGAUGUCAGGCACGAACCGAAUUUUUAAGAUUCUGCUCGUGAAAUUUGUGCAGGGAAGCAGCAUUUUGUUUUGGAAUUGAAGGACAUCAUAAGCCGGGAAUCAUGGGGUCAAGUCAAACGCUGAAACGCGCAUGCUUGCUGGGGUUUAACUCGGUAAUGUUAAUGUGACUGCACGGCCUGACCGUAGGGAGGAAGGACAAGCACGGUGGCUCUGCAGGUAGAGUGCUCAGCGCCUGGGGCGAGUAGGUUUUGAUUCCGUCCCUGUUCCAGCUGCUACUGCAACGGCCCACACUCAACCAGUGAGGGAGGAACCUUGAUCGCAGAAAGGACACCUUCCUUUUCACCAAAUACUGCCAACCUGAUCUAGAUGAACUUAAUCAAGGCCUUGUUUAGUUGGGGAAUUUGGGAGGUGCCAAAUUACUGUUACAGCACUGUAGCACACUGUAGCGUUUCGUUUGUAUUUGUGAAUUAUUGUCCAAAUAUUGACUAAUUAGGCUCAAAAGAUUCGUCUCGCAAAGUACAACAAAACUGUGCAAUUAGUUUUUAAUUUCAUCUACAUUUAGUACUCUAUGCAUGUACCGCAAGUUUGAUGUGAUGGGGAAUCUUCUUUUUGCAUAGUGUCAAAGUUGGGAGUUGGGAGUAACUAAACAUGGCCCAAACCACCUCAGUCUGUCUCCCUGCAUUUGCUUUACGGCAAUGGCAGUUUAAUAUGGGAUGUCUCAGAGGAACAGGAUUCAAAGAGGAGAAAAAGAUACGCAGCCCGGGCAGCCGGGCCGCCGAGCCAGAGCCGGUAGGUCACAGGUCCACAGUUCAGACGGACUGGGAAAGGGGUUGUCCCUUUUCCGGCUGGGUCCCCCGGCCGUCGCCCUUACCAACCCCUUCACGUGAACGGAUGGAUGUCAUUGCCAGCAGCAGCGGGGCGUUGGGCUCCGCGGCGCCGGCUCCCUGCUGGAGCGAGAGGACAAGCGGCCUCUCCUUGUCCUGCGGUCCUGCCCUGCCGAGUCCCGUCGCACAAACCGGCGGAUCACGGGGCUCACCUCUGCUCCCGACCCCAGCCCGGGAGUUCCAUUGGCCGUUGCUUGCUCCGUUGCUCGCGAACCCAGUGCCGUUCUUCUCUUCAGGAUUCAGUCUCAGCCAUGGACCCAUGGUAGCUAGUAGCCUUGGAGGAACGGAACUGAUCGAGAGGCGAGCAAUGGGGCUUUCUUUACAUCUUUGUCAGCAUGCCUGCCACUGCCAUGCUCAGUUGUUCUGACGACAGAAGCUGCCCACUUGUGUGUGCUUGCUUGCUCUUGCGCAUGCAUGAGAGAGAAGAUGGGAGAGAGUAGAGAGAAUGAGAGAUUGGCUUUUUUGCACAAAGAAAGAUCAAACACCAUCCUGCACGAAGACUCGAGGAUUUUGCCCUUUCGCUCCUUGUUCUCACCCGUGUGGUUUUACCUGCAUCAGCAACGCCAAGGACCACGUACACCCACUCCAGUACUCCACUCAGUAUCAGGCACUCACACAGGCCAAAAUCCCAGGCAGCUUUCUCAUCUUUUCUCGGAAACAAGAAAAGCCAUUUGGACCGGGGACAUUUGAAUACAUCCAUCCGGCUCCGGGCUACAGCCAGAGCAGCCAGGUCGUUUGCUUGGACUUCUACGACGAUACCAACAGCAGCAACAUGAUGAGCAGCACGAAUCCUUGUGGGGAUUUCCCUUUUUUGAGACUUGAGCUGGCCCUUUCUGCUUUGCAGCUUCUCUCCCAGACCCUUUUGCUGAGUACCCUAGCGUCGAGCAACUGUCAAGGACCAUAUCUCUCGUUGAUCGCCGUGCAAAAAUGGCCUUUAGGUGCAAAGCCCUACAUAGAAAAGGGAUUACCAUCAGGAGGUCAGGCUGCAGCUGCAAUCCAGGGAAGGGAGGGGCACGGGCAUGUGUGUGUGUUUGUCAGGUACCUGUGGUCUCCUCUGUUUAGUCCUUGCCGAGGGGCUGCAAACACUUGUCUCUAGCGCCAUGGGAAUAAUAAGCAAUGUCCUGAUCAAGGCCAAGGGGGGUGCUUGUUUAUUUUUGUUUAGGUGUGUGUGGGUUGGGGACGAAUGCUGAGGAUGGUGACAAGAAUGACGCCCGAGAUGCCCGGGCUCCUAGAAAUUUGACGACGAGGUAGGCAUCUGUUUUCAGCUCAAAGUGUGGCACAACCGUCCGGGCCCAAGGGGAUGUCAUGUGUGUGUGGCCACCGCAACGGGUGUUGGAUACGCGUGCUUACUGCACGGAAUACCGUAGUCACGGCACCUGUAUGCCUAUGCCUGAUUGCCUGAAUCGUCAGGGCUCUGUUUCGUUGCUUGAGACUCGUGAGCAACAGGGCAACCGACCACUCCAGCUUGAUUGAACGCCGAGGAACCCAAGAGGGGACAGCAUGACAAAAUUUAACGGUGCGUACUCAAAAGUGUAAAAUCUGCAACUAAAUUCCUCGGUGAAAUCAUUCCUGAUUCUGAAACUGGUACGGUGCACCUGAAAUUCGGCCAGCGAAGAUGAACGCUGCGCGGACAGCAAUGGCCGCCGGCCCGCCGCCCCGUCAAGCAUUGCUUGAUGCCAGGGUCGACCGAGCUGGUUGAGGCCGGCCCACAUGGCCUGAUGGACGACGGAUUGGCUGUUGCCUGUUGGCAGGUCCAGGCUACCAUUCCUGGCCGACCGCGAGUCCAAGAGGGCAAGAUUUGUGCCGGCCGCUGCGAUAGCGUAAGCUGAUACCAAAACAUACUCCACUGCGAUAAAAAAAGAAGCAGCUGUCGGUGUUUUAGACCGGCAACCCGUCUAAGGGUACCCUAGGUGGUCUUUUGUGCGGUAAGGAUCGUCGAGAAUUAAGGAAUCAAUGGUGACGCAAGGAACACGAUUUAGACAGGUUCGGGCCGCUAGAUCGCGUAAUACCCUACGUCCUGUGUGUUGGUUUGUAUUUGAUGAACCGGAGUUGUUCUCGUGUGUCAAGGUGUUGAGGUGUUGGUUCUUGAGGGGGGAUCCCUGCCCGCCCUUAUAUACACGGAAGGGCAGGUCUACAAGUCUGAGUCCUAGUCAGAUACUAUUACAGAGUUCUACUCGGUAAUGGCCCGAGUAGUUUUCCAUAAACAUACUUGACUAGUCCGAGUAGGAUACGCUCAUCCUUGUUCUGAUCUUGUCCGAGUACGUCCCUUGGUGGGCUGUCCAAGGCCUACUCGUGGACCUGGGGUGUAUGCCCGACAUACUCCAAUAUGCUAGACCGUGGAUCCUACAUGCAUAUCCCCCAAGGUCUCCAGCGGUUUAGCAUCGCGGCGAUCGACAAAACCACGGCCAGAGUUUGAUUUCUCUUCUCUCAUUCUCAACUAAACGACGUGAAACCUAAAGGAAAAGUCUAAGCGAUGAUAGGUCGCGACCUGACGCGAGCGCGCGACUCCCACGACACGGUCCAAACCUACUGUAAAAAAUUAGGAUGCGCCUCCCGGUAGCUCGUAUACGUAUUCAGUUUCACUUCUUACAGCCUGUUCGCUUCGGCUUAUCAGCCACCGAACAGUGUUUUUCUCUCACAACAAAUCAGCCGUUUCAGCUUUUCAGCCGGCUUAUAAGUCCAGCCGAACAGGUCCUUGAAAUGUAAUAACUUUCUUGAUGAUGUAAUAACUUUCUUGUAAAAUGUCUGAUUUUAAUUCUGUUCGCGCUACUGUGUUCCUUGCUAUAAGAUCAACAAAACAAAUUCAUGAAACAUAUGUUUUGGAGUGGUGUUUUUAAAGUAGCAAUUUAUAUUGUAUGUGUAGUAGCUACCUAUGUAUAAAUCUGUAUCAACUUAUGUGUAAAGCUUCCAACAUAAAUUGUUAGAAUUUCUUUGCAUAAUGUUGUUACCUAUCUAAAGUGUGUAUCUAAGUUGUAUACAAUUUAUUCGUAGACAUUUACUCUACAUAAGUUGUUACAAUAUCCCUAUGAAGUUUGUAACAACACGGAGAUAGUCACGCAUUCUCUACAUAAACUGAUACUAAUUAAUAGUUGAUACAAAGUCACUACGUAUAAGUUAAAGGUGCUAGUAGACAUAGAAGGUACUAUACUGAACAGCAUAAGUUGGUACACGUCCAUUGACAAAAUCAUACUACACAUAAUAGAAAAGUUUCUAUUUCCAAAAUACACAUAAGUUGUAUACUUUAUAUAUAAGUUAUUACUAGACUGAUAUAAGUUGACGGAAGUACAAAAUCGCUUCAAAACAUAUCAAAUAUGGAUCUUGUUUUGUAGAUCUUGUUGUAAAAAAUAUAAUAGUGCAAACAGACGUGAAAACGGAAAUUUGACGAGAGAGUAAUGAUCACUUAAAAAAUAUGUGCGUUUUUUUGUUGAUAAUAUCAUCACUGAAAGCGACGUCCCAUGAUUAUGGGAGCAGUUGCCCCGGCUAUCUCCUGACACUUCCUGGGACACAUGGCAGCAUAAUACGUGUUAGCACAACAGGUCGCGCGUUAACCUCGUCAAAACAAAGUGUCGGCUACUCGGCUUUGCAAAUUCCCGAUCCAGACCAUGGAUCAUGGCAAAGCUGCCUAGGCCAGGGCACCUAAGCAAAAGCAUAUAGCUAUGUUUGAUCCAAGUGUUAAUAGACGAAAGUGCUAAAGUUUAGCAACUUUAUGCAUUAGCCCAUCCAAACAGGAGAGCUAAAUUUUAACCCACCCUAAAAAGGUGCAAAAAAAACAUUAGCCGGUGAGGAGAAGCUAAUAGAUACUGAUGGAUUGUGAAAAGACCAAAAGGGGAGAAAGAAACGGAUUAGGUAAGAAGAUAAGGAACAAAAGUGAUAUUUCAUGAAAUCCAUUAGACAUGUCUCCAAGCAGAAGUGCUAAUGGAUGAAAGUGCUAAACUUUAAAUGAGCUAAACUUUAACAUUUAUUAAAAUAACUUUACCGAUAGCACAUCCAACCAACCCUGUACCACGGUCCUCCUCCGAUCCAAUCAUAUCAAGACGUGGACACGAGAGCUCAGACAGCUACAAAAGCAACAGCGGCUCAUACCGCCACUCGUGCCAAUCAAUUCCGACCACAGUAACAGAAAACAGUUCAACCGUGCAUUUCUUCAUUUGCAUUCAACACCGAGGGAGCAUCACGCUUACCGCCAGCAGCUCUCAAAGUACAACCAAAACCUUAGCUUAGCCAUUUUCUUGUUAAUCCAAAAUUUACAUUAGAUGGCAUGGUUGCCAGUACGAAGGAAGCAAAAAUCUGGAACCAAACUUCCAUGUGCUUUGCAAAUUGCAAUGUAGUUUAGCUCGGCCCCAAUGAGAAAAUGAAUAUUCUGUUCUAAGUGUUUGUUCCUCCAUAGAGUUUGUGGACAGGAGCUUUCCAUGAAUUUUAAAGAACCCCAUGGCUGACUCCACCAAGGCGGUGGGCAAAAUUUUCACUGUGAAGGUUUUCAAACAAGAAACCCCGCGCAGAGAGUUGCUGCUAGUGCUACUUUCAAAAAGACGCACAGAACAUAGUGCAUAAUACUAUUAGCUUAAUAUUGCCAUUGGCAGGUUGCUUCCAGUUAGAUGUUUUGGCUUCUAUUCCACCCAUCAUCUUCAGCUGCUGCUAUACAUAAAGAGCGGUCUGUUGAAGAGAGAAGCAGCAUGGAUCAGAAUUUUUAGGUUUGCUGAAUUUCAAUGAACCAAAUUUCAAACUUAUCAUAGCCAUAAUAACAAAGAACAGAAGAAAGGAACUACUGGUUGGGUUAUCUAAAUACGGUCCACACAGCAUAUGACACAGGCUGAUGGACUGUAACAAAUCUCAGAAGUAGCCCAUAAAGUAUCCCAGGCUUCUUGUUAUGUUGCACCACAGCCAAAAUAUGGUGAUGAGGCAGAUGGUUUUCUUCGCCAGCUUCUGGCAACCAACCUUGACAAAGAACAUAAGCUAACAGAGAUGGCAUUCUCAGACUCGAAUCAUUCCUCAUCUCUCUCAAUCAGAAUGAAUUAAGCUUUUGAUUUUUUUUAACUAAAUAAUGCAGAACCAUGUGAACAAAAGUUUAAUGCACUGCGAUCAUAGCUCUAACGAACUUGGGUAAUCAGCUGUGGUGCCAUUCCAUAUAGCAGUUGAUAUUUCUAGGAGAGAGUACAAGACACUAUUUUCAUGAUGGUGCAAGAGGAGGUUGCUACAAAUCUGUUCCUUGGUUGCAAUAAUUUCUCUACAUUUCUUACACAAAAAAUUCGAACAGAAAGAAAGGACUCAAUUACAAGAAUCAAGAUUACCUGAUACUGUUUGUUUACGAGAAAAAAUCAACUGGUUGCUUGACAUCCUUCUCUAGUAGUAAAGUCUUCAAUGUGUGCAUGAUAUCAAAGCCUGGGUCCAGCUUGCGUUGCCACCCCUACAGAAAAAUUAUCAUGUAAGCAUAUUGUGUAUCUAUCUAUAAGAAAAUUGGGGUAAAGUUAACAUGGGUAUCUAUAAGAAAAUUGGGGUAAAGUUAACAUGGGCAAGGGCUAUUAAAUUAGUAUGUAGCGUAGAAAACAAAGGUAUAGGUAGCUGAAACUAUAAACUCUGGACAAGUCUACAUUCAAACAGUAAUGCACACCAAAAAUAUCUAGGAAACAUGCUGCCUUAUGCAGUCUCAUAUGAAGUUUGGUCAAAUGAAGUUAAUAUCCACAGUAGGGGUUUCCCUUUCCACCUAUUUGAUUCCUUUUAACAAAAUGAAGUCCAAUAUAAAAAAAAAAGUCCAUGCUAUCUAGAAAAUUAAUGUCUUCUGAUACAGUUAAUAAUCUGUUCAGUUUGUACAUUAUCAUUAAACCUUUCUUCGCAAACAGGAACCUGAUUCUGCAUAUCAUUCAAGUCAAUAGCCUUUUUUCAGUACAUUCGAAUCCCUUCUGCGUAUACUGUCACACAUAAUAGCUAAGAUUCAAUAUUUAAUAUAUCAAUUUUUUUAACAAAGAGGUUUACCUCGAGGACCAAAAUGGUAACCAUUACAGUACAGAUGUUGCCAUCAAUGUUGACUUUGUGGCGGCGAACUGUAUCAAGCAAUUGAUGCAUGCAUUCAACAGGAUGGAAAACGUCCCCUUCAGGUGUACCCCAGAAUGUAAACGUCUUGUCCAGUUCCUAUAAAAAACGAAAAAUAUUUUAUUAUUCAUGCAAAAACAUUUGCACAACAAUUAGUACUGCAAAUCAGUGGUAACAGCAGAAACAGUCAGCAAAUCAAGAUGCAUUCAUCAAAGGCUGGGCUGAAAUAAACAACCAACAAACAAGCAGAGCAUUAAGAGGAACAAAUAUGCACCAUACAAAGCCAGAGCCAGCGUAUUCAAGAAAUGCUGGUGAUCAGUCAAAUUUUGUGUCACCAAAGCCACAUAUCCGACUUCUAGAAACCGUCCCUAUUGUCUACUAUCAUCAUAUAGUUAAAAAUCAUCAUGAACUGUGCUGGGUUUAACAAAAUAGUAUCUGCAUAUGCCAUUGCCAGAUCAAUCAAGAGUGCCACCACCUUUCAAGAUAGCCACAAGUCAAAAAGGCUCAACAAUAAGGUACACGUAGAGCAUUCAGACAUCACAUAAGUAAAAAUAUCAGAUAUAAAUAAGUUCUAAAUGUUUACUGCUCUUUUCCUGAAGCAUAGGUUUACAUUUUACCUCAGUGAAGGCCACUGGAUUUGGACAGCUCUGAUUCUUUGACAACUGAAGGGUACACUUAGCAGCAGUAAGACCAUCUCUAGUAGCCACCGCCUUGAAGAACUGCUGUAAGUUAUCCCGGUCAGCUCGUGUGAGCUCCGCAGUCAUGCCCACGUCAAGAAACACAAUAUGGGGCUUGGCUCUGAAAAAUCUUCUUCUUGAAAGCUUGCUCUCAUUUAAACGGACAAGAAUGUUCCCAGGGUGCAUAUCCGCAUGAAUAAAAUUAUCCUCCUACAGAAUCAGGGGAAACACCUUAUGAACAAAAAAAAUUGCACAAUACAUAGCAUACAUGACUGGACAAAAACACUACCACUAAGUGAAAAGAGAAGGAAUCACAUAAUUAAAAAAAAAUGCACACAUACCAGAAGCAUCUUUAGGAAAGCGUAUGUCCCAAUGUGUGCAAGGUCUUUCUUCAUCCGAGCAUUCCCUUCGAUUUCAUCCAUAAAACGAGAAACACUUUCUCCAUUCUCAAAAGUCUCAACUAGGACAGAUGGAUGCACAAGUGGAUACAAGGGUUUUGGGAAAGAAACAUGUCUCCAUCUGCGGAAGUUGUAUAUAAAACGACUCAAAUGAGCAGCUUCCCUAGAAAGAUCAACUUGAGACAUCAUGAAUACUGCAAACUGGCGAACACUCUCAUCCAGCCUCAGCCAGCUCAAUCCAGGGACGAUAUUAGAAGCCUUAGCCAGAAGAUUGAUGAGUAGAAAGUCUCUCUUGAUUGAUUCUCCAACACCAGGAUGCCUCACCUUAACUGCAACAUGCUUUCCAGGAUGUUGAUGUUUUAGUGUAGCCCGAUGUAUUUGUGCAAUGCUUCCAGAAGCUACAGGGUUCUCAUCAAAGGACUCGAAUAUUUCAGAAAGCUCACGACCGAAUGCCUUCUCAAUGGCAGCCUUGCUGUAAGCAAAGCCAUGCGCUGGAGCUGCACUGUGAAGCUUCGCCAGCUCAACACAGAGAUCGCUUGGAAAAAGAUCAGGGCGUGUUGCAGCCCACUGGCCCCACUUGAUGAAUGCUGGCCCAGCCUUUUCGAGGGUCCGGCGCACAAGGCUAAGCCACCUUCUUCUGAAUGCAACACUGAACUUGUCAGCAAAUGGAGCUAAUGCAGUUGCAGGGAAGAAUAGGAAUGUCAAAUGCACUGCUCUAAUAAGCAAAGUCAUGCCCUCCCAGAUUGACCAAACAAGAGAAGACAGAAACUGGCGAGUGUCUUGUGCCUUUGUGAUGAUUCCAUCCAUUCUCGGCAUGAAGGAUCGUGAGUCUGCCAGGACAGGUGGUGCAAGUGCCAUCUUGCCAAAAGCUAGAGCCAUAACCCCAGGGAUGAUAUGGAACCUCGUAAAGGAUAGGCUAACAGCGCAGGCUGCUCGGCUCAUCAGCGGGAACCGGGGACCACGAUACGAGUACAUAUGACUGAGCCGCUUCCAUGCCAAUUGCGCUUGCUGGGUUGCUGAUGAAUUGGCCACUGCCACAGAGAGUGUGCGGUAGCCUCUGGACAUCCUGGUUCUGCACUUGUGAUCCUCACCUCUGUUCUUUCUAAUAAUGACCUUGUAAUGUGAGAACAUUCUUGAGAAGACAGCUGGAAUCUUUCGCCUCGUUGACAAGCCAUUGUCCCUCACAGCUGUAUAAUACCCACUCCUGUUGCUCGGAUGGGAAUAACUGGCCGCCCGUCUAUUUGUUCCGAUCGCCAAUAGCCUGCUCAACAAUGUGAACAGAAAAUGUCAAGGAACUUGCAAGUUUUCAGGCUUAAAUACCGCUUGGCAGAAAGCUAAUUUUACAAGGUGAAAAUUAAGAACUGAAUAUGUGCACAAAAAGGAAAGAGGCUCGAGAAUGUUUGCUGUUGGCCUGAUCAUACUACUACUAUGCCCAAAAUACAGUAUGAGCUCAGAAUACAGUGUACGUGGUUUUUUGUUUCCCAAAUGCCAGCAAUGUACUCAUCAAAUCCCACAUUGAUUCUCCUGAACAAGAGCAAUCUCUAACUUCAUACAUAAGCUACAUCGUAUGGAUAGAUAAUCACAACAAUUCCAAAAGCUCCAAGUUCCAUGGCUUCACAAGUAAAGGUGGACAGGACAACCAGUAAAUCCAAGCCUACUAGUAUGCACACAUAAAACUUGUCGUGCCUAACUGAAAUUUCCACCUUCAAACAUUACUACCUUCGUGAAUUUGCCAAUUUAAGCUAAAUCAGAAGGCCAAUUGAUCACAACAGUUAGUAAGAUUCAGGGCGCCAGAGCACUGCUACGAAUCAAACAAGCCGCACGCGAACCCUGGGCUACCUUAUACUCAAAAUUAAGCCAGAACGCAGCCGUUUGUAACAAAAUCCGGAACCCCUGGCUAUCCACCUUUAACCCCCCCCCCCCCCCCAACACACACACACCAACUGAAACAGGAGAAACAGGGCACGAACGGAGGAACGAGGAGAAAUCGAGCCGCACCUCUCGCCGACCCCCACCAGCCGUUGCAUCGGGGACGCCUGCUUCUUCUGCCUUCACAGGAUCAAGCCCCCGCAGCCCGCAGAGCAAUACCACCCCUCCCCUCCCCUCCCCUGUCCCCCACCAAAACCCCAGCACGGUCCGGCCCCCGCGCCACGAUGCAGCACCAGCGCACGGGGACGCAGCCGAACCGUACCGAACCUGCUCGGGUGGGGACGACAAGUGGAGGCGGCGCGCGCCGCCGGCGAGAUACGAGAUGCGCCCGUGUCGCGUCGCGUCCCGCUCCUUCUCCCCCGGGUCGGUGGGCGAGAGGCGGAGACGGAGAGUCCUGUUUCCCCUUUUGCGGAAUCGCCUGUGUUUUUUUCUUGUUUAAGGGAGUUUUCUUUUCCGUGCUUUUCUUUUCGGUUUCUUUCUUGGAGAGGAGGGCAUCCACGAGGGUUUAUUCCCCGAUUGCCCGGAAGGCCGGAACCGGAACCAUGUCGGCCACGCGCGGGUCGCGGCUCAGGGGUUGGUGCUUUGGUCUCGGCACGCCGACUUGCUGGUGCAAGGUCAGCCGUGUCGUAUGCAUGCACAGUCGUGUGCCAGCAAAGUUGGAAUUGCCAUCUCGUCUUGUCUCGUAGUGUUAAGCUAUGCGCCCUUCAUUUCAUUCGGAGAACAACGUGUUCGGAUAUGUGAAGUUGUAGCUGCAAAGCAGCGAACUUAACGUGUGCCAAAACUUGAACAGGGAGGGAGAGGUAAAACACAACGAUUGGGAUGUACACAAAGUAAAUGUUCGACGAACUGGAAGAACCUGUGAGUUGUUAGAACUUUCAGCUUGUGCGAGACGACACUUCGUGUCAGGUCGUGUUAAUUUGAGUCUUGGGGCAUAAGUUGAUUUUUCUUUUUUCUCUUGUCUCUCCUUUCUCAGAGCUCAAGUUAGUAUGUGUCGGUGUGGGCUGCUUUUUUUUUUAUAAAGUGGUGUGGGCUGCUUGGUAGCGCGGAGGAAAAAAGAGAGAGAAGAAGGAGCAAACAGAUCCAGCCCAACCUAGGCCUUAAUUUGGAGAACAAGUAGCCCACGGCUCUUCAAGUAAGAGCACCUCUGUUCUGACUCUCUAAGCUAAAAUUUGGUAGUUAAUAAGAAAAUCGUGGUCCAGCAGAGUUACUAUCUGACUCUCCAUUCUAUCCAACUUGCCAAACUUUCCCUCACACUUGCCAAAGUAUGGGUCCCACGCGCAGUAAUUGCCAGAAUGGAAAGUGCAAAAUGGAGAGAAUGCUGUAGUGCGAAAUGGAGAGACUAUUGGAGUGGAUGGAGAGUAUAUAUUUUUAGAGAGGAAACUAGAUGUUAGGAUUUGGAGAGCGGGAAAUGGAUAAUCUGUUGGAAGGAGCAACUCAGUAUAGAGAGGAAUCUUUUUACCAACUUGGACAAAAAGUUAAGUGGAGAGUUAAAAAAUGGGUUGUCGGGUAGAGAUGCUCUAACGCAUGGGCUAUAACAGUUGGCCUAGCCCAUAAUAAGUCCACCAAGUCUCAAAUGUCGUAUGGCACCCGGUAGGACUAGCAGAGACGGUAUCAUGAUAAAUACCCUGACUGUGAUGAGAUGAAAAGUUUCGUAGCUCCAUGUUGAAAAUUGUAAAUUUGAGCAGAAGUUGAAAAUGACAUGCAAAAGUGUGAAAACUUUUGCGUUGGAAGUCUGAAUUAUACUCUUGCGCUGUAAGUGUGAAAUUCCCGAGUGCAAACUUCUGAACUUUUGGCAAAAAGGUUGACUUUUGUUUUGGCUGAAAAAUUUAGUGCCUACCCGACUCCUUACAGCCACGAAACUGUCGGGGGCGCACGUGCGUCAAAUUAGCAUUUUCUCUCUCCAGCUCCAGGUGUUUGGAAUGUUUUGAACAACUUGCAUUGGUUUUUCAUCAACUAGAGGAUUCCAGUGCAUGCUUGCAUGGCUUUCUCGAACUAGCUUUCCAUGGUUUGUUAACAGAGUUUGCCGAGUCAUGCAUGGUUACAUUUUUUUGGUAAUGGAAUAUGAACACUCCGUCCUCUGUAUCUUGGAGAUACAUGCAUGCAGCUGUACACUCAUGAUUACCUUGCGCAUUCUAAUUUGAGUCUCUCCCUUAGUCGUCUCUUAUGUGGCAUGUGCCAAUCCCUUUCUCUCUUUUGAAGCGGAAAGAAAGGCGGAAUCGUAAAGGCGUGACGGAAAGAAAAAAAUCAUGUCCGCACCAAAAGGCUAUGCAACUGUACACAGCACACUAUUCUGUCACCUCCUUUUCCAAGAUUCCCACUAGCUUGAGUGCUUGACAAGUCUUCGCCCUCUUGAAAACUAUGGCCCCGUUUUCUUCCACUGACUUAUUUUUAGCACCCGUCACAUCGAAUGUUUAGAUACUAAUUAGGAGUAUUAAACGUAGACUAUUUACAAAACCCAUUACAUAAGACGAAUCUAAACGGCGAGACGAAUCUAUUAAGCCUAAUUAGUCCAUGAUUUGACAAUGUGUCAAUAUAACCGAUCAGAAUGUUGGUGACAGGCUCGGCNNNNNNNNNNNNNNNNNNNNNNNNNNNNNNNNNNNNNNNNNNNNNNNNNNNNNNNNNNNNNNNNNNNNNNNNNNNNNNNNNNNNNNNNNNNNNNNNNNNNCCUGUUCCUGUUACUAAGUUUGAGCUAUGCUCGAGCUUAGUUGGUUUAAUCGCAUAGUACAAUAGACAAUGGUGGACACACUAGGUUUAAUUAUGCUUAAUAGAUUCAUCUCGCAGGUUAAGAUUCCACUUAUGUAAUUGGUUCUGUAAAUAGUCUACGUUUACUACUCCUAAUUAGUAUCUAAACAUUCGAUGUGACACGUGCUAAAAAUAAGACACGGGAAGAAAACGCCCCCAUAGCUCGAUCCAGCCUCCAGGAACACCAGGAGACCGCCAUCAUCUGCCUGACAAAAGCGUAGCCAUGGACGCAUAUAUAUGCAGCGAAGAAUCAAACGUGCUGCUGCUGGUGCAGCUGCAUUGUGGCCUCGUUUGACCACAAGGCCCACAGUGCCAUUUUGAGCGAGCGAUCGACGUCGGGGCCUGUUCUUUUCAGCUUAUAAGCCGGCUGAAAAGCUGAAACGACUGAUUUCUUGUGAGAGAAAAAUACUGUUUGGUGGUUGAGUUGAUAAACCGACUGAAUAAGCUGAAGCGAACAGACCCGAGGCUGCUUCUUUCGUCGUUAUCAUGUGCAGAGUGUUUCAAAGUUUCAAAAAAAAAAUAAUGUGCAGAGUGUUUUCAGAUUUGCACCAAGGUCGAAAAGGCGUUUUCUGUAGCGUUCCUCGCUUGCACGCAUCGCACGUGCCACGCGUAUUGGCAGUUUGUCACACAGUACGUCGACAGCCAAUGCAAUAGGCAUGGGCAUAUGGCAGCACAGCUGCCUUUCCGGCCGCCAAGGACAGACAGAGAAUAGUUUGAAGAAUAAAGUGUGUGUUCUCUUGAUCUCUUCAAUUUCGACGUGACAGUCGAGCAUAUUUUUUUUCUUUCGAAAGACGACACUCGAGAGCAUAUGAACCUACAGAGUUCGUUCCAACAAAGUUCCUAGUGGUAAUAAGGUAUGAACCCCUGUCCUAUGCAGUACGAAUUCUCAUGUUCCCUACCUAAAUUCCUAGUGAAGCACAUCUUGCUAUGUGUGGGAUGCAUGGCCGCGUCGGUCAAUGAUUCCACUGCUUCGAGCAACCUCUCCCGCGCGAUCUUCAUGCAUGCACGCUUCACGCGUAGCAGCACUACGUGGUCAGCCUAGUACUAGCUAUUAGUAGCACCAACACUCGGGAUGCACGUGCUACAGGUCCGACUAGCUAGGCCGGUCCGGUCACAACGAAAAGCGAAAGGAUAUUUGAGCGCCAUGCCGCGAUAGAGGACAGACAAAACGGAACUUUUGGUUUGGUACCCCCGGUCCCCCGGGUCGGGACGUCGUGUGGCCCGGGAGGCCGCGUGGCUUUCACCCCGUGCGAGACAGGGCACGGGUCACGGAUCCCCGCGGCCGUUUCCGUGGUCGGCGGGGGGCCUGGAAACGGGGGGCCGCGCGGAUCGCCCACAGGUCAAAAACGCCACCGCCUGGGCGGCAAGAGCGGCGCUACUACGCGCUGCUGUCACACACGCCCGCGGUGAACUCGCACCGUGACCGAGCCGUAGCGUAUUUACUCCCGGGAAAGCGACGCGCGGCCCCCCUCCGUAGCAUCCUUCCUCGAUCAGUCCUGAUCCCGAUCGAGUGCUAGCGCCGCGCCGCCUGCCUCCCGCAGUUUCUUCUGCUCCUCCCUGUCUGCUCUCCGGCCGGGCCGGCCCGCAGGUCAAACCGCGCAGAGCGGGCGCAGCCCGCAGGCACGUACAGCGACGUAUGGGGCGCGGCUGCACGCUGCUAGCUGGUGGAUGGUAGCCCUACAAGGCCGCGCCGAGAGGGGACGGACGCCGGCGGGACCGGCUCGUGCAGAUCGCUUUCGGGCCACCUAUGCGCGCGUGUCGCCGUGGUCCUGGCCCGAAUUCGGAGCCUGCGCUGCGCGUUUCUGCGGCAGGGAGGGGUUUCGUCGAGGCGAGCUGGCCGAGCGCUGUACAGGCGCACAAGUGUACAAACACUACAGCUCCGGUCAAACCAACUGUUUGUAGUGCGUAGACGUAACGUGGAGAACGGAGCGUACGGGCGACUGGUGCCGUCUUGCGUACGUACGUGUGCCGUCAUGCUUACAUGCAGUAGAGUAGUCGUGAUGGUCCCGUGCAUGGGUAUACAUAAAUGCGCGAUUCAAGCCGUCCUUCCAUGCAUGUACAUGUACUGAUGUACACGGCCGAGCGGCCGGCCGUCCUAUCACCAGAUCUCCCUUCCCUCUACGUGCGCUAUCGAGGUCGAACGGACGAUCACCUCGGCAAGUACGUGUGGCACGUACCUCCUUGGUUUCAAAGAGAAGCGUGUCACAUACUUUGACAUGAUUGGAUGAACGUCGUCGCGCACAAUUGCCCCCGAUCAUGACCGUCGCCAUCUAUCACCAUCAGGCGGCGGCGAAUUGAAGCAGCAGGUAAUAAGGGGAGAGUUUUCGUGGUAAUUCUGUAGUACCACUCCGUCUGGACGAUUCAUUCAAACAGCUGUAACUAGCACACGCCGUGCCUUGGCUAGCGGAGUAGUACUACGCCCACAGAAACUGCACGACGCGACGCCGCGGGCGGCGGCGAAGCGAUCGAGGUGAUGUAUGAGCCUAUGAGGCGCCGGCCCGUACGUCGUCCAUCCGUGUCGACCCGAUGGGGGGAAGUCAGCCGCGUAUAUGAUUGGCAGAUUGGGGCCGGGGGAGGCGACAGCGACGGCCGAGGCCGCGCGCGGAGGUGGCAGCCCACGCGUCCCCGCCGAGGCGCGCCGGACGGCCGCGACGCGACGAAACCGGCCAGCCACGCCACCGCGCGGCGACGGAGCAUGCCGCGAUCGCGACGGUCGCGCGGGCCCGUACGCACGCACACAGACCGCGACGGCGGUGAGAGGACCGCGCAUCGCUGCACGUACACACCCCUAUCGCCGGCGCCGGAACGGAUGCAUGCGGCGGGCGUACCACUACGGCGACCUCACAGCAGGAACGCUACUUUGUUCUCUCGCUCCGCCGGCCGUGCGUGUGGCUAGCGGCUGCCCGGCCUGCUGCUCGAUCCUUUUUCUACACGUGAGCGACGUGACACGGUCUCGGCCUCUCGGGUCGAAACGAUCCACUAGUACGAACGGAGUACCGAGUACGUACACCCCUCUGGCAACAGCAGUCCGCCGGCAUCCACACGUCGAUUUGUACCCUCUUGCGCACUGACACACGUCAUGCUGCACCAAUUCCAAGCUUUUUACUUUCUCUCGGAUUUCACAUUUUCACUCUCCCUCGCUAGCAUCCUUAUCCCUCAAUCACAACUUUAUCAUUACGCUUUAUUUUGUCCUCUAGUUACAGCUUUUGGUGCAUACCCAGUCACUGGACUUGACCAACCUAUAUCAUAAAUGUUAUAAAAACACGUGACAAUUAGAGGUAAGGUGGUCAACCAGCUAGUUACUGUAGCUAGUAGUAACACGUAACUGAAUUAACUCCACACUGAUGACACUAUUUGUUAUAAUCAUUAGUAUUGAUCAAACUCAUAUUCACGGACCAGGCCUCGCUCUAGCGAGUACCCUCUCUGUCCCAAAUUAUUAUUUAUUUUAUUUUUUAAGAUAUUUAUUAUGUACCUAAAUAUAUAAAUUUUUAAGAAAAAUUAAAAUGGAUAGUAAUUUAGGAUGGAAGAAAUACUAAUCAUAUAUAGAAACCCUACAAUGCUACAAUAGGCAUAGUUGCCACGUCAAUUUGCUUCCUAUUUUUUUCUCCAUUUUUAUUUACAGGACAUCCUUCGUUUCAUUAUUAGGACAAACCUUUGACACAUAACUACUCUAUUAAUAAUUUAUUUAUGUUAUAUAAAAAGUAUAAUAUUUAGAAAGUAUUUUUAAUACAAAUCUAAUGACAGUAACAUUGUGUAUUAAUAGAUUAAUUGUUGGUCAAAAGCUUAUUCUAACUAAAUGAAAGAAGGGGUAUAAUUUGCAAAAAAUGGAGCUGUUAAUAUAAGAAAGAAGAAGUCUAGCUCAUGGUACCUAAGAGGCCAAGAUGUUCCACUUUUUUUUUUGAAGGGCAAACAAGAUGUUCCACAUUGAUGCAUGUGAAUACAGGCCUCUAGAAGGGUACUGAUAAUUGCUCGUAGUAGUACAUACGUGAGAAGACUCCACGUCAAUGUGCAGUUCAAGACGAGGUCAUGGCGGCUGCAUUCGUCGCGGAUUUAAUCAAAGGGGAAAUCUUAUUAGCUGCGAUAAUAAGCUUGUUUAUACGUACACGAUUACGUGCAUGCAUGCAAACGUUGACUUUCCGUUUGUAGAUACCGUCCAAGAGACAAAAUGAAUGUAUCGAUCAGAGGUCAGUUGCGGUGUGCCACUUCCGAUACACACUUGGUAUCAGAAGAUUGGCCGUAGUACAUCUAGCUAGCUACUGUAUGUGCCGCGCGUAGGCACAUGCAAGAUUGCAAGUCGUGUCAAAAUGAGCCAUCCAUUACCUGGUGAACAUAGCCACACAAUAUUCUACACAAAUAUCAAGCUCGAUCCGACUUGAAAAGUAAUAAUGUGUCCAUCGAUGGAAAUUUACUUGACUUGUCACAAAACCCAACAGGAGUCCAACAUAUAUAGUUUAUAUUUUGUCAGCAGUUGAUCGAUGCAAUUGUACGCCGCUCAUCAGAGGGAGCAGGCAAGCAUCCGCAAUCAUUAAGUUACGUUGCACACCACACCAGUGCUAGCUAGUGAUCUGUUUUUCUCAACCAUUUUAAAGAAUUAUUGCCUAUAUCAUGUGACUAUGACAGUUACUGGUGUCCUUAUUCAAGCUUAUUUCCCCGUCCUUUUUUGAUGAUUUUCUCUCCUUUUUUUAUAUUCGCGCCACACAGGGCCCCCAAUCACACAGUGACACAAGGAACCAAAGAAAGCAAGGGUGAAUAAACUAGUAGCAUUCUAAGAAAAGCAACCCUAAUUUUUCUUCGCUGGGGACAAGGCGGUGAUGCGAGCGAGAGCGACAGCGGCCGCCUCCACCAAUCAUGCGAGGACACCUUCGCCGUGGUUCCCCACACUGACACGCACCACACGUCCAAUUGAAACGACGAGAAUUACAGUGAGCCGAGAGAAAGAAAUUCAAGGGAACUGAAGCUUCUAACUGUAACCACAUGAACGAACUGGCACAAAGGAGGUGCAACAAUAAUCCUGUACAAAAAUGCGUCCCUGAUGAUGACAUAGAUUUCGAUGCGUUCGCUCCUUGCGGUGGUACGAGAUGAAGUGUUGGACUUGGACCUAGCUUCCACGGAUCGUCGGGUCCCGUGGGAUUUUCUGGGUGUGUUACAUGUAGUCGCUCACAUCGAGGAGCUCCGACAGCUGCAUGCUGAACAGCGCGGCGGCGUCGCUGCUGGCGCUCGCGCCGCCGCCGUACGUCGUGGCGGUGGAGGCGGCGGAGUGAUUCAACCCGGCCGCCACGGGGCUGGACGACGGUGUGGACACGCCGGAGCCGACGUUGUUGUUGUUGCUGCUCGUCACCGUGCUGCUCCACUGCUGCAGGUUCGACGCGUCGGGCUGGACCAUUUGCAUCAGCGCCGGGACGUCCAGGCCGUCCACGUAGCCGGACGGUGGCGCCUGCAUGCUAUUGCAGGCGGCCGCGGCCAUGUCCUGGUGCUGUUGCUGUUGCGCGGCGGCCGCCAGCUGCUGCUGCUGCACCAUCGGGUUCGCGUGGACCAGGUCCGGCAUUUGGCACGCGGCUCCGGCCUGCUGCUGCUGCUGCGACAUGAACUGAUGGUCGGCCUGCUGCGGCAGCGCCAUGGCGGCCGCCUGCGCCAUCUGCGCCUGCAGCAGCCACGGCAGAAGCUGCUGCUGGUCGCCGAUCGCGGCGGGCGCGGCCGCCGAGCCCGACGAGAGCAGGGUGGAGGCGAGGCGGAGGAGGUCCGGGUAGCUGGCGAGCGGCUCGAAGGCGCGGAGCGCGUCGAGGUCGGCCUGCGUGGGGUAGUAUGCGGCGGGCUUGAGGAGCGCGGAGAGGUCGAGGAGGUCGAGGCGCGGGGCGUGGGUGACGGGGUCGAUGCCCAUGCGGAGCAGGCGCUUGCGGAUGUGCGUGUUCCAGUAGUUCUUGAUCUCGUUGUCCGUCCGCCCGGGCAGCCGCGCCGCGAUCGCUGACCACCUGACCAGCAGCCAAUCAUGCACCCAUCCAUCAGAAACCGUACUAGUACGCCUACCUACUACUACUGCUAGUACGUAGUAGUAGAGCAGAAACAGCGAAGCUAUGCCAGCUAGUAGCUGUCGAUGCGAGGAGGAAAAAAAAUCACUUGAUUGUGAUGCUUACUUGUUGCCGAGGAUGCUGUGGAGCUGGAUGAUGGUCUCCUCCUCCUCGAAGGAGAAGCGGCCGCGCUUGAUGUCCGGCCUCAGGUAGUUGGUCCACCGCAGCCGGCAGCUCUUCCCGCACCGCGCGAGCCCUGCCACGACAAGGAUCAACCAAGCGAGGUGAGCAUAUAUACAAAAUUAAACCGAGUCCGGCCAGCAUGUACGGCGAUCGGUCGGGGCGCUCACCAGCAUUCUUGGGGAGGGUGCGCCAGUUGCCCUGGCCGUGCUUCUUGAUGUAGGCGACGAGCUUCUCGUCCUCCUCCGGCGUCCACGGCCCCUUCUUCAGCCCGCUCUUCUCGCAGCACGGCGCGCGCCCCAUGGAUCGAUCGACCGGCCGCUACCUCGGGAGGACGACGACGACGCAGCUCGUGUGGAAGGGCGGGGGAGCGAGGGAAAAGGCCCGGUUUGUCUCGCAGCUAGCUGUAGCCGCGCGCAGCAGAUGGAGGAGAGCGAGAACAGGACGGACAGGCCGGGAGAGCGUCGUCCAGCUACAGGGGUGUGAAAUGAAACUGAGGAAGCAGACAGGAGAUCCGAGUAGGGGGUGGGGGCGGGGGGAUGGCUUAUAAAGGGCGCGAGGGCGACGGGGACCGGGCGUGGGAAGUCAACAGGAUUCGGUGCCGGCCUUUGUGCUUAGCGCCCGCGACGUGGCUGCCAGCCGCGCCCCCCGGGCCACGGCCUUCGGAGGAGCGGGGCCGCAGAACAGCGGCUCAGCUUCCGUUCGGCGGGCACCAGGAGACGGCCAGACGGGAGGAUGCAUCCACCCAUCCGUCCGUCGAUCGGGUGAAAAAAGUUGCUGGAGCACACGCAGGGGCAUCGCCCUCCGCCCCUCCCGGUCCCGGUCCCGAAAAGUAACCGCUGGCGCUGCCCGUACCAGGCAGCUGUGCCACCGGCCCACCGCAGGUCCAGCGCUAGCUAGCCGAGCGUUCUGAGCAAGAGCGUCAGCUCCCAGAAGGCAAGGAACACCAGUGGAGCAGAACAGAACAGAACGACCCUACCAUACGACGGCACGGCUAAUCGGCUCCAUGCAUGGGCACAAUCUCGCUUCGAGCCUAUCGACCCGAAGCUCACAGAAUCUCCUUUUUACUGCUGGAUCGAUAGGAGAAGAUUACCGACCAGGCUUGUUACCGCACACGCACAGGACUGUAACCGUGCUGCCAAAUUUGUUGGGUAUGUCAGCCCCGUUUAAAAUAUCUAUUUUUUAGCUUUGUCAGAAAAAAUAUCUGUUUUUCUCCCUGUUCUUGUUGGUUAUGUUACGUGAUCUUUCUCAAAAGUCAUGCAACGUAACGCUGCUAAAUGGAACUUUGCUGUGGAAAAUGUCAAUGUAAUGGAUGGAUGUCAAGGCCAGUGAUUCGGACCGUGUUGGCCAUCCAAGAAAUGGCAACUACCUUUCUGAAAAAUCAUAAUUGAUUAUAAAACCACAAAUUUGUAUUCGAAAUGGUUUCAUGUGAGAUUGGUUGAUUUUAAAUUUCUGUUUACAAGCAGUCAUGUUUUCUCCCACAGGGUCUGUAUAUAAGAACUGCUGGCACCCCUAAAUAAGCAACAACUAAAACUAAUAAUAAAUGAUACCCUAGAAACUAACAAAACGGAUGGUGGGUGCGGUGGGUUCGAUAUUUAUGAUCUCUUUUUGGCAUAACCUUGAUGGGACUUAAUCGCGGAGAAAGUAGAGAACAAGUAUAUGGAACCUAAAGUAGUGGUUGAGAAAUGUUCAAAAAUAGAUUGGUCUCCUUUUGCCAUCAGCACGCACUUUUUGCGUGGGCCUGUAUAUGUGUGUGUGAACUCAAUUGAAGAAACUAUUUUAGUAAAAAGAAAAUUUUGAAAUGACUACCUAUUGGUACUUGUUGCUCCCUAAUAAAGGAGGUUACACACCAGCAAGAAGCAGUUCCAUAUUCCCCAAUUCAACUACCAUAUUGGAAGAAUUGGUGAAAAAAAUAGUGCGACAACACUCCCUUUACCUUUACCUUUUUCCCAAUAACUAUCGGGACAAACCAAUAAUUCACCCCAACUCUCCCCAGAUAAAGGAGAGUUGUGACUCUCUCAAUAUGGUAGUAUGAUUGGGAUGUGAUUAUUGGGAGACUACAAAAGCAACUCUCCCAAUAACAAUGAAAGUGAUAUUGGGACAUCCCCAUUAACUAGUAAUUGGGAAACAUUUAUUAGGGAACUGCUGGAGAUGCUCUUAAGUCCCCCAUUAAAAAAGAAGAAUUUCCGCACCAUAUAUCAAGAUAGAUUUCCAUCGGUUAGUUUAAGAAAAAAUAAACUUUUGCAUCCUUUUCAUCGGUACUUAGUCAAAACAAAAGUCCUUUUUAUUAUAUAAUAUUAAUAAAAUUAUAGUCACAUUUUAGUAUGGAAAAAUGACCCAAUCUCCAGUUAAGAGCCUUGAAGGAGCCUUAGGAAGAAUGAGUCUCUCCAACCUUAUCUGAGGGAAAAGCCGGCCGAUGGGUUCUAAUCCAAAUUGACCCUUGUUAUAUACUUGGGGGUGGAGGCAGCAUAUCUCCUCUUGGAAAAUUGCCAAAGGGUCCCCAUAUCUCCAUGAAAAUUACCAACAUAUUGAAUUUUAGAACUUUGCAUUAGAGGCCACCGUCACGUUCUGUCCUAACUAGUAAGCGAUGUACAUUGACCAAGAGGUCGAGAUCCCCACUCCAAAUGGUGAACAUGAGUUGAUAGGAAUCAUGUACACUAGUAUUGGUUGACCAUGACAAUAUUGAUAUCAUGGCAGGUCGAUACUCAAUAACGUUAUACGGUGGCAAUACCAGCAGUGGGUCGUACCGAACUGCUUUGAAGGGGUACCUCUGCAAAGAUGCACCUCUAACUAUAAUUUGAAAUGGAGCGGGUAACUUCUAAUUCCGGGCCAAAACAAAAUGAGCAAGUAGGGGAGAGAAAAAGCAGCCAAUAAACACUAUAUAGCCUGAAAAGACACAACAUGAUUAAAGGCGGUUAAGAUCAAAUUUCGCACAGGUGCUCCAAGCAAACGACAAGGAUCCGGGACCGUUCCCUUGGCCCCGUGCGCCUGUGUGCCUUUUCCCCUCUCCGCAUCACCUGGCGUUGACGGGCUCUGGGGCGCCUGCCACCUUGGACGGCUGACGGCACGGGGCAGCGCUGGCCCCCACGCGCCCGCGCCCGUACCCAGCCAAAUAGCCAAUCCCCCCUCGCGAAACCUGCGCGCAGGCCGCAGGGCAUGCAUGCAUGGCUCGCGCUGCCGGCUGCCCCCCGCUGCGCCCAUGGCAGCGGCGGAGCCUGGCCUGCCCGGGCCCGCCCUGCCCGCCUUUAAUUCCUGCAGCGAGCUGCCAGCGUGGCAGGCACUGCCGCCCGGCCGACCAAACGUCCCAGCGCCGUACCCGUACGCCAGCCACCGCCACGUACCCUGCCCGCGCCGUGAACAGGAUCUCCCAGAAAAAUGGGCACGCGAAGCCCGUUUCACUAUGUUUCAAAAAAGAAACCCGUUUCACCCAGCGCGCGCGCGCUAGCCACAAGGCUCCGCGCGGCUCGUCUCCACCAUCCUCGUGUUGGUAGCUCCGACCCUCCCAAAAGUUUUGAGCAUCGAAAUAAACCACCGGGGAUCGUCGACGACGACCGUGAGCGCGCGGCGGCCAGCGCGAUCCGCCGAGACGGGUACGUGUUCCGGUUGAAAAGUUGCCGUGAUCCGGCCUCGCUCGUGCGCGGCGUGCGUGUCUCGCCGUGCGCGGCAGGGCGCGAGAGGCUCCUUCACCAAAAGAUAAUAUUUGUUAGUUAAAAGCGGGAAUCCAAAAUGUCAAAAAGUUUGCCCGAGUAAAUAAAGCUGAGGCGUAAAGGGACGUGACAGCGACCAGAGAGGGAAGGCAAAAGGCAACCGAGAGAGAGGAAAAUCCCAUCCAAAUGUACACGUCGUGAACGAUUAGCGUGCCAAUGUAAAGUGAUGUUUUUACCGCGACAAUAUUAUAUGUUUCGAAUGUAAUCAAUCCGUGGUGGAUAGCGCCCACUUGUUAAUUAACUCGGUGAAAACUAAGUCUUUUUUAGCUACAAGUCAUGUUCGGAAGAAGAAGACAACUACUACUGUUUACCGCGGAAUUUCUACGGAGUUACUGUGAGCCUGUGACACGAACCGCCUUAGCUGCACGCACCAAAACUCUGUGAUAAGCACCGUUCCACAGCGACGCGUGUCCCGGCAGCCUCCGGUGUCUAUGUCAGUUGACUUUGAGGCGAGAAGAUCACAAUAAUUGCUUGGCAUAAAGACACGUCCACUUGUACAAGCCAGUACAUGCGGUAUGUUUCAAUAUUCGAUUAAGGUUUUGACCGUUCAAUGCGCGCACACACCCCUCCCCGGACGAAAUUAAAAGAAAAAUUAAACUAGACACGGAUGACUGGGACACUUGCACUUUACUGGUAAACUAACACGUUACAGAACGAAAUUGCCUUGUUAUAUUAGUUAAUUUGGAUGGCUGGCCUAUAGGGAAUAGUAAGACUAUUUCAAAGAUGAAAAAGGACUGCAAAAUUUUGCAAAUGUCAGCAGAACAGCAGAAAAAAGGACUGCAAGCUGAAAGAUCAGUACGUAGCAAAAUUAUUCUAGAAGCUAGCCUCUUGGGAAAUUUUAAGCUAAGUGGGAAAAGCACGUCAUAAAAGGGGGAGCGUGAGUUGCUGCAAUAUUAUUUAACUAUUUGUUAAUAAGCUUGCAUGUUACGGUUUUCAUGUAGCUGACUGGUAAUACAAUCAUCUGAAAAUGGAUGGCCAAACUAUGUGAGAUUGGAGAUUCAACCUGCGGCCUCCACAAUUCUAGGCAUUGGCUUUUGCUGCUAAUAGGGGGAACAAUUUGUAUGCUAGUGCAGUGUGUGCGUUUGGACGAUUGUUAUAUCAGAAAGAAGAAAGAAAAUAGCAUCAGUAGUAGCUAUUAGUAGAUGUACCCUAGGUCAGCAUUCCUGAAACAGGAUGGAGAGGGAAGGUGGAAAGGAUACAAAGAGUGUAGCUUAAGAAACAGUGAUGUAUCCAAGAGGGAGACAGGGUCGGGGGAGACGAGAAGAUCUCAUCCACUUCCAUCAAACGUGCAACUAAAGGAGUCAAAUCACAUCGAAUGCUUGUAAUGGCAGUUUUGGGCUAAUUGACUUGGUCAUCCAACCAGCAGGCACCUGAACGCCACUCCCUAAUUUAGCUUAGCCACCAACUAAGCACCCGUAUUAGUUUAAGGAAGUGGCUGCUAAGUCCAGAUUAGGCAACCGCAAGUUCUCAAGUUGCUCCACUAACGGUACGGAUUCACACUAUUUUCCCGUCGACUCUUUCGAAGCUCAUCAUUAUGGGAAGGAACAUCAUCUCAUGAAAAGAACCUUGCAUCUACUUGGACUGUAGCUGUUUAGACCACUUGAGUCUCGUCCUUCUCGAAUUCAUGGAGGAACGAAAAGAUAUUUCAUGUGAUAUACUAUGAAGUAUUCUGUAUUCCCUGUCACUGUUUCAGUCAAGUGAGCUUCCUGUACGUAGAUGCUGCUGGUCUUUAAGAGACAGUAUUAGACUUCUAGAGAACCUAAUUAAAGGUGCAUCGCAUCGAUUUCUGAUUCAUUGGUUAAUUGGUGUCUCUGCAAAUGAAAUGACACGUAAAAUGAGAAAUGACACGUAAAAAGUUUUGCACGACAUUGCAGUAAGAAGGAAGGAAAGGAAAACAGAAGGGCCGACGCGCGAAUCCUAGCUCGAUCGAUGCACGUUCUUCCGUGUACCCGCCGAUUCAACUAUUCAAGCACGAAAUGCCAGGAAGACAUUAAAAAGAAUUAACUCGAUCAAGAAAAGCUAGCAAAUGUGCGCAGCAACUGCUCACGAGAUGAAUUCUCAUUUGACAACGUUCCAUUCGCAUGUAACGUAACUGAUCACGCAGCGCGGCAAAUGUGCGCAGCCACACACAUCGCUGGCGCGCGGCAAUCUUAUUUCACAAGGUCAAGUCUUGCUGAGCUCAACAGUACGUGCCGAUCCAACGAAUUCGGAGGAAAUUCAGCUGGUGGGGCUAGAUUAGCCGACGCCAUAUUGACAGUGCCUCGUGCCGCCCCCUGCACACACGUGUGAAGCUCCAGCACGCGAUGCGUGCGGACGCGUCCAACCUGCAGCUGAUCAUCUCGAUCGCGCAUAUUAUUCUUACAGCGCAUUCUUACUUACUUUAAUUCGGGCCGUACACGGGCCGCAAUUAAACUAAGGCAAAUUUAAAUUCAUUUCGACGGUUUCAGUGAGAUCAUCACACACACGACUGGUGAUCUCCUGUAACUUCCAGUGAUCAGUAUAGAAUAAUACACACACCGGCAUGCAUACACACAUACACGUAUUGAUAUAUACAUACACAAAUACUACUAUAUACGUACAGUUAGUAAAAUACCCUAGCUAUGUACUAGGUAUAUCGUAGCUAGAUUACGAUAAGUUUCAACAUCCCAGCAAGAUAAACCGGGCUAGAUUUGGAAGUAACCUUUUAAAUAGUGCCCCCAUGUCUCUCGGCAAGGAGACACCCGCCAUCUUCCAAGCACUGUCCAAAUUAUAUGAAGCUAGCACACACGCAGCCCAAAUUAACUAUGGUUUCGUCAAAGACAACAGCAAUUGUUAUCUUCCUACGUGGCGCUUCCCAAGUGUUCCCUGGCGUAUGGUUGCCCAAACUUAGUAUACACCUGUUACUUGUUAUAUACUCCUUCCGUCCCAAAUUACUGUUCGUUUUGAUUUUUCUAGAUGCAUAACUUUUGAUAUGCACGUACAUAGCAAAAAUAAUGUACCUAGAAAAUCUAAUAUUAAUAUUAAUUUGGGAUGGAGGGAGUAUAUAAUAUGUUUAUAUAUUUAUAUAUAUGCAUAUGCUUGCAUCGGCGGUUUGACCACCCCUACCAUACAUGCGUACGCGAGCAGCGAGAGCGAGACACGAGAGUUGUUACGAAUAGACGCGACAUGCACACGCACCACCAGCCUACGUGUCCCGGAGCUCCCCAAUAAUCUAGUGGCGAGCAUAUGCUGCCCCGGCCCUGAUCCGCGCAUUAGUUGGGCGAUUAUUCGCGUGAUCUGCCGUGAGGUCACCGGUCGCGCCUGCUUCAUCCAAACGUUGACGUUUAUACUAUUAUACACGUACACCCGCCGGAUUAAUUAUUAACUUGGCCGGGUUUAAUUUUCUUUGCUUCUUUUGGGCCGUGCUUUAGUUUAAUCGUCUCGGGCCUUUGCUUGGAUGAUUAUUCUAGAGGGGGAAAAGUACCAGGAAUGGUUUGAAAAUUUGGGUGUAGACAUCUUCGUGUGAUCUUGUCGUGAGUGACUCGGCGAGUCAAGGCGCUGCGCUGCUAGCUGAUGCUGUGGUCUACGGAGCGGAUCGCCCUGUAGAUACUAUAUAUAGAGUAAUGGAAAGUGUCGAGCGGCAACGACGUGCUCUGACUUUGCUGUAAUUUGACACUUGGGUGGUGUUCGUGCCCUUUUGUGGGUAACACCGUACCUGUGAUCGAUGGUCGUGUGACGUGUAUGGAUCAGGACUACUGCCACCGGGAUUGAAGGGGCCGGCCGGAAUGAAGUCACAUGCAAUGGAUCAAGGUAAAAUACUAAACAAGUACGUACACACGACGUAGCUUAUCCAAUAAUCUACACCUCUCUGCUGGGACGACCCUGCUGGAACAUUCAUCUGCUGAUGAUUAGGCAUGCAUGACGAAGGUCUUAAUGUAGGAUCGGAGUAACAGCUGUGUCCACCUCUAAUCCGGAUUCUUUUAUGCAUGUUUUGGUGUUUUCGAAUUGCAGCCGUUCAUUACAUGGCCUCAGUUUUUAAAAUUUUUUGCCCCCGCUCAGAUGAUCAUGUCAUCAUGUGGCCUGUGGCCAGAACGCUCGAUCGAGGUGUACAUGUACGCCGACGAUGAGGUGUCCAGUUAGCAGCAACAACCUUUGAAUUGAAACCGCACAAGACGCACCGUACCUGUUCUCGCUCUCACUCUGCUUGCGUUUGCUGAUCGAUGUCGUCGCGUUGCACACAUCACGAGCCCUAAAAAACAAUGCCCAGAUAUGGGGGCCUGGGAACGACGCGCCUGUGGCUGUGUGCCGCUGUGACCUGGACACGAUCCUCUCCCAUCUCCGAUCCCUUCAUUGCCCGGAGUUAGCAGGAGUAGAUGGCUGGAGACCAUUAUGGUUUCGCCCCGUCACCACUUGCAUGGCCCAUGCACACGCCAGGGCACGUACUUGCUCCGAUCCCGCCAUUUCUUUAUGCUCCAUCAUGUGGCUCGAAAUGGCAAGAACGAUCGAUCCGGCGAGCAGUGUGUAUCUUAUGUGGUAUUAUUGACAUCUGGAUCAGGAAUAGUUGGUGGCACGGACAGCACACUUGCUGCCAGGUCCUUGAUUUCUUCCAUGCUCUCCGUCCGGCGGCGGCGGCAUCAUCAGAAGCUUCACGAUGAGCUCCCCCAAAAAAAAAGGAAAAAGAAAUGGUCGGUUCUGUGACUGGAAAUGCACGCGGCUGAGAAGACAGAGAACGAUGUCUCUUCACGAUUUGGAAUUGUAUAUUCAGCGGUUUGACAUCUGUUUUCGGCGGUUCAUACACUGAUGAUAUGACGGUUUGGUUGGUCGUCCCUGAAAGCUCGCAGCUGAUCUUGCUCUUGCCAGCUCGGAGUAGAUCUGUAGAUGACAUGAUUUGUUGUGUUCUUCCAGAAGACGUCGCGUGUUUAACUGAGUUUCUAAGACAAAACUCACCCAGGACGCAACAAAUGGACUGUAGUUUAGCACACAAAUAUCAGAGCCAUAUAUCUCACUUGGAUAAAACAAAUUAGAAGUUUUUUGACACCGUUUCAUCAGUUUCCGCUGUUAUCUGAAAUAAACGACUCUGAAUUGAAUCCGGGUUCAUUGGUCCACCUGUACAUGAAGAACAUGUGAUUUCCGUUCGUCAGGCAGGCAACACUUGCCGGAAUGGUUGACUCGGAGCCAGCAUGGUGGAUUUUCUGCGAUAACAAGCGACAGGUACCCGGCAGCUAGCGCGAGGCCGCCCGGGCGGUUUCAGAUCAGGAUAAACUCCUCAAACCCCAGGGAAUUUUCACCGUGCUUACAGAGACAAGAAUUACAUUAUCCUGAAUAAUUCCUCUAACGCGCAAAAGCAAGCGCGACUUUUUUUUCUUCAGGAGAAAGAACAUCCGAUGGAUCAGUGGCGCCUCUUAUGCAGGGUGGCAAAAGUCAGCAUGGAUUGCAACGACAAGCCAACCACAAGUCAUCUACUGGAGCUUCAUUCGUGGAAGCCUGACGCGUCGCCGUUGGGGAAAACAACGCUGAUCUGGGCAGGGCUUUUCUGCAGCCAGAGUUUUCGUGCUGACCAUGCAGGUUUUUGGUUGGGCUAAUCAUGCUUUAGAAGCUGCCAAUCCUGCAUUAGGACCUGAAUGAGCAAUCAAGGUCGUUAUCCUAGCGAAGAUGCAGCCCUUUCCGCGUCUUUUUCUUCGGUUUGAAUUGGUGGCCAAACAUCAUAUGCCCCUGCAUGGCGCCCUGCUGCAAGAUUGGUCAGAGAUUUCUCCCCUUUGUUAUUGGAGGAUAUCAGGUGUGCGUGCGUGGACGUCGUACGACCAUGAGAGCAGAGCAUCAGGGUUGCACAACAAAUUCACACAUUGUGAAGGCAAAUGUUCAGGAAUUUUGUGAGAAAUUGGGCACAGAGACGACGAAGGCGAGCAUCACGGCUCGCAUGAAUUGCGUCUGAAUGAAGUUGCUUAAGGAGUUGUUCAGCACAUUGCUCCGAGGUAAUAGUGUGUUUCCAUCCAUUUAAUUUUGUGGUAAUGGCAAUGGAAGUCAUAUGAGUAUGUUUUGCGGUUUCUCUGCUGAAUCUGAAUGUCAGACAGAAUACAAUUUGAUGGGGGGUCAAUAAGGUAAAUUGGUUCCAAAAAAAUCAAUGUGUUGAUGUGUGAAGUAUCAAUGCAGCUACUUGUAAUUAGCUGAGAUCAUUUCAACAAGCUUGUCAUGCAGAGCUCCAUUUGUCACCAGAACACCGCCCGAAGGGUAGAUGAUUCUGCGAGAUGUUAGGUCAGCUGCAAGAUCCAACGGUUUUCCACUCCAGUCACUAAUCUGUCAGUUUCAGAAAGUUACAAGAUCAUCGUGAUGAACUGGGAACUGGGUUGACAUUUGGGAUAAUCUUGUCUUAACAAGCAAGGAAGGUACAAACCUGGCCACCGGCUUCCUGCACGCAAAUUACCCCAACAGCAUGAUCCCAGGACUAUGUAAACAGUAUGAAAAGAAAGGGUCAUCAGUGCACCAGUUAACUAAGUCAACAAGCUGUUUAACUUGUCAUGCAGGACAAGGGGAAAUUGUAGGCAAACAAGGCACCUUGAUCUGAGUUGUCGUCCGUGCUCGAAGGACAAAAACGGAGGCUCUCCCGGAAGCUACAGUUAGAUACUUGCACAAGCUAUAGAAUAGCAACAAGAAGAGCACAUCAGGAUGAACUCAUAUGCAGCCGACCAAUCGAUAAACAUUAAUCGAUCUAAUAUAGUCAUCAUCAACCUCAGCCAGAUUUUUAUAGGAAAUUCAAUGAUAGCAGGACAGCACAGUAAUAGAGAAAGAUAUUUAACAUUUUAGGCUAUGCCAGAAAGUCUACGGUACAUAAACAAAAGAGCAUAGUAUCCAUAGCUAACUUGAGGAUGGGGAGAAAAACAGUCAUUGAUUUCAAAUGACUGUUGGUCAUCGUUAGCACCAUAUGUUGGAGAAAUCAGUCAUUGUUUGGAAUGCCUUAGCUCAUUAGCUAGCAUCAUAUAUUAACUUGCUGGAGGCAUGAUAACAAAAAUCUUAUGCAAGUAUCAAAUCAUGAAUGGAAGGUGCAACAAACCUGCCACAGAAAACCGAUAGGAGAAGAAUUUCAUUCUCAUUUCUAGGAUCAGAUUCACCCGUUGUUGAAUUGAAGAGAACAGAUAAUGGUAUCAUAUCCCAUGUUUGGCUAUCUGGAAUGCAAUAGCGUGCCAUGUGAACAACUGAACAUGUAUCAACAAAGCAUCUUUUCCAAAUAUCCGGUGCGGUAGUGAAUUGGCCAAUCUCAGCAGACAAGCGCCUAGUCCAUGUACCACAGCCUAGAUGAGAUAUCAUAAGAAUCCCACGGCCAUUACAUGCAGCAGCACUGUCAUCUUUCCCGUUGGCUACGGUAUAAUUGGUCCAAUUCGGACAUCCCAUCACUCCAACUGUUACCUUUCCAUUCACCACAAGAGCCAGACCCACCUUAAGAAAUGGCAAAAAUGUAUGUUAGAAGAAAAAGAACACGUAAAUAAAAGCAAGCCAGGUUAAUAACAAAUAAUUUAAUAAAGAAUCCUGAAUUAGCCAGUCCAUGCUGAACACGCUUGGUAUUCAGAUGCGUGAAGUUUGUCACCAAAUAACAAAGUGCUGCGGAACUCAAAAGGCAAAAAAGGUGCCUCAUAAAAAAUCUGUAUGAACAUUCUUAACCUCAGUUAAUCGUUAAUGAUGUGAAAUCAUAUAAUGUCUUGUAGUAAUGAGGGUGAGGGGCUAUCUGGAAAUCCUCUAAUCACAUGCCUUGGCAUUCCAUGAAUCUUGUGACAAGUAAAUAGCUGAGAGCAUCUGGAUCACUUAUGCUAUAUGAGGAAAUUAACAGAGGCUCUGAACCAACCUACAGUAAUAUCAAUAUAGAAAAUCCCAAGACAGAGGAACAUGCCUGGCACAAAUGUGGCACCAAGAAAUUACCCAAGAGACCGUGCUUGCAGAAUGGAAGACAUUUUUCGUGCAAAAAUUAUUCAGCCUAGGUAAAAUUGAAGAAUAUGUAGCAGGGGCUGAAUAAAGCAUAUCAGUGCCAGAUCAACAGCAUGUAAAGAUGAGUUUUACUGUUUUAGAAAGAAAUUAGGGGAUCAUACCACAUAAAGAGCAUCAUCCCCUCUCAAGAAACCUUUGGUGCCAUCAAUUGGAUCAAGUACCUCCAAACCAAAGCAUAAACUUUAUGACAUAUUAACUUGGCAGAUACCAAUAAAUGAAUUAACUUCAAAGAACUGAACGUGUAUGAUAAAUAAAACAUGACAGCUUACUGAUUACCCAAUAAGUAGCAGGGUUUGAAUCAAAUGAGACAGCAUCCUUGCCUCCUCUAUCAAUUGCUCUCAGCACAUCAUCUUGAGUUAAAGGUGAACCACUGUUGCUCACUUUGUCUGCAACUGCACUAAAAAUUGACUCAACAAGUACAUCACUACUAUUAUCGUCAGCUUCUGAUGACCUUAGAGAUGCCGAGUCCUCUUCUGCCACCAGAGGUAUUGAUGGGAACAGUCUCUGGAGUUCUUCCAAUAGCAACAUGGUAAAAUAUGGCAUUAGACAAAGCCACAAAACUGAACUUCGAAAUUGUGCUAUGGAUUACCCAAACUAACAAGGGCCUGCACCCCGAAAUCCGCAAUUGUGACAGGAGUUUGGUCAUUCUUUUCAAGAAUACUCUUGCCACCUGAAAACAGUGACCUCUUCACCUGUCAAAACAUACAACCGACCAAGCAAAAUGGAGCUCAGACAUUUUUGUAGUGAGACUUCAGUCAAACAUUCAGAUUUGUUCCAUCAUAUCUGAAUGAUAACUCACAAAAAUUACAUAUUGAUACAGUGCAGACUAUUGGCUGCUCAACAUACAAAGCAAACCCUGUUGAGCUUCCCAAUUCUACUAUGCUUGUUUAGUAAUAUCUCAAAUUCAGACUAGAUCAAUGUCAAUUCUCUUUUUGAAUGAUCCAUGAAUAAUUUGUUUAUGAGUACAUUCAGCAUUGUGUGAAUUAUUAUACGUCAAACUUUUUAUUUCCUAAUGUAACCCAUAUAGUAUGAACUUGCCUCUACCAUGGUUAGUGUUUCCUGUCCCAGGCAUAAAUGAUAUAUCCUGCUAAGACUUUGACCCAUUUUGUCUAGGAAAAUGGAGUGGCGUGCUCUAGGUAUAAAAAGAGGGCGUAGCCGGUGCUGAAAGAUCCCACACAAGGUCUCUGGGGAAGGGAAUUUCUAGAAAGCCUUGCCCUUCUUAAUUACAAGGAGGCUGGGGAAGGGAAUUUCUAGACCACGCCCACCCUUAGGUAGUCCAUGCAUUACUAAGCGGAUAGUAAUUUUUAAUCUUUUUGUUUGACAAUAACUAAAUAACAUUUUAUGCGAUUAAUGCACACUUACUCGUAAGGCAAACACAAGCCUCAUUGGAUGGUUUUACUGAAGCUUGUGGGUACACAGAAAAUCAAUGCUAUUAGGAUCACAAACCUAUGUAGCAGUGGCGGAGCUUGAAGGAAAUAAAGCGGAGGCAAUCAGUACUAUAUUGUUGCCCUGUGCAGAUUUAUUAAUUUCUAAGCAUCAGGAAAUGUAGAGCGAAACUUUGGAUUGACCAAGUUUCAUGGCUCUUGAAAGCAUGGCAUCAGAUUGACAGCCUGGUGCAGUGGUGCUCCACAAAUUCGUAAAGACUUAUGUUUCUAAAGAAAAAUCAACACAAUGUUGCUCUCAAAAGGUCAAUCCUUAUGCAAACUAGUUGACCAUUUAGAUCAUUUCUGUUCAGCCGUACUAUUGCAUUGCCAAGAAGCUGUGAGCUUGUGAGAGCCCAGUUUGUGAUUUAGAACAUCUAGUGUUUCCCCAAUGCUGCACGAAUUAUAUGCACGGCUGCCUAUACAUCAAGUGAUCCCGCCAAACAGAAAUUUAUCCCGCGCUGAUACCUAAGCAGAAGCCUCUAAUUUCACCGAACCAGUAAAUCAGGAGGAGAGGGGAUGAGGUCAACUCACGUCAACGCAGAGGCGGCAGGCGCGCUCCACGGCGGCGAUGGCCGCGGCGAGCUCGUGGUGGUGGGAGGCGCGCUCCGGAGGGAAGGGGAGCCCGUAGGUCUCCGCUGCGACUGACACGGCUGCAUCCCCAGCCGCCGCCCUGUCCAGGAACGAGCAUGAGUGAGCAGAAGCGGCGGCGGCGGUCGGGUUCUUAAACUCGCGCGCAUGUGACGACAGGGUAGGGUUAGGAUCCGGAGGAGGGUCGUGAGUUUGUUCACCUGAAUGAGAGGCGGGUAUGACGGGGAGCCGGCGGGAAGCACAGCCGGCCGCGGCCGGCGACGAGGAGGCGGUGCGGCGGGAGCGAGAGGUGGAGGAGCGGCAUGGCUGUGUGUGGCGGGAGCGAGACGCGCGGCGCGGUUGCGAUGCCGCCGCACGGAAUACGUAUACGUAUUCGGUGGGUAUAUUCGCGACAUACUAGUGGGAAGACAAAAUACGCGUUCAAGAGCUGGAUACGCUUCUCUCUCUGAUACGCGAUCACGAGCAUAGUAAUAAACUAAUAAUGGCCCAGUCCCUUACUUUCCUAGUUGGGCCUAAGUUUUUUUCUGAGUUCGUUGGGCCUAGAAGUAAUCGGGCUAUAGCAGGUAGAGAAAGUGUUUGUAGCGAGCACGUUGAAUUUGGGGGUUUUUUUUUUAGAAGAACGUCAAUGUGCUCCGUCCAUUUCAAAUCUUUCUCCUAAAUCUAGUCUUGAUCAAAUUUAUCGAAAAAUGUAAAAAUAUCUAUAACAUCAAACUAGUCUCACUAGAUGAACCAUGAAAUAUAUCUCAAUAAUGCAUUUUAUUUGCUAUUGCAAAUGUUAAUAUAUUUUUAUAUUAACUUAAUCACAACUAGUCACGUAAGUUUUCUACGUUGCCUCGCUGGUUGUGUUUGGUAGUUGGAACCUUCGAAAUGGACUAUAGUAGACGAGAAUAGUACAGAUACAUUCAAUUGAAUACGACCAUCAUUGCGCAUUGCUUGCUAAUCGUCGCCGUUUUCGUGGAGGGCUUCAUUUAGCAGCAAAACACUACCACCAUUACCAACGUUUCACCAUCACGCCCGGCCUGGUCUAAGUUAGUAUCUUGGUGAUAUGCCAUUUAUAGUGAGAGCAUGCCAUGAGACUGGAGGUGCGAGGUGUAAGUGCAAUUAUUUAAUUUGUAGAGAAAAUUUUGCAAUGUUUCCAAAUCGUCGAUCGGUGUUUGUUGAGAGCCGAUGCGUAUACUAUCUACGCUGAUUGCAUCAACACAGCUGCCAGGGAUAAAGGCACGGAUAAGGAAUACUCAGACCCAAUGUUAGCCUACACGUUAAAUGGUAAAUAGUCAGUCACCUAUCGUUUAGCUGGACAUUUAAACAGGUUACACGGUCAUUAAAUGGGUAAGCGGACGAUUAACACUACUACAGAAAACGGCUUUAGUACUAGGAACCCCCUCUAGUACCAGUUGUGCAACCUGUACUAGCAAUUCAGUACUAAGGGGGUCCCUUUAAUACCAGUUGAAGAUGUUAAAAAAUUAAAAAAAAUGAAAUCCCCAUCGCCCGCCCACUCCCCCCUCCUUUGCCGCUCGCCUCCUACUCCGCCCCACCCGCUCCGCCGCCGCCCGCCGUGAGGGCCGGUGAGGGUGCCGGGUGAGGAGGAGGUAGAGGAGGAGGAGGAAUUAAGUUAAGGAAGAGGAGUAGGCAGAGGAGGAGGAGGAAUUAAGUCAAGGAAGAGGAGAGAGUGAGAGAGGAGAGAGAGAGAGAUGAGAGGGCAGGUGGGAGACGGAUAAAAAGCUGGCAACAGCGGGUGAAGGAUAAGAAGACAAGAGAGAGGAUGGAGCUUUAGUAUCGGGUGGUAGCUCCACCCGGUACUAAAGGUAACCUCUAGUACCAGGUGUAGCUAUCACCCGAUACUAAAGGGUCUCCGAGGAUCUCAAAUUUGGACCGAGUACUAAUGCUAACGUUAGUACCGGGUCCAAAUAUGACCGGUAUUGAGGCUGUGGACGAGAGGUCAUUUUUCUAGUAGUGUAAACGGACACGACUUACCACUGUGUAGCAUUUAAAUAGUGUGUAAACGGACUAAACGACCGUGUUGGCGAACACUGCUCAGGCCAAGCCUUCACGACUACAGAAUCGGCCAGUUGCCAGUGGCCAGAGCUCCAUUUUUUUUCCGGCAGGGAAUUGUUGUUGCGUAGGUAGUGGUAAGAUCGAUCUAACGAAUUAAUUCAAGAUGUGUACAAGUGAAUGCAUUAAUUCAUCACUGGUUCAUAUAUUACAAAUCACAAGUCCCCAUCAGCAAGCUCUCCUAAUUAACGAGACCUCCAUUAACAAACUAUCGGAUCGAUCUUCCCACCAUACCCUCUCACUCAUCACAAAAUGAUAUCACGCACGCAUGGGUUCAUCCAUCUCCGCCAGCUGAUAGAGAUCACAGUUAAUUAAUUCAAGAACACGUUUCGAUCGAUGGACGACGGAGCAAUGGCGGCUUAAGAGGAUCCUCCGAACGUGUCGAAGAUGGUGGUGUGGAGCGGGUCGCUGAGGUGGGUGGCCCAGUUGUUGAGCGGGCCCUUGCCGGUGGCGGCGGCCUGCACGGCGAAGCCGAGGAAGGCGACCAUGGCGAGGCGCGCGUGCUUGAUCUCCGCCAGCUGCAGCCGCUCCUUCUUCUCCGGGUCGGCCGCCAGGCCGAGCGGGUCGAAGUAGGAGCCGCCCGGGUAGAGCCUCUUCUCCGGGUCGAGCUCGGCGUUGCGCUGGAACUCGAUGUAGCCGAUCACGAGCACCUCGAUCCAGAUGAGUGUCGAGAUGGAGAAGGGCAGCGGCUGCCCCAGGUAGGACGACCCGUCCACAAGCUCAACCUGCCAGCCAUCAAUAACGUUCAGGUUAGACGCUUGCAUAAGGAUGGAAUGAAACAAUUUUGGUGCACAUAUGUAUAUAUACAUACCUUGCCGGCGUCCUGCCAGGUGACGCCGGUGAGCCACUCGACGGAGAGGGCGCCGAGGGUGGCGAGCAUGGCCCAGCGGCCGUGGAUGAGCUCGCACUCGCGGAAACGCUGGAGGCCGAAGACCUCGCUGUAGGGCUGGAACGGGGUGGACUUGACGUCGGAGGACUCGAAGCGGGUGCCGAUGAUGCCGCCGGCCUCGUUCUUGGCCAGGUUCUGGUCCAGCGAGUCCAGCUCGAACUGCAGGUACUCCACGGGCUUCCCGAGCCCGAACGGGUCGAACCCGUAGUCGCCCACCAGUGACCCGUCGAGGUAGUCGGGCGCCACCGCGCCGGGGAACCAGAGCGGCCGGUCGGAGACCGACGACGUCUUGGCCGCCUUCUUCGGGGCGGCGGUCUUCUUGCCGCCGCCGAACCCGAACCGGGCCACGAUGCGCCCGUUCUGCGGCGCUGGGUCCGCCAGGCGGGUGCCCAGGAAUGUGCUCGCCGCGGCGGCCACCGACGAAGCCAUGGCUGCUGCUCCUCCUCCUCCUCCUGGGUGUGCUGAGAGCGUCAGGUGGUGGUGGUGUGUGGCGUGGAGAGGGCUCGUCCCGGGGUACAAAUAAGAAAGAGUUCCGGUGCUAUCUCCUGCGUGGCAGAUCGGACGGCCCUGGGACGGAUGUGAUCUAUUUGACGGCAGCGAUGGGCUCUGCCUUAUCCGGGUCUUAUCUGCAUGGUCCAAUGGAUGGGCUGCUGGCGGAGGGCCUCGGGACACGUGGAGGGCCGUGAUUGGGAGGAGAGCGUCUGGAGCGCCUGAGAUUUGUGGUCUUCGGAGUGCCUGGGGCUGGGAAAUAUCGGCCAAAAUGAUUUUGGAGAUCACGUGGUUUUGGAACUCAAAAUGGGCGUGAAGCUCUCUGCUUCUGUUGUUGACGGUAACGGAUCUCAAAGGCGUGUUUGGACCGCUUCGCUUUAGAUUUUCUAACUCCACUUUAAAAUUAUCUUGCCAAACAUUUCUAGCUCUAAUAAUACUAACUUCAAGGAAAAAAUAUGCAUCUAGGAGCUAACUUCAAGAUUUUUUCUGGAGCUUCUCAAAGGGUGCUUCGAAAAUACAAGUUUCAUUCCAAUAGAAGUUAGUUGAAAAUUACUCACUAAUGUCACCAAUUACACAUACCGAUUUAGGGGGAAAAAAGAUUGACACCUCCCCGUGCUUGUUCAUCUUCCAUCGCUGCCGCCUCUCCCUCCCUCUCACACUCUUCUAUUCCGUCGUCGCCGCCAUCUCCCCUUCCUCUGGCGUCCGAUUUCACCCCAAUUUGGUCAUCUGCAUCCUUGGUGAGCCCGGUUUGCUGAAAUGCUGGAUGAUUCAUCUCCUGGGCCCAAUGUCGCAGGCCACAUCAAUUUUCAAUGCUUUAAGAUGGUCGCAAUCUUCGGGUGGCAUAAUUUUCAACGCGUAUGACGUAAACUAUUCUGCAACAUUUGAGAGCACUGGAUUUCUUAUGGUAGUCCAAAUCAACUUACUUUGUGAAGAUUUCUGCGGAUUCUUUUUGGAAAAGGAUACAAAUCACUUUCAGUAUCAUGGACUACCGAAUGACCUCAUACGAACACAUGACGAUCGUGCUGGUUUUCAAAAGUGAUCCUUUAUUACAAUGACGCGGAGUUUUAUUCCAGAAAAAUUCCAACGGUCAGCUGCGCACAAUGAAGUCUGCAAAGUAGGCGAAGCGAUGUAGCAAAGUGUUACCGUAGCGAUCGGUACUGUAGCAGUCGGUUAACGUAGCUGGUAAAAAAAAACAUCAAUCCCAACCAAGGGCAAGAGAGACCAUUCUCGCCAAUUCCUAUAAUUUUUGGAGCUGAAGUUUACACUAUUAACCUCGUAGCUCCCUAUUUUCUUAGUUGGAGUGGAGCUUUAAGUUGGUGGAGUGAAGUUAUUUUUUUUUUAAGCGGAGCAGUCCUAAAAAUGCCCAGCCAGGCAGCCAAUGGAACAUGGCCUUGCUUCCUAGCUAACAAAGUGAAAAUGUUGCAGUUUUCUCACACAGGUGAAUCCAGCGCAAAUGGUCUAGUGACUUGUGCUUUCCACCUAAGAUAUUUUCCAGUUCACUGUGCCAGGUACAUAGAAAUUCAGACAAACAACACAUCAACUGAUUUCAUGUUCACCACAAUACAUCUCCACCAAAAUACAAAAGAGGAAAGCUAUAUUUCUCUGCUUACGAGUAACAUUGGUUCCCACAUACUUCUUCAUAUACUUUCGAACAAGCGGUGAGAAUGAAUACAUUUGAAGAUACAUGAGAAAAUACAAAUAUCUGUUCAAUAGCAAGAAUAAUCUGGAUACUUUGUACGGCAGAACGCUACACCACACGACGAGCAGCCAAAGAUGUCUCUGUGGUGAAAGGGGAUGAUCGAUAUUCUCUCAAUACAGUCCAGAGGUUACUGUUAAGUCUGUUAUCCACGGAAACUCUCCUCUGCGGAAGGCUGACCUAAUGCCUCAUGGAAUAAAGGUCUCCAUCAAAUUUCGUAACAGCUUCAUUCGGCUUUGGAGUUUCUGAUCUUUCCUCUCUCUUCUUCUUUUCCCUGCCAAUAUAUAGUUAAGUUGGGUGAGUUUUCUGUCACUGGAAACGUAUUGGCAAGAGGGACAAUGCAAAAGGGUAGACCAAGUAAACUAAGAAAUUAGCAGUCCUUAAAUAAAAGAGGAGAGAUUCAAGUGGCCAAAAAGGGUAAAAAACACUGAUCAAGUUAUGUAUUCAAGAAAUUCAUUCACAAUAAGAACUUCUCAAAUAGCUUAGCAUAUCAUUUAAUGAAGGUGUCCAACUUAAAUGACACGUAAAGUGACAAAGAAUUAAUUUAUUGCUGGGACACGGUAUUACCUAUCCACAUAUUCCUUGAGAAGUUCCUUGGCUUGAACCAACUUCGAGAGUAUGUUGCGGUAAACAUCGAGGUCCCUGUCCACACUUCUUUUGUUGACGUUUAAUGCAGCGCAAAGCUAUCAAGCAAGAAAUGAAGUCAGUGCUUGCUGGAAACAUUAGUGAUGUAACAGUGAAUUAGUGCAUUCAAAUCUGAUAUCAACACCAAGCACUACCGAAAAUGCUCACAUGCUUUGCUGAAAUAUUUGUUAUACGUUGCAAAAAAUGACUUUGCCACGAUGUGCUACACUGCCUCACAUAUGCAAAAAUAAUAACUUACAAUUGAAUGGCAACCUAUCAUAUGCCCAAGCACCAGCCAAUAACAUUAUGAAUAAAAACAGUAAGUACAGUUAGUUGUAAGGCUACCCGACUGCACUAGGUUUUGGCACACCAAACCAAUCACAGGUGUCAAGUCAAGGUCAAAUGAAGUUUGUAGAAGGAAGCCUAACUUCGAUGAGUCUGCUUAUAGAAAUAUCUGGAUAGGUCCUAGAGGAUGCUAAAUGCUACCUAGCACGACUUACCUUGAACCCGAAUUGUCAUUUUCUAGUUCGUUAGAAACAUCAUAGAACAAGGAUCAAUUCUAAACUGACUUGAACGCCAUAAAGAUUAACAUAUAUAUAAUCUCAACCCUUGGAGAACAAUAUUGAAAAGACCAGUAUAAAAACGAAAGCUAUGUAAAGGCAAUAAGAUCUCAGAAAUGAGUCCAGAUCAUAAGUGGCUCAAUGUUUUCUUGUAAAGAACACUGCAUGGAUCCUAAAGCGGUUGUGAAUAUUAAAUAUUAGAUUCAGACCGGACACCGAAUUGAUUUAGGCUAAACUGUGUGCACUUUAGCCAAAAAUAAGACAUACAUAAAAAAACAAGUCCUUUCUGUAAAAAUUUUAGUAAACAAGUUUAUAGGUGAAUAGGAAGCAUAAUUAAGAACACAUGCAAUGACUAAUAAGAAAUGCGCAAAAAAGUUGAUAGUGGCAGGAACAACCUUGUCUAGUAUUGUUGGCUCCGUUGCAUUUGCAAGCUCAAGCAAACGGAACAAGCCAACUGCAAAGAACCGACUGUAGCUGAAGUUUCCCUUACCCUUGGCCCUUUCUGAUAUAUCUUUCAGAAUGGCCUCUAUUUCUCCAUCUCUGGAAGAAAAAUCAACUAAUGAGCUGCCAUUCUGGGAACGUGCCCACUCUUCCAUCUUUUGUGCAUCAGCUCUGUACAGUGGACACAAAAGAAUGCUUAUCCGGAUUGUUCAAAAUAGAAAUGCUACUUUCUGAGGAAAGAGACUAUGGAUGCCAAGUUGCCAACUAGUAAACCAAAAUGCAUAAGCUGUUAUUGAUGCCAAGAAAGAUAGCAUAUAGUGACCCAAAACAAAACAUGUAAACAUUUAACUACUGUACCUCAGAAAUAUAAAGGAGGUAUAGCAAACAAGCUGGUAAAAUCUCUCUCUAAGAAAAAAUCCAGGUUUCACAAAAAAGUUAGAGUAAAUAUGUUUCAUGCAACAUUGAUGUCUUAGAAUAACAACAAUUUACCAUAAAAAAUAAGGGCAUGCUUCGAUAUUACAGUAUUUGCAAACCACAGUAUCUGAAAACAUCUUUGAAGAACAUAUUAUGAAAUACCACAGUUUCUGAUUGCCACAGUACUAACUGGAUGAUAAUAUGACUUGCAAAGCCAGAUAUGUGAGCUAUGAAAUGUACCUAUAUUGAUCAGGAUCUUCAUUUAACGCUGUUAUAUAUGCCUUGAAGAUGGAAUCCCUGUCCUCGUUGCUGGGAUAACCAUCCAUGAGCUGAUCAUAGACAGUGACAAAACCAAGAGCAAACACAGGAUCAUACUGAUAGGUUCUUUUGUAUCUCAUCAGAUGCUGCUGAACCAAAAGUUCUUGUAGAACUGUACUGUAAAUGCUUGGGAUAGGGCGUUUGUAUGACUUAAGAAAGUUCAGCUUUGUUUCUGCGACAGUAGGUGGGACAUCUGCACAUAUUAUAAAUAAAUUAGAAGGAUGCAGAAAUAAAUUUCUGUAUUAUGCUACUUACACAAAUAAGAUGUUCUACAUCGAAUCCAGCCAGUUUUAAUCAGAAUAUAUUGGACAGUGUGCAGAUUACCAUGGCCUAGUAGAAAAUACUUGACAAGUGAGUUACAAUUUGUUUGAAAAUAGUCAUGACAAAGUAUUAGAACAAUGGAAGAAGCCACAGAACAACACAAGGAGCUUCUGGUAUGAGAUGAUUAUGUGAAAACUAUUAAAGUUUAGCAGAAAGAAGCAUUUCAUUUUGUGCCAAGACUACCAAUGAAACCUGUUUUGGUACACCAGUUCAACUCAUAAGCAUCAAAAGAAAUUGUGUUUCUUUGGUAAUCGAAUUGUAUGUGAAGAUAGUGCCCAGAAACCUAUGCACGAAAGGGUCUCAUGAUUUCAGAAGCAGGUAUUAGCAAAAAAAAUGUAUGGCUAAAUUAAUCCAAAACUAGUACACCUCCAAAAUAUAUGGGGUUUGUUAAACUUUUUUUUCCUCAAAUAAGCAGGACUGCACAUCAUUAUAUUAAGAAGGAAUAAAGAUUGGUCUUACAAAAUAAAGGACUGGGCUUGUUAUUUCAUUGAUCUCAUUCAACACUGGAUGUCAAAAGCCUAUACUCUAUAAAAUUAACUGCUCAUGAUUAUUCCUACACGAUUAAGCUUCUUUAGGUGACUUGCUCACACCAGUCCUCAUUUUCCAGAAGGACCUCAAGCCAGCCUCUUCAUGUGGAAUUCAACACAUAAAAGUUCAGCGCAUUGCAAAACUGCAUUUUCUAAGCACCAAGUGGGACUAUGAUCCUGACUAAAUCCAAUCAACUGAAAAAACAAACUUAUUGCAUCUGAAUUCUGCUGUCUCUAGCACAGGCAAAGGGUGAAGAGUUGAAUGGAGCUAUGGAUGCAUAUAUUGGAUUGGUACGAUACCAUGCAGCCAGCAAACUCCCGACUGAUUGGAUUGACGGAAAAAAUAUUUGGAUUUGAUUGCUCAUAGCAAAGAAAGGUCCACUAGAACAAAACGAUUAGAACAAUUCAUCCAAGCAAGCUAGAAUUUAUUGCCAACAAAAGCCACACCAGCUCACUGCAGGGAGCAUGACGACGACGACAGAAGAAUCUGAGGUAGUGUGCCUCGGUGAAGGAGGCACCACCGCUGGCGAGGCCAGGAAUCGCACAUUGGUGGGUGAAUUUGGGAUGAGGAGGAGGAGGUCUUUUGCGGUGAGUCGCACAUGCUGGAUGGUGAUUUGGAUUCACUAGCUUGGGAUAGCGCUGCAGCUACACGACCGACAGAACAAAAUAGAGAUAGCUCACCGCCCGCCGUGGCGACGCAGCGCACCACCGAGCGCGAGCCCCGCCGAGCCCUCGCGCUGAGCACGACGGCGCCGGAGACGGCCGCCGCAGCGGACGACGGCCUCCACUCGGAGGCUCCACGCAGCGCCGCGAAGGGGAGCGACGAUAUGGCCGCCAUGGGACACCCCUUUGGUCCUACAGCCGGUUGUUCCGCCGGACGCGGCGGCGGGUGGUCGGCGCCGCCGACGAGGGCAAAAUGGUAAAUGCAGAGGGGCGAGACGGCGAGUGCGAGGAAAGGCUAUUGUUCGUCUGGGACUCUGGGUAGCGAGGGAUGGGAUCUUUCUUAUCCAGUAGGCCUACGCAGGUUUCUCGGCCACUAAUAAGUUGCCACGUGGCAUGCCAUUCUUUUGGUAGGAGAUUCAAUUUUGUAUUUUUGACACUUUUUAAGGUCUUUGGGGCAAUUUUUAUGGUCAUGAGAGGUUGGAUUUGCUUGCGGUUUUGCAGUUAGGAUCUGGAAUUUAGUGGUUUGAUGGCUUUGGCUUAGACUUUAGCAGCUAAAUGUCGACCAAAACGUUUGGUCUCUGUUACUUUCACGUUUGGUCUAUGUUACUUUCCUAGUGGUGUUGAAACAACUCGAAUUCCCAGAAUUCAUGUCUCUGCACCUUUGUGAUAGCUUCAGGAAGUGGCUAUUACGUGCAAUCCUUAUCUCAGAUAGUACAUUUCCAUACAAAGGUGAAUAUAACGGAAAUAAUCAAGAUAAUACAUGCCUAUAUUGUACAACAUCUCGGCUCAUGCCGGUACAAGUCCGGCAGGACCGAAUCAAAUAUAAGAAAAGAUCUACGAAGCGCAGCGCAUCAAGCGAGUGGAUCUCCAUAUCCAACAGGCAACUUGAGCGAAGGACAACACCCUAGUCUUCUCAUCCAUCUUCGAAUCACGGUCGAAACCUGAAAAGCUAAAGUCUACCCGAGAAGCGGGCAGGCCAUGUCAACUCCCAAUAGCAGCAAGCUAAGGAAACGGGGAAUAAUACUAUAUGCAUGAAAAACCUAUAUAUGGUUGUAGAGGUUUAUGCAGCAGUAGUAGCAGCAUUCAAGGAUGCAUCUCUGAGGUCAACACCUCAUAUCAAGGAAGUCGUCACAAAUCACCAGAUCCUUCACCCAAGAAUACAGCACCCAAACACACUAGGCAAUGUGAGAGCUCCCUUCCCUCACAUCUCAAUGGCAAACGCCGAUCUGUCUCAAAAGGGGAAGGUAGAAGAGUAGUAAAGUCUAGUCAGAAGUAGUGGUAAUCAACAGUACUAUCCAUAACCAGUGAACACAGACUAUAGCUAUAGGUUUAUAUACUCUGCAGAGAUUGUACAUCUGUACCCGCACGGAUGGAGCCUGAACGAGGAUCAGCCGUCCAAAACCCACCUAACAGUCGAAGCUCUAAUAGGUGGAAAACACUCUCCUGUUUCCUCGAGUCUAGAACCAUUCUCAACUACAGGGCACGCCGUCACCAGUUGAAGACCUCAAAGCUGUUAAACCUACCCAUGUCAGGGUGCAGUCAGGUCAAAGCAGGACAACGCCUUGAACUCCUUACACUGAUCCUCCAAUCCGCCUACAGGCUGAGCACUAUCCACCACUAGUCUCGGACCGAACCCCGCCCAUAACAAGGCGAAUGGUAUGUACGUAAAUAGAUACUGUGACCGGUGGUAAACCGACUCAGUCCUUAGGGGCUGAGAGCGAACACUCAACUCCACAAAGUAUGUGCCGAAGCACUUGUAAUGUACAAGCCCGCCACUUGCUAAUCAGUAUCAAACAAGAUACCCACCACAAGCACAGGGGGUGGAGAGAGUCCAGAAUGCUCUCUCCUAGCAAGGCACUCCAGUACUAACCGCGGCUCGCUCUCGUCAAAACACGUCAAGGGAUCACGCUCACCCAAAACACACGCGAGUAUACAAGGAAUCCCAUCACCAAAUCCAUGGUAUAUGCCUAUCCAUAACUCAAAAGCAUGUAUAUGAAUAUAAGUAAGGUGAACUAGCUAACGUUGUGUAGCUAGUCCACAAGUAGGUAUCAAGGAAAUAGGGUAAACAAUUAUCAAGGCAUGGCUAACAAAUUAGCUAUACAAUCAACCAUCAUCCAAGUAUCAUAAAUAAAAUGCUAGCAACUAAGCAUGCAUAGGAUCUAUAUAAUUAGGAGUGAUAUAACACCUUAUCCAUUGUCGUUGAAGUCCUCCUCGGUGUAGUCGGAAUCGCAGGAGUCCUCAGAAUCGUAGCUCGAGUCUAAAUAAAACAAGAUACGAUGCACAUAUAUAAAUUAAUCAGCAUUGCAUCUAGAUAAAAACUCCAAGAAAGCUAAAUUUAGAAUAUCCAAAUAACACCAAACUACUACAAAGAGCACAGGCUCAGUUUUACGAAUUUAAAUCAUCUGGUUUCAUAUUUUUCUAAGUCCGAAUGAAUUAGUUAUGAAUUUUUAGAGUUCAAAUCAAUUUUUGGAUUUUUAAAUAAUGGUGAAAAUCAGAAAAUACCGGAGAGCGACACGCGGCAGCACCAGAGCGUGCCACGUGUCUUAGAUCAGCAACGGGUCCGGAUGACAUCAGCGUUGACCUGGUCAACGGAUCAACGAUCAGCGAGUAAAGUCAACGGUUUACUAUUCAGCGCAUCCCAUGUGCUGACGUGGCAUCUACAUGUUGGUUGUAGGCCAACUGCAGGUUAGCUAUAGGCCGGCUAUAGGUCAGCUGUAAUGCCUGCAUGUCAGCUACGUGCCUGCUGAGUCAGCGGCCACGUAUGGUCUUUAGGCGGUUAUAGGGUGGCUGUAGGCUAGCUGUUAACCGUGCGUAGCGGUCCACGCGGUACUAACGCGGUUGCCACAGGUUCAGAUCCGACGCGGCGAUCCUCUAUGGCCUGUGUGGCCACUUCAACAUGUGGCCACCAGUGUGGCCGCUCCAAGCUGGGGUUAGGGCGCGCACGGGGUGUUUGACGGAAUGCCCUAAAUGCAUUCCGCAGUGGUGGCGCACGGCCGACGACGGUUAACUGGUGGCUCGACGAUGGCUUUGGGAAGCGGAAGCCUCGGCCUUUGGCCGGGUUUAGGCGGCGACACGGCGGGAGACUGGCAUUGGCGGCGAAGGACGGCGGUGCGCAGCUGGGGUUCUCGGCGGCGGCGCCUCCUUUUGGCGCAACGACGGUGGCUCUGAGACGGCAGCAACUUCCUCUUGAUGCAGCCCUCCUUCUUUCUCAUCCUCUCCUCUUCUCUUUCCCCCUUCACGAACUAACGGUGGCAGCUUGGGAGGUAGCCCCGGGUGGUUUGGGAUGGUGAGGGCUAUGGCUGGACAGGGUAUUUAUAGCCCUUGCUGAGGCUAAGGUUAGGGUUUGCAGGGCGUGCGGUGCCGGCGAGCUGGCGGCUGGGAUGUGGCGGCAACUCGGCGGGGUGGCGUGGCGGCCAUCCGUGAUGCCAGCACAAAAGCGAGGGGAGCGGGGCGAGGUCAUAGGUGUGCGCGGCUGCGCGGUAGUGCGCGCCAGCAUGGACGAGGCCGACGAGCCCAUCCCAUCGGGCGCGCAUGCACCCAGCGCGUGAUGCGUACGGCCGGAGGUGGAAGACGGUGAACAGGGCAGCGGGUGACAUGCGGGUCUCGCAUAUCGGUGGGCGAAAGGGAAGAAGAGGUGGCGUCGGGGGUUUGGUGGGCUGGCUGGGCCGCCUUGACGGGCCAACUUGCUAGACCGCUUCGGCCGAAGUGGAAGAGAGGUUAGACGGGCCGGCCGGUUAGCUACAGGCCGACGUGGUUUGGUUAGGUGUGGUAGUAGGAUUGGGCUGGUUAGUUUAGUUUGGGUUUUGCUUUCAUCUUUAGUUUGAAUUUUGAAUUAGAUUCAGAAUUCAAACACAUUCAAGUUUGAAAUCUAAAUUAAAUCCAUGAAGAACCAAAUCAAACUAGCACACAAGUUUUGAAAAAUAAUUGUGCAAUUUAUUUAUUAGGAAUUUUAGGAGAGGAAAUAGAAGUUGACUUUCAUUUUUUUUAAUGAGCACGCAAUUCAAACAAAAAAAUUUAAUUUUUUUUGCAAAAACUGGCACAAUUAAUAUCACUCAAUUUUGAGGGAUAUUAUAGGUGUGUACGCAAUAAAGACAUAUAAUAACAUUUUCUGAAUAAUUUAUUUGUUUGUAGAAGUUGAUGUUGUCUUAAAGUGAUAAUGCUCCUUGAACUCGAGUGAGAAUUAGGAUACGGGACCUACUGAUAUUCUGGAGCACAAGAACACAUGAAUGUUUGGUAGGUAUAGACCAUUUGUUGCAAAUAUGCUUCUUUGAAACUUUUUGUAUAUCUCCAACCUGAGUUGUGAAAUGUAAGACGGUUUAUUUUUUUGUACAUAGCAUAUAUAUGAGCAAAAAUUGCAAUAUGUUUUCAUGAAAGCUUUUCAUCUCUAAAUGUGAGAUGUGAAAUGUUUUCAUAGUAUAAUUUCUUGUUAUGUAGCAAAAAAAAUAACAUAUAGCAUGCAAUAUUUCCACUUUAGAUUGUCAACUGAGACAAAAUAUCAUCCACUUUUAUGAACAAAAACUGUAUCAACUCUUGUGAAAACUAUCUUACGAGCAAAACAAAGAUAUUUGGGUAUUUUUUUUAUCUAAUUAGCUUAUCCUAAAUGUUACAUAUUUAAAAAAUAAAAGGAGUAUGAUGGAAGAAGUGAACAUAUUUUGGUCAUGUGGUGUGAUAAAGUUAUAAGUCAUAUACUAAACUUUGGGGAGCCAAAGAGAAAAGCGAACGAAAGGGGUAAACAGGUAGAAUCAACAAAUCAUAGGAGGCUUAUCAUCCUAUAUAACUUUUUAGCUCCGAUGUUAUUAGUUCUUACUCACUUUAAUAAACACCUUUUAACAACCAUUAAUACUCAUCGCUACUGGCAAUGAGCAUGGAGAAGUAGAAUAUCAUAAAAAGGUAUGGUAAAUUCAAAACUUCUUUAGCUGAGAAUUUUGCUAUACAUUUGGUAAGCACGGUAAUAAUAGCACAAAAUAAAAUAUAAAUGUAAUGUAUUAGCAAUAGGUAGUGUAAAAUUAAUAGAACAUCCUUAACAAAUAAAUGCAUCCCAAGAGGUUAGUGGUGUAAAUUGUUAUAAUUUAUUCAUUUCGCACUAGAAGUUAUCGACAUACAAAAAUACAGAGCUUUGUGGAACUCAAUGGAAUAUUCAAAAGAAAACUUGACAUUUGAGUUUGAUUGUUUAAGGUCUUUGAUAUCCAAACUAUCUGGUUGCUGGUUGCUUUCCUCUUUAAGCAAUAAUAGAGAUUUGACUUUUCCAAUCGCACGUGUUGUAUUUUCUCUUCUAAAGAUGGCGUAUUCUUUCCCUCUCAUACUUUUUUCCCUUCCAAGUGUUGUGUUUCUUUCCUUUAGACGUGUUUAUGUAAAGGUGUGUAAACAAUUAGCAAUAUUAUUUGCAUCUUUCAUUUGCAUGCGAAGGUGUUGUCCUUUGAACAAGAGACUCGAUUCAUGCCUUUUAGUACAUGAAUACUAUAAGAUAGAUGUAAUAUUAUCUUGUAGUAUGUAUGAUAGAUGUUCUUCAAAAAUACAAUUUUAUUAUAAGAUAACGUUAUCUUGCUGCCACCAUAUUAUAAGAUAACAAAAGCAGUAACGCCUAAGAAAAAACAAUAACCCAUUACUAGCUUGUACAUUAUUUUUUUUGAUACUGAUCAUGCAAUAUCUUGCUGCCGCCAUGGGCAUACUCCUUAUUUUGUUGGGUUUCAUUCCCGCUUUAUCAUCUCCUUCAUUGGUGGUUCACUCUCCAUAUCAUUUGCCAUUAUUAUCGUUGUCCAUUGCCACCCGAACUUGUUAUCAGUUGUAUUAAUGUCACUCAAACACCGUUGGUGUGAUGAAGAUGAACCCUAAACCUAGAAGAAAACCAAUGUUGCCGCACAUUUUUAAUUUUGAUGAAGCAGCAUUACAACUUUAGCUAUCUAAGGUUGUCAAACUAAGCUGUUUACCGCAAAGAAAUUUUUAGCUCUGUGCCCGUGCAUCACCAUGGAUCCAUCGCCGGGGAAGAAUUGACAAAAGCAACGCUUCAAGCUACAACUGGACGGGAACAUGUAUGCUUUCAGAGUUUCACUGCUGUCACCUCCUUCCUCGUUCCUCCUCGGUCCGGGUGGUGCAUAGAAAACAGUAGCAGAUCCAUCACGGGCCCAUGAUUAGCUUCACUGUAGCAGCAGCAGCAUAAAGCCGCGGUCCACAGGCCAUCAAAUAAAAGUCAACUGGAAAAAGACGCGAUAAAAGGGGCGAGAUCAAGGAUGCAGAGCGCACUGUAGAGAAAGCUGGAGGUGAAACGGUGAAAGAAAAGGAGAUCACUUUAGAAGAGUGGGGAGAGCGUGAGCGCAGCAGCCACCCCGGACCACAAGCCAAGCCACACCGCGCUUGGUGUGGUAACUGGUAACUUGCGUCAUGGCGAUCUCCGGCGAGGAGAGGCACGCGCCCGCCGGAGGCGACUCCGGCGGCGGGAAGCUCUGGAACCUCUGCCGCAUGCCCUUCCGGCAGGCGGGCGGGGCGCCGGCGGCGCCGCCUCCGCAGUCGUCGUCGUCGUCGUCCGGGAUCCACCACUCCGCCGGCCGGUACGGCCACGAGGCGCCCGUCGCUGGGGACGGAGGCGCGCAGGGGGCGUCGGCGGGUUCGAUCUCGUCCGUGGCCAAGUCGCUGCUGCCGGCCCGCCGCCGCCUCAGACUCGAUCCGGCCAACAAGCUCUACUUCCCAUGUGAGGACGCGAGAAAUUAAAGCUCUCUUUUAACUCCUGCUUGUUUAAUUUUGGGAUCUCCUGUCGAGUAGUCUGGAAAGUUGCCAUUUUGCCCUGAUCUGCUUAGUAUGUCGCAUGCCUAAAACCCUUCGAUUCCGCUAUGUUCUUUCUGCAAUUAUUUAUUAGUUUUGCGCGAUCUUAGCUAUUCCGAAGUUAUCUGUCGAGGAAGUGGCGGUCGAUUUGGUGAAUGAGUUGCUUGAUUCUUGGAAUGUAUUCGUUGGGGUUUGGUUUUGGUCGGCGACUGGGAUAAAUACCUUUUUGAGCAUGACCGGGAUACACACCUUGGGUCCAUUUCCACCCGGUUUUCUUGAUCUUGGUGUAGAGGUUAGGAUAUCAUCAAUCUGGAGUUGGAUCUAAAUCUUAAUGGACACUUGUUGUGCAGUAGAAGUUCCAGCAGGGAGUACCAUUAAUGAAUUUUCAGUAGAAGACUUGAACUCACAAGAUUCUGGAACUGAACUUCAAGUAGGAUUGUUUUCAUAGCAUUAACUACGUUGCUGCCUUAGAUUUUUAGCUGAUUUGGCACUGUAUUAAAUAAGGGAGAGAGGGAUGAGAGGACAAAACCGGGUCUCAUGCAAAACAUUGGGCAUGUUUUGAUCUCAUAGGGAUUAUAAGAAUCUGGAUAGUGGAUAAGGAUUAUUAUCUGGAUUCUGCCCUAAUAAAUGCUGUCUGUCCCUUUCUCUCUCUCUAACCCCUCUCCAAAUAGUAGGGUUGAGGGAACUAAUUGGAUUCUUAUAGUCUGGGUGGUUGGAUUCUUAUAAUCCACACAAGGGAUGGUGUCUGGGUGGUUGGAUUCUUAUAGUCUGGGGGUGUUUGGAUCUCAUAGGGAUGCUGUCUUCAUAAUAGGUGGGGAGGAUUAGAUGAGUAAUAGACAGGAGGGAUAGAAUGGAGUGAGUAACCAAUUUCUUGGCCUAUGGAUAGGCAUGGUGCAUUGGAAAAAAUGGUGUCUAGAGUUGUGUCCACGUGACAUGGCAGGGUAUGGAAACUACUUGAUGGUGUCACAUUGGUAUAGCCUUAAUGUGGUAUGUGAGUAUGUCGGUGUAAUCAAGUGCCUGUUUGCAGCAGUUGUUUGGUAUGUAACACUUGGGCGACAGAACACCUACCCUGGUAGAUGGGGGUGUGAGAUUAUGAUCUACUUUAUGUUGCAAUUUUUUUUUUGGUUGAUUGUUGAUGCUAUGAUGCGCAAGUUUGCUGCGGCUGAACAUGUAAAUGAUACAUACAUAGAAGUCUUUAUUUCUCAAGUUGGCUGUGAGCCUGUGAUAGAACAUAGAAUCGAAACAUAGCUAUUGAGCAAAUUUACUGCAGCUUUCUGAUGAUCUUACAAUACUCUUAGAUUCUGUUAGAUAAUGUUGUGUUUGCAACACACUGUUACAUGAGUAAGGCAGUUAUGGUAGGUUGCCAUGUUUUUAAAAUCGGAUUGUUCUUCUUUGCCUCGAGCAAAUUCUCAACUCUUCGGAUGCCAAAUACCUUGUUACUUUAUUGAAGCUGAAAUGUCGUCUAGGACUAGAACCCUUGUCAGAAUCGGAUAGCUAAUUGAAAGGACAAGAAAAAUGCUUGAUUGGCUAAAUCACUCCCAGGCUUGAUUUAUUUUCAGCUUAAUACUUGCAUAAUCACUAGUGGUCUUAUUUUUUAAUUAGUAAUAGCAGCAACAAAUGAGAAAAAUGUUUCCAUUCAACCUUGUAUUUGAUUAAUGUUUGCUAUUUUGUGAUGAGAAGUUAAUGACAUUCCUGUCUUGCCUUGUAUAGAUGAACCAGGAAAGCAGGUCAAAAGUGCAAUUAGGAUAAAGAAUACAAGCAAGUCCCAUGUAGCAUUUAAGGUUUGUAUAUUGCAUUGCACAACUCUACUCCAACAGAGUAUGUGUUGAAUCAGCAGUGUUUACACUAGUUUUGUUGGUAAUGAUUUUUUUUUCUGGCCGUUAACUGAUAUUUGAAUCUCUAGUUUCAAACAACUGCACCCAAGAGUUGCUUCAUGCGCCCUCCUGGAGCUGUCCUUGCCCCUGGGGAGACUAUUAUAGCAACUGGUAAUACCUCUAUAACCUUGGGUCUGUAUUUGAAUAACAACAAGGCCUCCCAGUAUUCUGUUUUGGUGCUUAUUGUUUCAUGUUUCUAACUUGCCAGUUUUUAAGUUUGUGGAGCACCCAGAGAAUAAUGAGAAUGUUCUACAAAAGUGCAAGGUCAAAUUCAAGAUUUUGAGCUUGAAGGUGAAGGGACCAAUGGAAUAUGCACCAGAACUGGUUAGUAGCUUGUCCUGCGUUCUUGUUUGAUUUAUACCAAAAUCAUGGCUGGUUAAAGAGGUGGGAGAGUAUGGUAACUUUAGAGGUUAGUGCCUUGCCGCCUUAGUCACAAAUGAUGCCCUAGGUGCGAGGUCACUUGGUUGACCUAGGUGGUACCCUGGGAGGUCGCUUGGUGGAUCUCCAUGGAGGCUAAGUAGGAAAAUAUUCCCAGAGAUGAUAGUGUUUGUGUUGAAAAGGAAGGUUGUGUGGUGGCAAGAGAGUUGACACAUUGUUGGCAUACACCUUGGGUAGGAUGAGCUUGGCAGGAAGUCUUAUUCCGAGCUUAUGGCUAAAGUAAGCCCACUAAGUUGGGUAAUUAAUUUAUUGGGUGUGUGAUUUUGGGGACCUGCUCAACUAGGGUGGAUUGGUCCUCCAUGGGUAUGAUUUUGGUAGGAUGACACCAUUCUUACUUUUUUUUGUGAUAGUUACUAUUCUUCCUUAUUGUAGUAGACUUAAAAGCUUAUGAAUGUUUCAAGCUGUGAAGGACUAAACUCAUUCGUUCCUCAAACUGAACGAGCGAGAUACAUUUUGAGUUACGGUUAAAUAAAAUUUACUGACCACUCUAUUCCUGGAAAUUAAACAACAUAUAUAUUAAUUACGCAAUUAGUGAUUCGGGAUUUAGGGGCUGCUAGGGUGGAUUAUAAGGUUGUUAUCGGUUGCCACAUAAUGAAAAUUUAUGGCAUCUGCCUGUAAUUUGAUUGUAGAGAGUAUUUGGGCUGAAUCCUUACACGCCCGCAAGGCCCGUAUCAUCCCCUUACCCUUACUUUGUAUGAUAUAUUUCAUGACAUAGAGCAAAUCUCAUGUGGUCAUUUUUUAGAGCCUUUUCAUGUGAUGCCGCCUGUACAGGGGAACUGAGAUUAGCUCAGUUGGUGGGAUGUGUGGGUGUGCACUCCCACCACCUAGGUUCGUGUUCCCUUCAACUUAAAUUUGGGUCCUUAUUUCUUCUUACUUAGAAUGCCAUCGUUUCCUCCUAGGUUGGUCAAUGUCUUAGCUUUGCUGUCCAGUAAAUUCUUUACUCUCUAUGUUUCCAAACAAUGUCUCAGUAUUGUAUUAAUUUUGUAAUACAAUGCAUAAUUUGGGGAUUCAACUAAAGGGGACAUUUUGUUUCUUAAAACUUAAAAGCAAUUAGUUGAUAGGGUGAUCCUAGUUGAACAAUUUGCUAACAUUUUGCAUCUUACGAAUCUGACCCAUUUUGCAUUUGGUGUUUUGAGUUGAAUGGACAUGGGACAAUUCAUGUUUCAUAUCCUUGAUCCAAUACAUGAUACUAUUGAGAUCCAUAUGCUAUAGGGUUCCAGAAACUCUGAACUUAUGAAGGGGCUCAGAGCCUUGUGGCAAGUACAGUUGUGUUCUGUGGGUCAUGUUCCUGUAAAGUUAAUAUGCAUCUUGUCUUAUAUUCUUCACCGAGGUGUGUUCAUGUUUGUGUGAGGGUGGUGUGGUUUUGUUACUUUUGUGUUUGGAGGAGUUUGUGUUUUUGGGCCAACGCUCUCUCUUCAAUACAAAGUUAUGCAGCUCUCCUGUGUGUUUGAGAAAAAAAAGAACUCUGAACCUUUUUUUUUCCUGCAAUUUUUUGUUUAUAUCAUGUGGAUGUGAGUUUCCCCAAUUAUCAGUAACUUCUGUUGUGGACUCAGUAGUUCAUUUUUCUGUUUGGAAAACUAACCUUUUUUUUUAUUGAUGCAGUUUGAUGAGCAGAAGGAUCAAGCUGUUGUUGAGAAGAUCCUGAAGGUUGUUUUCUUGGAUAUAAACGGUCAAAGCCCUGUAAGUAAAUGAUAAUAACAAAAAUUUUCUUUGUGAAUAUUUUGAUGGACUCUUGAAUUUGAACAAUCUCACUCACUCAUUCUUUUCCAAAGCAACUGGAAAAGCUCAAUAACCAAUUAGCUGAGGCAGAAGCUGCACUUGAGGCACGGAAGAAACCUCCAGAAGAAAAUGGCCCAAAAAUAGUUGGUGAAGGGCUUGUCAUUGAUGAAUGGGUAUGCCUCUCAGGCUUUCUCAGCUGACAUGAAAUCUUCUGGCUCUGUCCGGCUCAGUGCUAAAAUCCAUCAUUACUUGUGUUCAUUGCAGAAAGAGCGGAGGGAAAGAUACCUCGCGCAACAGCAGGUUGAAGUGGUCGAUUCGGUGUAAAUUGUACCUUCUGCUGCCCCACAAUCUAUGCAUAUGGCUUCAACAAGGGCUGUGACAUUCCUGUAAACUCUUAGGUUUUGUUGUAGUGUAGUGUAUGUGGUAGUCUAGGGUUGUGCUUGCAGGAUCAGUCCCCAAAGGACAAGCUAACCUCCGGUAUUAUCGGUACUUCUUCGUGUAAUUGUGUUAACAAAUUUGUUGGUGGGUGCUAGUGCUGGAUGCGUUUGUUUGUCGGAGCAAAAUAAAGCGUAUAAUUGUUGGCAUCAGAACAGGUUGAGGCGAGUGCCAUGUAGGAUAUCUGCUUCCUGUUUAUAUUGUCGUGCAAAUGCCGUGCUGAUUGGGGGUGGGGUGGAUCAUAUUAAUCUGAAUUUAUAGAAAACUUAAAACCUGUUGCAGCAUUGCUCACCUUUUUCUUCAUCUGUCUGUUGUGUUGGUAUGUAAUCUUAAUUUUAAGAAGCCAAAUUACUUUACUGUUUAGGUUGCCCUUCUCAUGAUAAUUGGUUUGAGUAUUACGAAACUGCCCUAUCUUUUUCUCGAGCGUGAGAUCUGUUGUUGAUAACAUCGCCGGUAUCGAAUGUAGCUAUUGCCAUGGUAAUUUAAUCUGUGAUCGGCCAUGACUUUCUUGAUUCCUAAACCAUAUCUCCAAGAUUAAAUUACACUGCACCACAUGUACAGCCUACUGAUGCAAGUUUUACAAUGCCACGGUAUAAUGAAAUAUAAAUGAUUUGUAUUGAGCUCCAAGCUUCGGUUGCAUAUAGAACCAAGAAAUAUGUUAGGGGUAUACUAGUUCAGAAAAGAUCUAUAUAUACAUCGAUUGCACUGUGAAUAUCACAUUUUCUGUAAGUGGCCACCUGGAUGAAUCUUCUUGGUUGUUAAGUAGCACAGGCGCCUGUUUCUCAACUAGUUCGAUUCCAUUUGAUGAAUUUGUCACCUAUUUACACUCGAUGGAAAGAUAUGUUCAUAGGUAUAGAAUCGAUAGCUUGAUAUUAUGUGAAUACAUGUCACUGUGAAUGGUACUGAUCUAGGAGUAAUGAACAAGGAUCAGACGUCCUUAUCAACACACUAGUGAUUCAUUUAACUACCUAGCAGCUAUUUUAAUCGUGUAAAUCACCGCAAGUCGCAUAACACAAUGGUUUGUCUCCUAACGCAAUAUAAAACCGCUUGAUGUUUACCAGUUUAUUCGAUUGCGACAUCCACUUGUGUGCAAAAUGUAGGACAUGACCAGAAAGCUACAAGUGAUGAUAUUCCACGAUGAGAUUCGUGAGAUCUUUGUAUACGCAUAUAAUAUCUGCAAUGGAUCUCAGAUAGUCUGUCUAUGCAAUUAUCUGUGACCAUGUCACUUUAAUCAUCGUUAUUGUUUAUUAGUGAUCCAGCUAAUCUUCUUGUUAACUACUGUUCUCUUUUAGAAAGGUAUGUAGUUUUACAUUGACACAUUACUGACAGUUACAAGAAACUAUUUACUGUGUCCUUUGAUGCUAAUUUUGUUGUCCUGAAAAGAACUAAAGCAUAUGCGAGAGGUACACUACCAUAAUGUUACCGAGGGUUGAAUUCUAAAAAUAAUUUUACCGAGGGAGAUUUUUUAAAGAAGUCAAACUGGUUUCUCAUGCCCGUUAGAGAGAUUGAUAUUUGUCUCACUCGCUUCUUAAUUCAUGUAAGGAUAACCAUCAGGUCCUAGCCGAGUACUAUAUUGUUUAUCUUAAUGCAGCGUCAGGAGCAAAAUUCAAGCGAGCACAUGCAGCAAGAAGCUAAGGCUUGAUUCUCGGCCGCUUCUUGCAUGUUCAUAACGGAUAAUGCUCCAGAUCAUAGAACCUAUCCAUUAUCCAUCUCAGUCGACAGUACUCUCUAGUCUCUAUCUGCAUUUCAUCUGCCAUAUCCGCAGGUGGUUUAACUUCAGAAAGACAGAAACCAAAGCGACCAGCUUACUCCCAAUUCAAAUCCAAAGCCCACUGAAAGUUACUGCAUUGGAGACUCGAAACUUGGCGAUUAGUAUGAACCGACAGGGACGUGAAGGAACUGAAGAGCUGAGCGUGACGACUUAAAAGUGAUGCGAGAGCAAAGCAGGUUCAGGCAAGAUGAACUGGAUGCUGCAGAGAGGACAAGCGCCUCUAACUGCAGUGCCCAUCCAAAUCAGAUGUGGCUUCAUGACUCCAUGAGCCAGGAGCCAUACCAUGGACUCGGAGGCCGGCAGGAGCUCCCGGUUUGGCGGAACCAAUGGUCCGCCCGCCCACCUGUUUCCCGAGCUGCCCGCAAAACCAUUGGCCACUGACAUCAACGCACGGCACGUCAACACAUAUGACAUGUGUAUAUAUAGCUCAUUCUGCUGCACAAUACUCCAUGUACGCUCACGUUCUUGAGGAGUUUGUCCAAGUUUUUGAGUCAGAACGCAGCACAGCUGCACAGGGGAGGAUGAGGUUUGCAGUGGCGAGCAAAGCGUACAUGGCGGUGACGCUGGGCGCCGCCAUGGAGCUCAAGAAGCAGGUGGCCAAGCCGUGCUCGUCGGCGGCGAAGCGGGGCGCCGCGCCGGUGCUCGCGGCGCGGUCGUCGUCGUCGGCCGGCAGGGUCGACGGCGGCGGCGGCCACGGCGCCGAGGAGUCGCUGAGGAUGGUCAUGUACCUCAGCUGCUGGGGGCCAAGCUAAGGCUCUGCAGUCUGCAGCCGCGGCGGAGUGGCCAGUGCCGCAACUGCAUCUGCAUGUACAUGUUUCGAUCAAUGAGAUCUCUCGAUAACAAUUGCAACAUCUGCGUUCGUCCUCGCCGAGCUCCGAAUCCAGGAACCAUCGUGUUCUUGGUUGGAUGCUCGUCCAAGGCUCAAGCUAGAGCAAAGCUACAAGCCUACAACCAAGCUGACAUGUACAUUAGUAACAAGAUGAACUUAUAAAUAUGGAUCAGUUAGUUCUAUGACCAAGCUUGACAUGUAUGGAUAUGCACCCCUUUUGUUGUGUGCUUUUUUUUUUCUUGCACACAAUUGCAGAAACUUUGAUGAAUAUGACUUGGCCAGGCCAAGUAGUAGCAGGGACUGCAUCAUCAAGAUAGAAUCCCAGGGUAAUAUUAUCGUGUGUUAUCCCAAGAGUAGGACCAAUUAUCGGUGUCAACCAUCACCAUAAUUUAGUCUGAAAUACUCUAAACAGAAGAGGUGGAGAAAUGGACAAGAGUGGGACGCGGCAGCAUCCAAAGCGACAAAGCAGGAGGUGCCCACUGCCAGAUGAUGGAAAACGAUGACUCACCACCGCGCCUCGGGAUAAGCCUCGGCACCUGUGGUAGUCUCACUCAAGCGGGUACGAACCGAUAAGGCAAUCAUCUCGCGCCAUUGCACCCGGGUUCUCCCGCGAGCCGUCUCGGCAGGAUUAUGCUUCAGGAAUGUUUUGAAAGUCCAAGAAUAAGACCAGCAACUCCAAGGGAUCAACUAACAGCAUGUUUGGUCUGUAGAAGCAAUCGGUCCGGGUUGGAGUCAUGCGGAAUGACAUCGUCUGCCGUUUUUAUGUCGAAUGAUGCGGACCAAGGAAAUAUGCUCGUUUGUGGCUUUGGAAGGACAUCUUGAGGUUUAGGCUCGUAUCGCAAAACCAAACAAGAAGAUUAGCUUCAGGUUUAGGCUCGGAUGAUUCCGGACAAUGUCAUAACGCCAUCCAAUCGUGCUGUAAGUUAUCAUGGAUAGGAUGGUCUAUCAUAGGAUCAUCAUAAUAAUACUUUUUGUUCCAAAGGUCAUCACAAUAAUUCUAGUGAGAUCAGACUACGGUUCAUCCUAUAUUAUUUCUCAAACCAAGAAAAGAGUAGCCCAUAAAAUUAGAAGAUACUAGUAAAGGACCAUUGUUCACCGCUCCAUUAAUGUUUUGCUCGUCACUCACCAGCUACAAUUCUACAAACUAGUUAGGUGGCCCGCGCAAAUAGUGUGGGCUAGAUUGCUGUGACAUAUUUGUAAGGUUUAUUUAGUGGAGCUUCACUCGGCUUCUUGAUGUGCACACAUCAAUCUUGUUUCAAAUUUUGUGGGUUAACAUUUUACCAUUGAUCCAGUUUCCAUGCAUUUGAAGUUAAUUAACCGCUUCAUCUUAGUUCCUCUAGAAUUUUGAUCAUAUCAUAGGGAUGUAAAAUCCUUAGUGGUGCUUUUUUUGGUUCUGACUCACGCACGCUUGCACUACCCACUAUUUUCACUCAACAAAUCCGUCCUAUUCCAACCUCCCCAUCGUGAGCUGCGAUGGGCGGUGGCUUUGGCUUAUAAUUUCACAUGUCUGACCUCACAAUUGCCAACCAUGCCUCAGCAUCUCUCGUUGUUGUGUUCAUCUCUGGCGCACCAAAUCGAGUGUCUGGUUUGAUGAAGCACCAUUAUGCCUGCAUCUCUUUUUUUUUGGCAUAUCAGAUAUCUUGGAGCUCCUCCUUAUAUUGUCGGUCAUCUCCUGCCCUCCAGGAAAAUUGAUAUCCUCCUAUGUUUCUGAAAUUGUUGGAUUUCUAUGCUAUUUCUUGUUUAAUAAAAUUAAUUAAAAGCUAAUAUAUGUAACAUAUUUAUUUUGGGCUUGUUAUUUUAAUUUAUUUCUGGUUGGGUCGACUAAUUGAAAACCUAGUAUACUCAUGGCAGGGGUGGAUCUAGGGCGGCUAGGGGAGCUACGCCCCACCCACCCAUAUUUUUUAGCCUUGGAUGGAGAGUGUAAGAAGAAGAUAGAGAGGAGGAAGAAGAGAAAGAGGAAGGAGAAGAGGAAGAAGAAGGAAUGAUGAGCAACCCACUGACUCAUGGCAAUAAUAUGGCAUCCGUGUACAACAAUAGUUUUACCUAUAGCUUUCACUUAACAAUGCUAAUUUUGUGUUUCCAUCAAAAAAUGCUAAUUUUGUGUUCGUUAAGUGUUGGAGUGGAACUGGGCAGCUAGGAGGAACCUCUUUCCCCUGGUCCGUACAUUGGAGAGGGAAGCUAUUUCAAAAAAAAACUUUUCCUCGUACCCAUAAACCAAAUCGAAUUAAUCCAGCCGGAAAUUGCUAAAUAAAGGAAGCAUAAAAUGCUCUAUGAACUGCGAUCAUGUAACUAAUAUACCUGGUAAACCCAGCAAAUGCUAUUUUGCUUUCUUUAUAUCUAGAAGUGCAAUUGCUAAAUCCGGUCACAAAUAGUACAUGAAAAAUACCUUGUGAGUAAUAUGAUAUUUAGCUUCUAAUAUUAUUCUGACGGUAGCUGCUCACAUGGUUGAUCAGCAUCGAUGAUGAUGACAUUCCAAAUCCUUUCCUUUGCUGAAUCAAUCUCUCCUUGCGAGUUGCGACGGCAGCUACGCAAGCAGGCUUAGAAUCUGGCCAAGCCUUAUCCUGCCGUUCCAGCAAUCCAGCGUUCCUUGCGACUUUAAUUUCUUUUACUACAUGAAAACUGAAUUUGGUUCCCUUCAUGGAAAAUACCUGGAAACAGUUCUUUUUGGAAAACCCAUCAACUUGGGCUGAAACUAAGACCUUUUCGCCUGUUCGUUUUAGUGCGCUGACCACGCUUGCAGCCGGCCACUGGCGAGGAUAUUGUCAACACCAAACUUACAAUCCGUUCUAGAUCCAGGCCGCUUGUCUACCAUUGCAGACGGCCUCCGGUCAAGUCCUGGCAAUACAUAAGAUGAGAUGGCACUUUGCCCGUUUGAAAGUUGAACCAAAACGGAUUGUCACCGAUAACUGUAGAAGUGCCUCCAAUCGUGUGGACGCUGAAUCUAGCUACCUCCAUUGCGGGUGCUUGGAGAACUGCGAGAUGUCUCCAAUUAGCAUCGUUUUUUGCUUGUGACUGCUCUAGAAGAUUUCGUGUUGCGAUUGUCUCUGUUUUUUUAUACACAUACGUAUAUAUGGAUAGAUUAGUUUCGGAAACCAUGUGUCUCGGAGAUGAACGGUGUUGGUUCUAAGUUCUAACUUCCAACAUGUCAAGGUCGGAGGAGCUGCCUUAUGUUAGCUUCCAUAUAUACGUGCCUAACUCAUAGUUAUGAUUAUCGGAAUAUGAUAGGGUUGAUUUUAUGAUGGCUAUGGUUUCAUGCAUAGUUUAUAUUUUUUGAUUUUUUGUGUUUUUUAAUAUGGGCUCUUUUGAUAAUGAUCGUUGGAUCAUCAUAAAAUCCAAUGGUACGUAUUCUUAUUUUUUGAUUAAUGUGGGAAUUUCUAAACCCUCAACUCUUUUGGUUAAUAUAGACCGUAAAAUCCGACAUUAUAUAUAUUAUUCUCUUUUUUCUAAUUAAUGUGAAAAUUUCUAAACCCUCUCGGCGAACGUGAUAGCUUCUUUUAACACUAUUGUAAUAAGACAAUAGAUAGAUAGAUGUGGCACUGCAUAAAGCUGUAUACCAACCCUACUAUAGAGAUGACAAUAUGAUUUAUGACUUACGUUGAUUUCACAAGAGAAUCCAUGCCUCAAACAGACAUAUAAGAACAGUGUGCUUAGGGUGCUGUGCUCCGGACUCAACCUGGAACGGAAUCGAUAGCGAGCGGAGCAAGUCGAAACGUGAACGAGAAGAGGGAACCACGUGACGGGCUGGGACUUGGGACAUGGGAGUUGGGAGUUCACGGAGCUCUCGUGAGAAGCAGCCGAGAAACUCGCCGAGAUGCAGCGGCAAAAGCGGCCACGUCCUCAUCCUCUGCCCCGCAAGCAACUGGGCCAGGAAAAAGAGACGCAGGAAAGGAUAAUACCAAAACCACCAGCCGCAAUUACCCUCCCACCCGCUACAAAUACCACUCCCUCUCCCACCCUUCCACACCUCCCAGCUCCACCACCACCAGCAGCAGCGUGCGAGUAGCACAGAGAAGGAAGGAAGCUAGUAGGCGCGAGCAGCGGAAAGCUGUAGUAAGAACACUACACGGGGCUCGUGUUUCUGACAGGAUGGCGCACAUGAGCCGGGUGUGGGCGGCGGCCACGGUGGCCGCCGUGCGGGCGCAGCGGGAGAGGGCGCCCUCCGCCGCGGCGGCGGGGGCGGGUGCCGGGGCGCGGGACCGGCUGGCGGGGCUCGCCCCGCAGGCGGCGGCGCUGGCCGCGGCGCGGGCGGCCGCCGACGACGGCCGCAGGCAGGCCGGCGCCGACGAGUCGCUCCGCAAGGCCAUGUACCUCAGCUGCUGGGGCCCCAGCUGAGAGGAUAAGGCCGUUUUGUGAAUGUGACGGGGCGGCGGAUGGGUGGGACAGGCGGUCGGUGUAGGGGCCUCGGCCUUUGCGGAUGCUCAAUGGCCGGACCGGGCCUGCUGGGGCCUUUGAUGAACUCGCGAUCGCGAGAUGCGUUGAGGGGUUCGGUGAUUUGGGAUUAACAUCUGGGAAAUUUGUGGGAUCAUCAAAAGGGUUACUGUACUGUAAUCUUGUACAUAUGCUUCCUGUAGAUAUCGAAUGGAACUAGGGAAAAAGAAAAAAAAAUCUUUCGGCUACUUUCUCUCUGGAACUUUCGAUCGAUCAGUCAGAGCAAACGCUGUCGAGUUUGAGCGAUUAGAGCUCUCUGCCAAAGUGCCAAGUGUCCAGCGUCGAGCAACCAUGUCAAAACGAAGGGCGGGAGCGGAGUUCGUGUCGCUCCGGCCCGGGCAUCACAAAUUCACAAGGAUUUGUAUAUAACAACUUUUUAAGUUCGUCGAUCAAUCACGUAGCCGGCAUCCUGAUGGAUCGGCACAGCAACGCGUUGAGUUGAGCCCGGCGCCGGCCGAACAGACUCCUACGAGCCCAUGACCAGGCAGCACUUGGGCGAACGCCGAUCUCGGCUUCAAACUCUGAAGUUCAGGCGGGUUCCGUUCCUACCGCAGAUAAUUUCAGGCAAGCAAGCGGCUCGAUGGACCGAUGGCCGGGCAGGGGACGGGACGUACGCGAUUACCCACACCGCACGAGGACGUCGCAGAGGUGCGCCUCCCGCCGCCCGAACAGGUCGCAGCUGCCCCAACCGUUGGCCGCACGGGUUCAGAGUUCAUCGGAGAAGUCGGCCGCACGGGCACCAACCGUUUUGGCGCAGAUCCUAAGGUCCGGUAAGGCCUGGCAACGCAGCCGCGAAUCCCCUAGUCGAUCACUCGCCGUCCUCUCCUCGAUUCGUCACCACUCACCCCGCGCGCAUCAUUCCUUCGCGAGCCGCGCGGCACCGGAGCUCGACACGGCGACAGGAUCGCACCGGGGAGAGCGAGGCAGCGAGCGCGAGGGACAUGCCGCGACAAGCGACGGAUAUGAUUGACUCGCGUCGGACAACGAUGCGGAGCUGGAGCCUGACGCGGUUGGCUUUUGGCCUGCGCCGGCUUUUUCACGUGGUGUCACGUGACGCUGGGCCACCGCGGUCGCGUCCCGGGACGGGUGGCGCGACGCGACGCGACCGAGUGACGGAAACGAAGCAUGGGCGAGAGAGAGGGCAAACGACGCGACGGGACCCCCACGCCGUGGUCUCCAGGACGCGUGCUCGCGGCCGGUGCAUGCACCGCGCGUGCGCCGUCGCUCCAGCUCCUGCAAUACGUCCGGAGAGCCAAGAGUGGGAGCAAGAUUGCAAGUCUGCAAGAGCAAGUAAGCAACUCUCACUCAGCGGCUGGCAUCAUGCGUGCCGUCAUUGGCGGAGGCCGGUGGCCGUAGCGGCUCUCCUUAUCUCCUACGUUCCUGGGCUGGCAGUGGCAGGAGUCAACGAAACUUGCGUUGGCAACGACUCCAACCGCGGCGUACGUUGAUCCGGCACACCACGUGCCCUCAAUUUAGGCGUCGUGGAGAGGGUUCUAUAGCGUGCCUACCGCCUAGCUCUAGCUGAACCGUAUACGAAUCGUUCCACAAGCUUCCAAUGCUCCACGAAGCAUAUGAUAGGAAAAGAGGGUGCAAGACCUCAGGCCUGAUGUAGUGAUGUUGUGUGGGAUCGAACCUACCUGGAAGCCUGGAUAACCAUGAUUUUUAUACGGUAUCAAAGUUAACAUGAUUCUGAAACUCCCAAUCCAUCCAACUAACGAACGAGUGAGAGAUUUUUAGAAGUAAUCUCUUCUCGUUUAUAAAGCCCAACAGGCUAUAGCCCAUGUGCUAUUUCGAAACUCCUACGCACAGCCAAGAAACACCACAUACCCAGAGAAUUGGGCCCAUAAAAGAGGUGGCACCCGCAGCCCAUUAACCACCACGCAUCGCGCGCGGAUAUGAGAAGCCCAGGCCCAUAUUCACAACAGCAGAAGAACUGAAGAAGCGACCAACAUCCUCCCGAAGAAGACCGACACUCCAACAGCCUCGAGAUCAUUAGACCAUUACCACCAAUCGCAAUAUAGUACGUAGUAGCAGUAGAGUAAAAGAAUACUGUGCUCAGGUUUGCAUCUAACCACCGUGCGAUAAUCGCCUACAAUACCCACGCCAAUCAAACGCUGCGUACAAAGAAUAUCACGCACGCCGCCGGCCGCACCACCAACGCGAGCCGUGCGUCACACAUCCACACAGCUCAGACGUUGUCGGGCAGGUCGAAGUGCUGGACGCCGAGCACCUGCAGCGCGGCGUUCUGGACGAAGAGGACAACGCCGCACUUGGCGGCGCGGAAGCCGUCCCAGAGCGGGAACUGGACGGUCCCGGACACGGACUUCUUCGCGGAGGCGCCCUCCCGCACCGCCGCCACCUUCUCCAGGCGGCGCACCACGUGGUCGUUCAGCAGAGACUUGCCCUUGUUCUCGCCGCGCCCGCAGUCCGUCACCAGCCCGCUCUCGUACAGCGCCACCAGCACGCUCGCGCCGCCGGCGCCCUCCACGCGGCUGCGCAGGGUGCCCGUGAACGACGCCUGCAGCGUCGUCGGGUUCGGCCGCUGGAACGUCGCCUGCACGUUACGUAACGUACGCGGAUCAGAACAGAUCAGGUCGUGGUUUCAACGGUGCAUCUACAGUGACAGUGACACCGCAUCUACAGAACCCAGAUGUAUCCGGUAGAUCUGAAUUACUGUUCAUUGCAGAUCCGGCAUAAGAACAGUGGCUGAUGAGACGUUCUACAGCAACAGGCAAUCAGAUAUCCUGGUUGUCGCUUCUUAAAUUUGCAGACCGCUUUGAACACUUUCUACAUGAUCCAACAAUCCGUAUCCGUGUAGAUGACAAGGUGGCAAUGGCAACAGGAUCGGAUGUGCAAGGAAGUUGUAAUUACAGUACCUUCAUGGCGGGCGCCGGGUAUCGCGGCGCGUCGCGGACGGCCUGCGCGAGCGCGUCCUGCUCGGUGCCGACGCAGUGCGCACGGCCCUGCACGACGACCUGCGGCGUGAAGAGCGUGUCGAGGCGGAGCGCCUCCACGUAGGCCUUCUGGCGCACGGUCCAGGCGCUGGACGCGAAGGGGUCCUUCCACCCGCUGUGGUCCCAGUAGUCCACGUGGAACGCCAGCACCACCACGGCCGGCCCGCCGCCGCCGCCUUCCUGCUGAGCCGCGGAGUCCUGCGCCAGCCGCGCCGCCACGGCGUCGGCCUCGGGCGACGCCCCGCACCCCUGCGACGCGAACAGCUCCAACAGCACCGGCCCCGGGGCUACCUGCUGCUGCUGCUGCUGGUCCUCCUGCUCGUCCGGCGCCGACGCCGUCGCGCCGCCCCUCCGGCCAAAGCACGCCAGCAGCCGCGGCGCCAUCGAUGGUUGUAGGCUAGCUAGUAUCUGCCUUAGCUAGCGAGCUGCCGGCGCCGGCGGUAGUGGUGCAGCUGGCGAGGGAACGUCGUGGCGAAGGGAAUGAGGGAAGAUCAAGUGACGAGCUCGCUCGCGUGGUGGCGUGUGGCGGGCAAGUAGUAGGUGUCCCGGACGGUAUGGUGUGUGGUGGCCUGGUGGGAUAGAUGAUUGGUGGGUGGAACUGAACGUGGCGGUGGCGACGGCAACAGGACACCAGCCUGUCAGCACGCAACCCCUCUUGGUGUUGGAACUUCGCCGGCUGGCCGCCAUGUGUGUGUUCGUGCCCGCCUAACCUCCCAGCUCCAGCCUCUUCUUUACUUUGUUUUCUCGCAUUCUACCUUUUCCGCCGCAGACUUUGCAUUUCUAAAUCUGGUUUCACCGGUUCAGUGCGAUCCGUGAACAGAUUAUUCUGUGGCCAUGUUCCUUUGGGGAAUGGAAGGAGGAAGAGGAGAACCCGCUUUUGCUUUCACGAUCGGCGCGAUGCUUUGCUUGGUCCGGUGUGUUUUGUGGGCGCGGCCGCGGCGGGCACCGUGUCGGCGAGUGGUUGGAUCCGCCGCCGGGGUGGCUGUAAUUUUUUAACAUACAAACAGCAAGACCACGUUUGAGCCGCUGCUGAAUGCUAAUCAAUCAUUGCCACUAGAUUACAGUAGUAGCCAGUCGUGCGUCUAUUACGUGUAUGCUGGUUGGGGUUAGCAGACGAGCCUACAGAGUACAGACAGUGCUGUGGGUGUCGCUGCCGGUUUAGUUUUACACGUUCGCUGUUCCUGCGUGAUCGUCACGGUGCAGUUCGUGGAGUUUUGUGUCGAUCAGAUACCGACCACGGCUGGCUUCGACACUAUGAAACUUGCGGAGACAGCGAUCGGAUUUUAAUUGGGGUGCGGUGGCGAGUGUGGCCGUGCACCUGAUCGUACAUCGACGUCCGACCUGAUGAUUGUCACCGACUCACCGUCGGCCGAACCUGUCGGCGGCGGGCCUGGCAAAAAUUAUCGAGACUUAUCUCUGUUUUCUUCUGUGGGUUGGCUGGCAGCCUGGUGCCCGUCCGCUCUGUUAAAUGGGCCGAUUAUUAAUACCUGGGCUGGCCUGCACUGGUAAGUUAAUGGGCAGCAGGCCUGUUUAAAACUCAGUCCAACAACGCCUUUGGUUCUCGGCCUUUCUCUUUCCAGAAGCAGGUUCAUGUUGGGUCGAGAGGAAGGAACAAGGCUCGAACGAGGCCGAUUUGGGACAGCCCACAAGACUCGAAAUGGGUGGUGGUGUUCCCGAGUCAAGGGACUGGUGUUUGCAUGCUCAAUGAGGCUCAUCAAGCCCACCUAACAUUCUGCGUCAGUCGUUUUGAAUUAAAGAGAGAAAAAAUGGAGUCCUCUUCCAUCCUCCACGUCUUUGGUAGCCUUCAUGCCUCUAGUUCGGGGAACCAGGGUCCGACGUCCGCAUGUAUAUACGCCUUCCUAAUAAGUAACUUUUGGGUAGGUUAGUUUGCCCAUGGCAGGGUUAGUGUUGCAUUCGGGUAUUUGUCGGUGAUGGCAUCCUCUGUGAUGAAAAUCCCCUGUCGCUUAGCAUCAAGGUACGUCUUCCAGUUCCUGAUGGAGUUGGAACUGGGUUGGUGUGUAACAGUGUAAGGAUCCUCUUCUUUAUUCUUUCAUUGCUCGUCUAUCGGAUUUUGCCAUCGUGGCGACAUGCAUCUGUUUCUGAUAUUUGUGAUGAUUUUACAGGCGCCCAUACGGUGGAACCUUCAGUAGUUCAAGUAUACAGCCACUUGGUUGUCGUGCCACCGUUGCCCUUUCAUCAAUUGAAGCUCCUUCGUCCGCUCGGGCCUCGGGAGCUUGCUUCCAGCCUCUCCCUCGGUGCUCUACUCUGCUGCCUGCGAAGGGGAAGUGCCAAGCAGAGGCGGAUGUGCUGACCGGACAAGCAUGAGUUCGUUGAGAGGUUCACUCUGCAAGUGACCGGUUGUAAAGGUAUUGUUUUCAUAUAUAUACCCCAUCACUUAUAAAAAGAUCAAAGUUUAGGGGAUCCAACCCAAUAUUUUUUUAAAAAAUAAACAGACUGGACUAGAAAGUCGUUUGCCGCCAUCACUGAUCAAAGUUUCGAGCGCGUGCACCGUGCACGUUCGUCCACUCCGUCCAAGUGGGAGUCGCCGCCGACGGGUGACGCAUGCGUAUCUGCGGAGCGCGGAAACUUUGGCCCGGGCUCCACCGCGGUUUCCACCAGCUGUACGCCGUCGUGGGACGACCGACUCCCCCCGGCCACGGCGCCGGUCCGCCGGACCCGCUGUGGCGCUGUCACAGUCCGCGGCCCACACCGUGCGCCCACACCGUGCCGCACUUCCGCACUUGCCUCCGCCCCCGUAAUCCGCACGGUCGGUGGGCGUCGCCGAGCCCACCCGCGGACCAGCCCGAAGCCCCGAAUCAAUUCCGUUCCAGGUGCUGGCUGAGUCACCGGGUGCUUGACUUCCACGGCUUCGGAGCACACGCGGCGGGGCCUCUGAAUUCGCAGCUUCAACGAAGACAGCGUCAUUAGUCCUCGCAUUGCCAAUGCCAACGUUUCCGUCUGAUCCAGUGUUGACGAAACCCAGCUCCGGGCACAUCCAAAAGCGGCGUAAACCUGUGCCUAUCCGAUGGAAGAUCGAGGAAAUUCGUGCGCAGCCGGCUUUGAAUUUUGUUGCGCUCAUUCUCGCUCAAGCCAGACAUGCAUCAUGUGCUGGCACGUCUGCAUGCAACCUAGCCAGCCUCCUACACUGUGGGGGUCGUUGCUGAUCCGUCCCAUGCGUGUACCACAUGCGUGCACCGCUGUGCUGCUGCUGUCCUAGGCCGUUGCAGGGGAGUCAGCUCCAGCGCGCGCCAACGCGCGCACCGUCCGUCCUGCAGCUCCAUUGGGGCUAGCUUGGAAGGCACACCAAAGGCCAGGUCACGAACCCGUGAUGUGUGUGGAUAUGGUAGCACGUAGCAGCGAUACGCUGACGGAACGGGCCCGUCGCCGCCCAACGAUGAGCGCGAUCGUGAACGCGAGCGAAACGCGCGGCCGGUGGCGCGUCCCCGAAUCGGAUCCUGUCACGUGUGGCAUGCGCGCGUACCCGGAAGGAAACUGGUGGCGGUAGCUGGUAGAUGCUGCCUGCUGGCCACGGCCGGGAUCGAUCACUUUACACGUCCGCCGGGAGAGAAAACAAAGGGUUAUCCACAAAUUUAUCCGGAUCACAUUUGCGUAAUCCGGCGCAGCAGCGCCGAGCCAACAACCACCUUUCGGGCUUGCCGAUGGAUCAGAUUAUUUUACGGGGGUGGACUGGUGCAGCGGAUUCGCAGGUUUUUCCUGGAAAAAGUUGUCGCGCACAUCGCGGCCGCGUGCGCGCAAUUAAUAAUCCGCGCUAAUCUAAUCCAGAACGGCCGGGGCGACGCACAUCGCUUUCCCGCUACGACGAGCCCGUGACGCUAGCACGUCGCGGUCGCUCGAAAUCGCCCGCUAGUCAUAUGAUCUCGCGGGCCUAGCUCUCGAGCUGGAUCUGCUGGUCUGGUGGUGUUCUCUAUGGGGUCGUAAUUGCGUUGGGCUUCUUUCGAUCCGCUCUCGCCCGCUUUUCCGGAUCCCGGAACACGUGGGAACUGAGGAAAAGCGCCUGGGCCCCGGAUGAGACCGAAUCAGGCGUGGAUAAGACGACAGAUUAGCAGUAGUAGCAGUGCUCUGUUCACAGGAGUCCUCUCGUGUCCUCGCGUUGCUGUUGCCCGGUGAGAAUGGAUGAGGGAUCGCCGAGUUGGUGGCUCCAUUUGCCUACCUUUGUAUUUACUUCCGCCACGCUCUUCUUGUUCCUGAUUCUGUGAUGUAGCACUGCUUCUGUCGUGGAUAAGACGGAGACGCGCUCUUUUUCGACAAUGUUUUGUGGGUUAGGACGUGCUCGGUGUGUGUGGUUACAAAGAAAACGAUGGAUAAAGAUCCUGAAUGAGGUUGUCAGCAUGGUUAAUUGCCACAAUAAACACACGCUAGUGGCGCCACAUGAAUUUCCUUGAAAUUUUUACCACAUUAUGUUCCUGUUCGUUGUGCACAAUAGCAUGCAGAAUGAGAAAACUAAGCCACGCCAUCUUUUGAGGCCACCAGCUUAUAUUUGUUAGCUCGUUGUUUAGGCGGGGUAGAAGAGUAUUCUCUAGCUUGGUAAUUGGUAUCUUUUUUCGUGGUUUGUGUUCACCCGCCGGAUUUGCAUGACAAGCCAAGCAGAGUAAUAUGCAUUUCUUAAACGGGAAACUGAAAUUUUUAGAGCGCGUUCAUUGCAGAUAACGUUCAGACAAGAUUAAAGUGUAAGCGUUCAAGAUCUUAUUUGGAUCCAUCCAUCCAAAAUUUAGCUAGCUGAAUUUAUGGGUGUUUGGAUCCAUCAUCUUAAUAAUUAUUAAAGAGGUAUUUGUUUAUCCUGUACUGCAAUUCUGGUAACAAAGUAAAGGACCCGUCAAACUUGCCUGGCCUGCACGGCGGCCGGUCGACAGUGUCGAUUUGCUUGCGUCUAUUUCUUUUUGAUCGGUUGUAGAUGUGCUCUGUUAAUUGGAUGUUCCAGGGGUUUGGAUGGAAAUUUGGUUUGCUGGUUCGGAUUGAAAUAAAUAGUGUCUGGUGUAUGUAGAAGCGUCAGCGCGGCAUUCUCUUUCAGAACCAUCGCCGCUCUAGACCAGAGAGAGGGACGAGGAACUCCGAGGAAGUCUCUGGACAAUGUUGCUAACUGACGGGCCUGUUCUGACCGUGCGAUUAAUUAAGGAUAGUGAAUGGACGACGCAGAUCAGUAGUCGACGUGGCACAGUGGGCGCUCGAGAAAGGCCCAAUUGCCUGACCGAGAUUCGUCUAUUAGAGACCGUACGUCUUCGUCUACAAGCAUGGUUAACCUGCUCUUUUGGAUGAUCGAAAUGGCUUACCAACGUCGUCGACCUGGCGCAGGUUCUAGAAGACAGCUUGCGGAUCUGUCAACAACAGGCACAGCUAGUAGUUGAGGGCUUCAGGUAGUGGAUAACGCAUAAAGCACAACGUAGUAGUCCGGGCGUACGCCUAGUCCUACCUGACGGAGCCGGUGGUUCGGCCGCGUGUCAGCGUGCCGUGGUAGCGCGGCAGAGCCGGCGCGGAGGCUGACGGCGUGAGGUGGCGUUCAUGAUGCUGACGGCGUCGUUAUCCCAUCCAUCCAAUUCUAAUAAGCAGGGUGCUUCAGAGAUUCAUCGAACACGACACCCCCAGGAUCCACGUGAUGCCACACAAAAAUGGAGAAAGAGAAAGGAAAGAGGAGAAGAAACAAGGGCUCGCGUUCGAUCAUUCAUGUUCUGAUGCUCGUUGGCCUUCCGCAGAUUCUUCGCCAGCUGAAGGCAAAUCGUAGGCAGCUCCGUGACUGAUUCUCGGAUACUGCGGUGCAUUUUCGUCGCCUCAUAAUCUACUUAAGCGCGAACGAUUUCUGGAGAAAUUUUCAUCGCCCAGCGAAAAGAUUUUUCCAGAGAGUACAAGGUGGGUACACGCCAAAAGCCAUUGCGCUGUUAAACGGGCACAUGAUCAGCCGACAAAGGCACACCAGCUUGUUGCCGCCAUAUGGCUGAUUUUGAAAUCGCCCGCAUGUUUAAACGAAUAGAUUUUGCAGCCCUGGAAUUCCACAACUCUCAUUUUAAAAUCUCAUGCUCGCUGAUCUUGAUCACCGUGUGAAAUCAAUCAAAACACCGCAUUUUUUUUAAAAAAAAUCUUUUGGACAUGCAAACGUGCCAACUUUAAUUGCUGUGGAUCAGAAAGUCAGUACUCAGUACCCUGUAGUCAGCAAGAGUCCAUGCGCACGGAGAAAGGCAGAGUUUUAAUUUGCAACUUGCAUUCAUAUACUUCGAUUUGAUCCAAUCCAUACCCCACAAAGAAAAAAGAAGACAGGGGACGAAGACCAGUUGACUGUUCGUCAUCAUCCAGUCAUCCUACCUACUGCGAUGAUUAUAAUACGGUGAAUCCUUAAACCAUUUUAAAUUUCCCGCUAAACCCGAAGAAUAAAGCCGUAUGAGUAAAUUAUUGCCCGGCCGACACCGUCAGCAGCGAGCGACGUCCCAGGCGUCACGGGCUACUGCAUGCCGGCGAGCUUGCCGUUGCCGUUGGCACCGCCGCGCAUCUCGAGGUCGGCGCCGACGUGCACGUCCUCGUCGCGGAUGAAGCGGCCCCAGUACCAGUGGUUCUUCCACACGAGCACCAUUUCCUCGAUGGGCACGUUCUUGGUCUCCGGCAGGAAGAGCGCGACGAAGAUGGUCAUGACCACCACCCAGGCGCCGAAGAAGAAGAAGAGGAUGAACUUGAAGCGGCAAAGCAUGGGGAGGAACGCCUGCGCGAUGAUGAAGGUGCAGAGCAUGUUGACGGACACGUUGAUGCUCUGCCCCGCCGACCGGAUCUCCAGCGGGAAGAUCUCGCUGGGCACCAGCCACCCGAGGGGUCCCCAUGACCAGGCGAACCCGGCCACGUAGGCGCAGAUGAAGAGCACCACGAUGGCGGCGUACGCCUUGGGGAUCUCCGCCACGCCGGAGAACCCGAACUUGGCGCCGAUCAGGCUACCGACGACGAUCUGGCAGGCGAGCAUCUGGGUCCCGCCCUGCAGGAACAGCUUGCGGCGGCCGAGGCGGUCCACGGUGACGAUGGAGACGAAGGUGGCGAAGACGUUGACGAGCCCCGUGAUGACGGCGGACAUGAGGGAGGCGUCGUCUGCGAAGCCCAGCGUCUUGAAGAGCACCGGUGCGUAGAACAUGAUGACGUUGAUGCCGGUGAGCUGCUGGAACAUGGGGAUGGCGAUGGCCAUGACGAGCUGCGGCCGGUAGCGCGGCUGCAGGAUAUUCCGCCACGGGUGCGCCACGAGCUUGGACUCCUCGCUGGCGGCGACGAGGUCGUUGUACUCCUCCUCCACGUCCUCCGUGCCGCGCACGCGCUUGAGCAUCCGCUUGGCGGCGUCGGUGUAGCCGCGGUCGAUGAGGGAGUUGGGGGUGUCGGGCAAGAACAGCGCGCCGAUGGCGAUGAUGGCCGCCGGCACCGCCGCCAGGGCCAGGCUCACGCGCCACCCCCAGCCGCCCUUGAUCUUGGCGGUGCCGUAGUUGAUGAGGUUGGCGCACAGGAUGCCGAUGGUGAUCAUGAGCUGGAACCCGAUGUUGAGCAUCCCACGGAGGCGCGCGGGGGCCAUCUCCGACAGGUACACCGGCACGGCCUGGUUGGCGAAGCCGACGCCGAUGCCGAGGAGGACGCGGCCGAGGAUGAGCAUGACGACGUCCUUGGCGGCGCCGUUGAGGGCCGCGCCGAUGAGGAACGUGACGCCGCCGCCGAACAUGGACCACUUGCGCCCGGCCACUCGCGUCACCGUGGCGGCGAAGAAGGAGGCCACCAACGCGGCGAGGUAGAGCGAGGAGGUGAACAUGGUCAGCAGCUGGCUGUCGAACUUGCAGUACUGGUUGGUCUGGUUCCGCUCCGCCUCCUGCUCCUUGCGGUACACCGACGGGAAGAACUUCAUCAGGAACGGGUUCAUCGACGUCACGCCACCUGAUCAUCACGAACAAACGUCAGUUUUUUUUUGCUUUGCCACUGAUUUUUUGCUUCUAAGACUAUUCUAAUUUUCUGAAGGAAUGAUCUGAGGUGAUGUUUUUUGUUUAUUUGGAAAAAAGAAGGCUAGGUGAUGCAUGGAAAGAUUCUUCUUGGCUUUGCGAAAGAAUCUGGGGAACCAAAUAAAGAAAAGGCGGGGGAAUAUCGCAGUUUUGUUUGUAUGUGUAAAAUCAUGCGUCGGGUCUCCCGACAGCACGGUAGGUGAAUUGCGCCCGAGAAAAUACCUGAUUUGCAAGAACAGAGCAGCGUGCGAGAUGCAAACAGAGAGUGUGUUUUCUCUCUCUUUCUAAUCAUAGCCAUGAUUUUUUUUUUUGAAAAAGAUCAGGAACAGAAGAACAUCGCAGAGGGACGGGAUGCGUAGCUUACCAGAGAUGCCGAUGUCAUAUCCGAAGAUGAGGCCGCCGGUGGCGGCGACGAUGCAGGCGAAGAGCACGAACAUGGUGAGCUUGCCGGGGUAGUCCUUGCCCCCUCCGGUGUUCACCACCACGCCGCCGGCCAUGGCGACUGCCCAAUACUCAAACCACAAACACACAAAGCUUUCGCCUCACACGAUCACAGGCUAGCUCCACACAAAAGACUUCACGAAAGGCCUAUGCCAAGAGGAAAAGAAUGGAAGUGCUCGUGAGCGCCCGGAGAAGAUGGGAACGUCUGCGAGUUCAGAGGCGAACGGAGGCAGUGUUGAUUGUUGAGACGGGGGAGGAGCGGGCGGGCAUUUAUAGGCGGGGCGAGGGGCCUCCAUGUGAAUGGGCGACGAGCUGGAGGGUGAGACUGCCAGGGUGGGCCCAACGCUCCCUCCCGCCCGCGCUUGUUUUUCCGUUCAUUAAUUGUGGCCGUGGAUAAAUCUUUAUCCCAGCUACCGGCCCCACCACCCCCGCUUCUUCCUUCCUGGAAAGACCCGGCGGCCAUUAAUGUGAACACGCUGCCGGUGCAGGCGCGCCAGCUGCUUUCCGCUCCCGGCGACGGCGGGGAGGAGGGUCGCCGUUCGCCGCCGUCCACCGCGAGAACGCGUGCGUGUACACGCUCGAGAUGGGCUGGCGGUGUUAUCCGUUCCGUUCCCGUUUUCGCUGCGAAAUGUAAACGUGCAGUGGAUAACGGCAUUAUUAGGUUCGAGGGUAGAAGAACAGUUAGCAGGAUCUCCUGCUGUGCUGUGUCUGGAUUUCUGGAGUCACACCUGCUGAUGACUCGGCGACAGGUCAUGCAGGCUCCAUGCGUAGCGUAGCAGCGUUAAUGGCGAAUCCGAUUCUUGCUGAUCAAGUUCCUCGAUUGUGGUUUAAUUUGGCAGGGUGGGUAGGUGCAUGCCGUUGCCUUCCUCAUGGGAGGUGAGGUACGCUUGCUGACGUGGAACCGGCUGUGCAAGUGUUGAGCACAUGUGGAUGGGUCAACGGCUCAACGCUGGUCCAAAUUAAAACAGACGAAACUGAUUAACCAGGCUGCGGCAUGGCAAAUUUGCGCAAAGAAAGAACCGAAUAAAAGGGUUCAGUUUCCUCUUAGGUUAUGGGUCUUGAUCUAAACGAUGAUGUAGAUUCUUAGGUUAACCAUCAUAACUCGACGAAAUCAGAUAAUGGGAUGCGGCGUUUUAUGAUCAAGCCGUGACAUGCUAUGCUGACCCACAAGAUCCAAAGUGCGCAACUUGGCUGCAUUCACCGAACACAUGCUCGCUCGGCGGCCACGGAAGUUGGGACUUGGACGGAAUGAUGGAGGCAUUGUUUAACACAAGCGCGAGCACGUCGCAGUCAUCGUGGGCGAACAGUGCCCCGGGACUGGCUCGGCCGGUCGGCUGCGUACCCGUCGGACAGCUAAUCUGCUAGCUCGGACGACCAUGGCCUCAUCUACUAUCUCCUUGGUCCGGCGCCGACCGGUGCGCCAGCACGUAUAUACUAGUACAGAAAAGCCAUCGAGCCAGACACGGCGAACCGCCGCCAACGGCGUUUUCUCCGAUCCGGGCACAUGUUAGGAACGAUCUGCCUGAGAUAUUUCUCCUUUUCGUACUGGCUCCCGCCGCCGUGGUGGUGUGCGUGUGUGGCGUCGUCACGCCACCACAUUACUGCGUUCUCGUCGCUGGAGUCGGCGGCUUCCGGCGGAGUCAAAGGAGGGUGCGACAGAGGCGCGCGGGCGCUCGGAGCUAGCUGGCCGGACCGCGCCGGGAGCCGGUGCGGGCAAAGCUAGGCCGCAGGUGUGGGAUCGCUGGGAUACGCUAGCUUGCAGCCAUGUCGACGUCGCCGCAUCGCGGACGCGACAAGGACGCCUCCCAUUUGUACCGGUCCCGUCCGGCCUGUAGCCCGGUAGCAUGCGUGAGUAAUGCCAAGCGCCGGUCACGAUCCUAGGCUCACUAAUGGCUUGCUGGGUAAUGGCAAGCUAACUGCUAUAAUUUGGUCAAAGGGAUGCCGAUCUCGACGGUCGGAGCAAGCUAGCCUGGUCCACUGAACUACGCCGCCCAUGUCGGUCUCUGUGGGAACUAGGAAGGGCAUGCCAGUAGGAGUGCAGGAGGCAACCGCAAGUACACAAGGCUAAGAAGAAGCUAAGCACAUGGGACGGGACGGGGAAGGCGGAAGGCAGGCCUGCGAUCCGAGUCAACGAUCGACUGGGAUACGCGAAGAAGACGGGCCAGCCAUGCCAUGGUUCCGAGCAAGAGGGGGGAGGGAGAGGCCGAUGCGCGUGCGUCACCGCGACGACGAGAGCGAAGCCAGCGGACGGGUCCGGCGACCGGCGCUGAGGUCAAGCCCACCCCAAGACGUGUGCCUGUCAGUGUGGACGCAGCAGCUCUCGCAUGUGCCGCUCGUUCUCGCGCCUCGCCAGUCAAUGCCAACCAGCCGGGUCAACCACUGCUGCUGCCAGUCGACUGCGAGUCCUUGCUGGGCUUUCACUGUUGCCGGGAUAAGACCCCGCUGAGAUUUGACUUGAUUGAUACUCCUACGAUGCUGCUGCCCAACCCAAGUCGGCUGGCAAGAGCCCAAAAAAUGUGCGGAUUGGGAUCGUACUGUGGUCCGUGGUGACCUUUUGCGGAAAGUGGGACCCUACAAGCAGCCUCGUUUGAAAAAGUCUCGUAGGAGGAAGAGUCCUAGACUGCGGUCCACCAAUCAACAUCCAGCAAAACCCAAGAAUAUUCAGACUAGCAGACAAAAGAAAGAGCUGCUGCAACUUUGCAUGGCGUGGUGCGUUGCAUACUUGCACACCACCGUUUGUCAACAGUACAGUUUUUCGACUUUUCGUUCGGCAUGGGCCUACGGUGUGUAAUCUACACGUUGUCAUGUUUGAAUACUGUUACGAUGCACUCAUCGAAAUCCGAAAACAAACUACUACUGCUUUUGUACUAAAAUAUGUAAUCUGCUUCUUCCAACUGCCCAAAGUCCAAAACAAUAUGCUAAAUGACUAAAGCACGUCCUAAGAAACUGAGCUGCGCGAGUGCAAGUAGCAGCAGCAGCAGAUGAACAAUGUGCCGCUACCAGUAAAGCUCGAGUUCUAAAACCCUGAGCCUUACGUGGAAAGCUCAGCGGCGGCGGUUCUCGCGCCAUUUCUUCGUUCAAGGCGUGCAGGAGAGCAUGCUGCUCCGUCCAUCAAGUGCCAAAGGUUAGUGAAAAAGCGUGCGUUCAGGUUUAAUUUGAGACUUCAACUGUCGUUUUGUUCUGUUCCUAGUUGCUACCGCCAAGAAGACCACACGCGCUAUGACCUGACCUGUGAGAUGUUUACAGUUGACGCCGUAUCCGUAUCCGUAGUCAAUUACAGUGACACGCAAGACCACCAGAGCUACCUACCUGAGGACGAUGUAAUUUUCUUCCUUGAGCGCAGGAUAUUUUCAAGGUCAAUGCUGCUGGGUAGUAACGUAGCCCACGAGGCCGCCCCGCUUAAUUGCCGCUCGUGGCCGUUGCGGCCGAGCUGCAAUAACCACGCGGAUUAAACAAUCUUCGCCUGCUAAGCCCACAAAACAAUAUUGCAUACCCGCGAAAACCCGCAAGGACCCACUUCAUGACAACGCCCAUCUCCUUUCUUUUGCUCGCCACGGUGCUGCCCGGCGCCGCCGGACGAUGGUCACCGGAGGGUGAGCAUAACGAGGAAGCCGAGGAACGUCGCCGCGCCGACGCCGGAUCAGCUGAAGACGAUAAGCUGUGCCAUGCACUCGCGCGACCGCCGGAGUUUAUCGUAGCUCCUCGGGACUACGCCGGAGCAGCAGAGCACGAUGACGCCGCCGCCUUCGCCGCCCUCUGCUUGCAGGCUCACCUCUCGCACGUGGCCACGCCGAUCGUCGCACGUGAUGGUGGUCUAGACGGCCACGACGCCAGCGCCGGCGCCGGCGCCGGUGCCGAGCACGAGAGCGUCGACGCGGAACGGGGCGCCCAGGAACCUGCCAGACGAUGCGCAACAUGAUGCAGGCGACACCUCUCGUCGCCAUCGACCCUGCCAGCAACGCCUCCGAUGGCACCAACGUCCACCUCAAAGAGAGCCAGCAGGCCUUGUGACUAGCGCUGAUGAUUCUUUCGGACGCUCGCGGGGUUUGCGGACACAGCCACCAGGCCCACUAACCAAGCACACUAAUUCCCAUGCGGGUUAGCGGCUUCUCGUGAUUGAUUGAAAAUGCUUUGCGGGCUAACGCAUGUGGGUUGUGGCUGUCCACAACCCGCCCCGCCUGCAUCCCUAUUCCCUACUGCUGGGCACUCGAUCACGGUCUCACCGGUUGGUCUCACGGGCUACCUCAACCAGUUAAGUCUGUCAAUUUUCACUGUCACAUUCAACCAGCUGGUAAAGCAGGUUUAUCCAGCAGGAAUAUUCAUCGUCAGUGAGCAUAAGAUGUGUGAAUGCACGGCAUGCGGCGUGCAUAUCUCUUUCACUCACGUCGCUGCACGCAAAGGCCUAGACGCGCGUGUGGCUGGUCGAGCCGCCGGGCAAUAUUCUACAAGUCAAGCAGAUUCCUUUUUCAUCACAUCAACGAGUGGCCCCGCCAGUAAUCGUACCUACCAGCAGCCACUAUUCUACUUUACAAGUUAACCGAUGGAAUCGAUUGACAUGUGCAACACGGGUGUGCACAAUUAAGAUGGCCAGAUGGGCCUUAAUUACUACUAGUAGUAGCAGUAGAUUAACACCAAACUACAGUGUAUAUUAUUCGAUCCUCGUCGUCCUUAAUAUUUGCUUCACGUACCCUGCAAAUAGCAAAAUGUUUUCCUUUUCCCUUCAUUUCAUCCCAAUCUUAAGCAAGUGCAUUUCGUCGACCGAUAAGUCGACACGUGCGACCUGUCUGUUUUUUCCCCCCCUGAAGUCCCUGAUCGGCUGAUCUCAUUAUCAAAUCACUGAAAUCAGAGAGGGGGGUCGCAUUCUCUUUUGCGGAUGGAGCACAAACUGGCGGGCUGUAUUCUUUGGUCAUUUACUCGUUCAGUUUCCAAACGCUAAUGCCGUCCGAGUCACGUGCAAUCAUGUGCGGAUUCUGGUCUACGUUCUUCCGAGAAUGACACCCAGUUUGCCCACACGCAGUCACGUGCAAAUAAAAAGGGCCGGAAUGGAUUCUAGGAAUUUGAGGCCACGAGCUUGGUGCCUGUAGUGAGUGGCUCACUGGCUCGUCAGCUAUCACCGUUUUCCACGGGUGCCCGCCCUCUCGCCUGUGAUUUGAUUUUGGAAUCCCAAGUGAUGGGCACUAGCGAUUUGUGGAUCGUGCCCGUCGCCCGUGCGCUGAGAUUGUGUGGGGGUAUGCAGGGAACGUGGCAAGCAGAGGCACCGAGAUGACUCGGAGCGAGGCGGACGUCCGCUUCAGUUUUGAUCAUACAGAGUUGCAGACCGGGCGAAAGUUGGAGUAGCGACGCAUUCUGUGAGGGUUCUUCUCGUGAGUCGUGAUACGGUAGCAGAGGUGCUGGCAAACUAGAUAAGAUAGUGUACAAAGAAAGGAAGGGGAGAGCAAAGUGAACUCAGAUCUCAAAUUGCAAAGCUGAACGUUCAGAUCAGAGAUGUGAAGCGCAGCAGCUUGAGAAUUUCCGGUAAUGUAGCUGAAGAAAAAUACUGAGCUUAAGCUGUUUGAAAUGAUAGUUUAUGGCCCAUCGAUGUGCUGGGCCUGAGCGCCUUCACGCGCGCGAGAGAGGACCAAUCCCUUCAUGGGCUUUUGUCGGUCUAGAUCAGCCCAAAUCUUUCACGCUCAUGAUGGACUGGAUCACCACCUACAACACCGGAGGAAGAUGAAGCCCAAAAAUUCGUCACAUACAGGUGUACCCUGAACCGGAAGGCCCGGGCGCGGCACGGCGGCAUCACAGGACCGUUGCGCGGCGGCCAGCUGCGGCAAAACGAAAAAACUCUGCGUCUGCCGGGAGUCGAACCCGGGUCUAUUGCUUGGAAGGCAAUUAUCCUAACCGUUGGACUACAAACGCCUUAUUGAGGUAGAGGUUAAGAUUAAAAAUAAUAGAGAACAGACACAUGAGAGCAUGUAUAUUAGGCACCUUCUUUCCCUUUUCCUUUGAUAUGUUUUCAUUUCUGUACCUUUUUCCCCGACUCCCAGUGUUAAUUGAGAACCUCUAGAACACAAAGUCCCUGGACCCUAUGCUGUUAGUCAGCAAAGCUUUUAGGUCUCUGUUGACAGGGCUCAGCUUUUCUAUAGGUGGUCAACUUCAACAAGAAAAAGUCGGAAAGAAAGCAGCGUCAGAGUAACAUAAUCUCUGGAUGAUGUAGUAGCCAACCUAACCCAACAAUCAUCUCACGGUCUUCCAGAAAUCCGGAACUACUUUUAAGCGUUGACGUUCCAGAACAAAAAGCUCUUGAUUGCUGCAGAACGGCGCCUCCCCUCCCUCAACUGCCUCGGACUUGGAGACAGACACCUUGCACAUCACAGGGGCCAAUGCCACUACGAAGCUGAUGGUGCGACCAAUUGUAAGGUUGGCCGGUGUUGGAAACUGGAGAUCAAAAUAAAACAGAGGGAAUUGCUUGUUGGGCAGACGUUUUCAUGUGCUCACUGCUCAGUGAAUGGCUGCUGGAAAAGGCAGCUCGCCUGACUCUGACUCAGUGAUGACCGGGGAACAAACUACCGAACCUGCCCGUCGAAAAGAAACCAUUCCUGUCUGAAUAAACGACCCGUGUCUGGAGAUGCGCUGUCCAACGUCUCUGACUGAAGCUUCUCACGACAGGUACGUGUAGCCGGAACUGCCAUCUCGGCUCAUACCUCUGAAGUCAUGCUGAGUUGCUAGCUGCUCAAACAUCUUGUCUGAAACUUGAAGCAAACGAAUGCUCCUCCUCAUCGAACAAGGACUGACCUGACUGUUCGGCUCAGAGGGGGACAGGAAACUAGAAAAGCAGCCAUCAAGCUGAUGCCAAUGUUGCGUGUCUCCUUCAGCCAGUUAUUGGUCAUUUCAGGCUCUCGACAGCGAGGCUUGAGCAACGGAAGCACGGACGGUCGAUCGGGGGCUCGGGGCAGUUCUACGCGCCAAUGCCUCGGCAUUGUGACGCUGGAAAUUUCACUGGUCCAGGUCUCAGAUUCAGCCACACGGUACUGAAUCCAAACUACUGGUGUAGCACAUAAAGUCGUGUAUUGUUCAUGUUCAAUGACCGUGCUUCUGCAUCGACAUUGCAGCAGUAUCUUCCACGACCAGUCAGAGAGUUUUAUUGCCCUGCUUUGACUCGAUAGUACAAUCUUCAGAAACACCUGCAGAUGCUGCAGCACGCGAGAUAAACGCACAGUUACAUUUACAUCCUGCAAAAGGUCUGCAGACACAGCAGCAAUGGAUCGAGUGCGUCAGAGAAGACGACCAGUCGCCAAUAGAUCCGCAGCUCUGCGUGCAAUAAGUGUGUCCACAUGGAUGGAUCGAGGUAAAGAAGACGGCGACUUAUUGCGAUCGCGAGAGCUAGCUUGAGCCCAUGAUCGCAGCUCGUCGGCAGGCAGGCACGCAGUACCCGCACUGUACCGCGAGAGAUCAUAACGCGAAGGCGACCCUACCGCGCGAUCGCGAAAGCUCAGAUCGAUUUGCCAUUUUGCUGCUGAAUGAUUGGUUUCCAUCACUCAUUUGGGCCAUGGUCCACGCCGCCCACCUUUCUGUCAAAGAUGAAUGUGCCCAGCGGCAAGAAGGAAAACAUCCGAUGCACAGGUAAAAGUGUGCGAUUUUCUGAUGCUGAUGCAGUCACUGGAUGGAUGGAUUAGUUGUUGAAUGGACUCGCACUUUUAUUUGACAGUGAUGAGUGAUAUACACAUGGGGUGACAAAUCACUGGGUGAUUCAUUCUUUGAUUCCUUCACAGCAACAAAAGAUGCAAGGAACAUGUGUGUUAGCUAGAGGUACAGUACUAGUAAGUGACAGCUAGUUCUUGUCGCCAAGGAUUACAGGCUCCAGAUGCCAUGGAAAAUACUCCUCAGCUUGCUCCCGCCAAGCUUCUUCACGAUCCGUUUGGCGUCCGGGACAUUAGUCUCCGCGAGCUUCUCGAGAUUCCUGCCAUGGAAACAUAACAAACAGAUCGUGAGAAUUUCUAGUGAGAUGAGAUGUGAUGAACAAAAACACAUAACGAUUAGUCAGUGAUUGACAGGUGGUGUCUGUACCUGACGUGCUCCGAGGACAUGAUCUUCCUCCGGCCGGAGCUGCUGUCCGUGAGGUGCAUCAGCGUCGACAGCAGCAACCGCUUCGCCGGCGUGGGCUUCUCCUCUUCGGGGCCCAGUAGCUGCAGCACCUGCGCCACGUUGCGGUCAUCCUGGACGAACCGCUUCCGGUUGCGGUGCACGGACACCAUGGCGCAGAGCGUGUCCGCCGCCAUCUCCCGCGCCUCCGGGGACUUGGCCGCGCGGAGGACGCUCACCAUCUCCGGCAUGAACCCAGCGUCCCCCAUCGCCUUCCUGAUCUCCUCGGACACCUGGCACAGGCGGUGCGCCGCCUUGAGGGCGCAAUGCUGCAGCGUGGUGUCGCCGUUGCGUAGCAGGGAGAGGACGCGGUCCAGGAACCCGGCGGCGAGGAGCCGGUCCGUGGAGGUCGGCGGCGAGAGACAGAUCGCGUCGAUGGCGCGGAGGGCGACCUCGCGCGCCUUCGAGGAGCGCGUCGGGGAGGACGGGUCGAGCGCGCGGACGAGGGACUCGACGGCGCCUUCCUGAAUGACGGCCUCCCUGGCGGAGCUGUCCCCGGAGGCGAUGGCGGCGAGGAGCUCCAUCGCCUGGAUCCGCGCCGCGUCGUCCGUGGCGGCGCCCUGCGAGAGCGACACGAGCGCCCGGCACGGCGCCCGCGUCGGCCACCAUGUACUUCCUGAUCUCGUCCACGCCUGCGAGGCUCCGCAGCACCCGGCACGCCGCGCACACGAGCUCGCCGCCGCGCGCGCCGUGGUCCGUGCACACGUUGAGCAGCGCCGUGACGCCACCGUGCGCGGCGACGGCCCAGGCAUUAUCCGAGUUCUCGGUGAGCUGCAGAGCACCCGCGCCGCGCGCUCCUUGGCCGCCGCGGUGCUGCCGGCGCCCGCGUCGAGGACCCGGACCACGGGGGCGAUGACGCCGCCGACGACCAGGUCGCCCCUGUGCGCGUCGGACCCGGCGAUCACCGAGACCGCCUCCAGGGCCUCCUCCUGGACGCGCGGGUCGGGGCACUCGAGCAGCGAGACAAGGACCCCGACGCCGUCCGGGACGUCGGAGGCCACGACGCGGACGCACUUCUCGUCGUCGCGCAGAGCCUCGCCGAGCGCGGCGGCGGCCUCCCUCCGCAUCUCGGCGCCGCCGGCCCGGAGCCUGGCGAAGAGGUCCCGCACGUAGAACCGCACGUCAUCGCGGGUGGCGCCGGCGCCGGGGCGUGGCACCACCAGCGCCCGCGCCCGCGUGAGCGCGCCCGACGCGUACACCUCGUCCAGCCGCGCCACGUGCGCGUCGAGCGCCGCCGCCAGGACGUCGAGGUCGCUGCGCAGCCGCAGCUUGCCGCCGCCGUAGUGCCGCCCCUGGCUGCGCGGCACCAGCUCCAGCGCCUCCCGGGCGGUCGCCGCGACGUCCCGCAGGAGGCUCGCGAACGCGUCGCACCUGUCCUCGCCGUUGUCGUCGUCGGCGCCGGUGACGGUGAUGUCGGCGAGGCCGGCGUGGAGGCGGUUGAGCCGGUCCCUGAUGAGCUGCCACUUGAGCGGGAACAGCGUGGCCGACAAGGAAGCGGAGACCAAGGAACUGAUGGCGUCCAGCGCCUCCGCAAGCAUCCCCUGCUCAUCCAGCUCCUCGUUCUGGCUCAACUCCGCCGCCGGCGCGGCCGCUUCUUCCUCCCCUGCUUCUCCCAUCCUCCUGUCCUGUCCAAGCUCACUGCCUCAGCAGCAUCGGUCAGCUCCUUCUCCGAAGAAGGCUCACAUGCACCUCUUCGAUUCUCGCCGAGCUUGCAUCGUGGUGGUGGUCGAGCGAGGACGAGAGGAGAGGUGGAAGGAAGCAGCGGUGCGUGGAGUGUGAUAACUGUAACUGCACGGUGGCGCUGAACUGGAAGAGACGGGCAGCUUUGGCGUCUUCCAGGUAGUUAAUGGAGGUGGAGGUGGAGGCGGGUGGGCCCGGCAGUGGGCGGUGGACCUACCGGCCGGGGCGCAGGCGCAGCACGAGCGCGCGACUGUUGAUGCAUGCGCUGGGCUUCUCGGGGAAACACGACGACGAGGCCCCGCCUGCCCUGGGGAUCGGCGAGCUUUGGUGCGGAGCGGCAAGCGCACGACGAGGGGAAUGGAAUAGCGGCACAAGUGACCAAGCCUGCCAGCGUCCACUGGCUACGGGUUUAGGAUCGCGUGACACGCUCAAAUGCUAGGCGCACAUAGAGGAGAAAUAUGGAACCCUCUCCAGCUCAAGUGUCAACCAUUUGAACAACACAAAUAUACAGUAUCUUGUUCUGUGUGGUGAAAGACGAAACUAUGCAAGCCGACAGGACAACCUCCUCAUCAGUCUUGUAUUGUAUCUCUCACAAAUAUGGCUAUUUAUUUGGUCAUAGGCGGCGUACUGCUCAUUGAUAGCAAGGUACGUGACCUUGUCACCCUGAACGUCUAUGUGUGUGUGUGUGAAUCAGUGGUUGUGCCAAUAUAUUUAUUUCUUUUUCAUAAAAAAUAUGGACGCUGAUACUGCAUCUGAGUGCCACAUCAAGAGCUUUCAGGAUGGAUGUCAAUGCUCAUUCAUAUAGCUUGAUGUAUCCACUGUUCCACUAGAAUGGAACUCAUCUGUUACAAUUUGCACUAACAAACACCAUGACUCAAAUUCGGUCAAAUAAAUCGUUUAUUUUUAUAUGUAGUAAAACUUCUCACUGAUGGUUUGGAUGAUAUACUCCUUUUUGGUUCGAACAACUCAUUGUCCUAGAUAUAACAUAGAGAAUAAAAUAAUGAUACACUAGAAUUGAACUCAUUUCUUACUCUUUGCACUGACAAACACCACGACUCAAAUUCGGUUAAAUAAACCAUUCAUUUUUAUGUAGUAAAGUUUUUACUGAUGGUUUCAAUUUUUUAUGUAGUAUGCGAAUAUGGAUGGAUCAUGGAUGCCUAGCAUUAUCUACAUAGCACGCUCAAUACUCAUGCAUUCUCUAGGCUACAAAAUAUAUUAUUUUUAAUUAUUUUGAAACUAUUUGAAAAUAGUCAUUAUAAUUGAACCUAUUUAGAUUUGUAUCUAUGACUAUUGAUAUUAAUAUGGUUAAUGGUAUUAAUUUUAAUCAUAUGACUAAUGAUAUACAAUUUAACUUCAAAUUGCGCACAUUCAAUAAUUAAAAAUUGAAUCUAUUUAAAAUUUGCAAUAAUUAUCUUGAAACUAAUUUAGAAUGGUAUCUAUGAAUAAUAAAAAUAUUAAAUUGUAUAAACUAUUUAUUUCUAAUUUCAAUUAAUGUUGGCAAUGCUAUAUAUCCCAUGUUGUAUUUUUAUGACUUGUAAUAUGAUUGGUGUAAAUAAAUGUGUAGUUGUGAAAAUAGAAAAAAUAUGAAAUAUUAAUGGUAUAUUUUUAUUCAUCUAACUCAGUGUUUGGUUAACAUAUUAGCCCGGUUUUCAAUCAAAAUAUUAUUUUUUAAUAAUUUAUUUAUAAUGGUUCUAAGAAAGUAUUAACUCAAUAUACAUGUUCAAACCAUUAUUAGUUUUUAUGUGUUUUUGUUCUUAAAUAUAAGUAUCCUUUGGUUUUUGAAAUGAAAAGAGAAUUUAUAAUUUGAGGUGCAGAUAGUCCAAUUUCUAUCUGUAUUAAAGAUUCAAGAGUAUCCUAAUUCAUUUUAAAAUAUGGAUACAAAAGUGGAAAGAGCAAUAUAUAACGGUAUCCUAUCUAAUUUCCAUCCCAGAAAAUCUCAACGUGGUGACCACUUUCCACGAACGAAACUCGCCACAGCUCGGACGCAUGAUUCAUCACGAGAUGCAACAUCGAGUUCUUAGCAUCGACCGAUGGCAUCAUGGCAAAGCGAACAAAGUCUGUCAAGUCAGUCCAGGCAUCUAGCAGCGCAGCCUGCAGCCGAGAAUCACGAAGCACUGCCGCACUGGCACUGAAGCAUCCACUCAACGCCGAAGAACGCGCGCGACUGGACAAGAGCGCAUGCACGGGAGCAAUUCCUGUGCGCCUGCCUCAUCGUGCCAUGCAUGCAAUCCUGCCAUGAAAACUACUACUCUAGAACUGCCAAUCUUCUCGUCGCCUAGGAAAGGGUCCAUUUCUAUCCACUUGCGCUUCGCUUCUACGCCGCUCAUGUGAGCCCUUCCUUAAUUUGGCUGCACCUGCACCUGCACCUCACGAGAGAGCCUCGCUUUAGCUGGUGUGGAUGUGAAGGAACAAAGGGCGAAAGGAGCACAGGAAAAGAUGCAUAAAAAGCUCUGCAUGGCAAGGAUCACACAAGGGUCUUGUUGCCCUCAUGGCAAGAAAAGGGCGCCCGCUUUCCUCUUUCUGGAGAUCCGCAGAAUACUUGGCGGUUGGUCAUGUGAGAGCGAGAGGCAAACGGCAUCGGCUACCUGCUCUGCUCAGCUACCGGUCUGUUACUGCAGUGUGAUCCGUGAUGCUGCAUUGCCGUGGUAAAGAACAGUGCAGGAUGGAAACAUGUGAUUCGUGAACAUUCCAUCAGGCAAACAGAGAUGAGAACAAUUUAGCAUGAUUUUGCCGUGUAUGGCUGCAUGCUGCAUCGGUACGUCCGUCGGAUUAUUGUCUCUGGAUGGAUUGUGACUUUGUGAGAGCCCAUGCCUGCAUGGGAGCUGGGGGCUCAGCACAUGUGGCUGGAACUGUGGAUGGAUAGCUGCGAGACUCUACCAAUAUCACUGAUAUGAAAUCAAUCAAUAAUGUUUCGGAAAAUGCAGCUGCAGUGGUCACGUAUGCAUGGCUGGAAUCGUCUACUGUUUGGAAUCAGUACCUAGCAGGAUAACAGACCAUCUCCUCCUUAGAAAAAAAAUGAAGGCAAAGUCUGUACAGAACUUUCACACAGAUUGUGGCUACCUGAUUGUAUGAGCCACCACUCAUCUCCUGUAGUUAGUUCUUCAGAAACCUUGGACCCAUCUCCUCAUAAUGCCAUUGUUCUCUGGACAAACUCAAUAAAUUGGUAAUACGAGAUCCUGGAAAAGGGACAGAUCUCUGAUCUGGACCCAUGAUUGCCCUUCAAGAUCAUCAUGGGUAGUGGCUCGCAAAGCGCUCCCAAAGUUUUGGUCCCAUGGAAAGUGGUUGUGGGUGACAAAGUACAUGUGCUAUAGCCCAUAGGAUGAUAUGGUAGUAAAAGCUUCGGUUUCCCCAUGGAGAGGAAAAGCCACCCCCACUUUCUUGAGAAGAAAAAAGUUUGUAAGCCAACAGCUAUCUUUUGCUGCAAUGUUUAUGCAUUGACUCAAAUCAUCGCAGCAGAUUUGGCCGCUGAUUGUCAAACCUAGCGCAUGCUGAUUCUCUAGGUGCUUUGAGUGGCUCAAGGAUUUUGUCAUGUCUCUGCAAGAAAUGUUUUUUAAUAAAAAAAGGAGAAAGAAAUGUUUCUGGAUGCAGUGAGUGCAGUUAAUACUGAAACAGACAUGAUUAUAAAGUACAAAAUCAAACUUGACAGUUAGUGGCAUAUGAUCCAAUCUAGUUCAUCAUUAGACUAGGUGAUCUCAAGAGUAGGUAAUUUAGACGGAAAGGCAUGUAAUCCAAAGUAGAACGAAGAUGUACCCAAUCUGAACCUUGCUUUUGCUUUGCUAUCCAAGAUCAUGCGGUGGAGUAGUUGCUUUUCGAGCUUUCAAGAGACAAGCCAGUGCUACAGAACAGUUGCUUGGGACAGUACUGUACUGGUGAAGUUUUAUCAAAAAAUAUUAUUGGAGAGCGUUCGCUACCUAAAAUUAGCCAACUGAAAGCAAAACACCACCAACCAUCAGUUUGACAUGCAUGCAUCCUUUAAUUAGUUGUCUUAAAUUGUCAUGCAGUUUGUGAUACAAUGAACCAUGUCUGAUAUUCUUCAAUGACAAACUAUUUUUUUUCACUAAUUUACUGCUAAAUUUUAGUAGUUUCUUGCAGCAGUGUUUGUUUACUACUGUUGACGCAGCCUGCCGGAUCAUGAAGCAGGAUUGUAGAACAGUCCAAGAUCCAGGUUAUAAAAAAUAAACUGUACUGAAUGUUUGGGAUCCAAGAUAUGUUACCGUAGAAUGUAAGCUGGAAACAAGUUUAGAAUCAUCAGUGGUUGGUCAUCUUACCGAUCCCUUCAGCACUCCAUAGAGAUUGAUGUGUUCAAUCAAGUGCUGGGGAAUAAAGAAGUGAUAUGUUUGGUAAAAGGAAAAUGAAUAAGUUGGAUAUACCCGAACCACUCCACAUGCUCUGCCGCAGUUCCGACACAAGACUGAAUUAAUAUGUAUGCAGUCAUAGAAAGACAAAUGGUCGAAGGCAGGAACAAUUAUAGGGACUGGUGAAUAAAGAAUCUACAAAGAAAUAUUAAAUUAAAUUGUCUUUAAAAUGUUGCAUGCAAAUGUCGUAACCCUCAAAAAAAAACAGACCAACAUAAGACAAACAAAAUAAAGUGCAGAUUCAUGAAGAGCGUAUCACAAUAAAACAGAUAAACAAGGACGCAACACACAAGUGAAGAAACUUUCUGAAGAACUCCUGUGUGUGACACGACCCAACACCUGCAGGCAGAUCGAUGACACCUUUCUCAUGAACAAAUCACUGCCAAAGAUCACUGACAAAUUUGAUGAGACCGAUUAACUUAACAGCAAUAUUCAGAUCAAUUUCAUUGUAAACUCUGCAUAACUUGGUCCACAAUUGGUUCUGAAAAUGACACCGUAUCGUGACACGCCGUCUGCUGGUUCUAGUGGGCCACAGCUCUCUAUGAGCAUGACUCGGCCACGAUAUGCCAUUUCUUCACCAUUUUCAUAUCCAAAAAAGCUCCAUAUACUGUCUGUCCCAAGUUAUCUCAUCCAGAGUUUCAGUCAUGCAGCACCUCCUGAUUCUACCGGAGGUCUAGAGCACUUCCUUUGAGCAGUUGCUCUAGAGCAGUUCCUUUGAGCACAGCCUCGAUAUCCAGCCUGUACCAGGGCCCAACGACGGCGAAUUGGCAAACGGCCCACCCCAAAACCUGUGGCGACAAUGUGCAUGCAAGCGCGACGAAAGUGUCGUCCAUGAGCCUCGAGCGUUCUACCGCCUUAUCCCGGGUUCCCAGCCAAGUGGAGCAGGGUCCUCCACGAUCUCUUCAGUGGCCGGCGUUGGACGCGGCGAAUUCUUUACACGCCGCCGCUAUCCGAGCCACGAACACCGAGGCACGUGCGCCCGGCGCGGCCACAUGUCGAGCAGCACGCGAUCGAACGCUCUUUUCCGUCGUUCCCAAUCCGGCCUCAAAUUCAAUUUGGCGCCCCAUUUGGUAAUGGCUAUAUAACGUGACGAGCCACCCGAAGCAUUCGCCGCAUCUCGCGCCCCGGCAUCUGCUCCGCUUCCUCUCGGCAAGCCGGCCACCGUGUCGUAGUCUCGUGGAGCGACAGAGCAAGGCGGCGGCGGCGGCGGCGGCGAGGAUGCUGGAGAGCCAGGCGGUGAUCGGGGACACGGACAUGCUGCAGGCGAUGCAGCAGGACGCGCUGCGGCUGGCCGGGAAGGCGCUGGACGACUUCGAGGCCGUCGACUCCACCGAGAUCGCCCGGUUCAUCAAGAAGGUCGGUCGGUCGGCCGGUCACCGUUCGUUGUUGCAGCGAACACUGAACGCCUUUUCAGAAUGGUGACAUGUUUCUUUGGUUUCUGAUGCUGACAUGUUUUUGCAGGAGUUCGACCGGUCGUACGGGCCCGGAUGGCAGUGCAUCGUGGGCACCGACUUCGGGUCCUUCGUGACGCACCACUCCGGCUGCUUCAUCUACUUCGGCAUCGGCAACCUGGCCAUCCUGCUGUUCAAUGGCGGCGCCGGCGGCGCUCCUCAGGGUGGCACGGCGGAGCAGGCGCGGCUCACGGCGCUGAAGGCUGCUGUCGAGGCGUGAGGGAUCGGAAUGGCGUAGGGUAUGCAGGAUGGAUUGGUCGAAGUUAUUAUGGUUCGUGUCAUGGUGUGGCUGUGUUCCUGCCACGUCGUUUCGUGCUUGCUUGCGAGUGAGAGUGGCCAGACUCGAGUGUAGCGAUCAAACUUGGAGGACUUUAAUUGGGUCUUGUUUUUAAUUGGGUCUUGUUUCCCAAAAUCCCAACUUUGGUACUAUGCAAAAAGAAGAUUCCCCAUCAUAUUAAACUUGCGGUACAUGCAUGAAGUACUAAAUGUAGACAAAAUAAAAAACUAAUUGUACAGUUUUGUUGUACUUUGCGAGACGAAUUUUUUGAGCCUAAUUAGUCAAUGUUUGGACAAUAAUUCAUAAAUACAAACGAAACGUUACAGUAUGCUACAGUGCUGGCAUAGUGAUUUUGAUUGUUCAAAAUCGAGCAACUGAACAGGCCCUUGGUAAAAAACAUUGUUCUGGCGGAAGCAGGUCACACCGAAAGUGCGGAGUGGAACUUCACAUGCAUUUUCAUCAUUCUCACGUUUCUUCAGAAUCUUCAGAAUCAUUGUUCUCGCAGAAGCUGUGGGCUAUGGGCUACGGAUCAGUCCUUCGCUAUCCCUUCCUUUUCGUCCGUCUAUCCGGAAUUUUUUUAUUUUCAUAUUUUUUUCGAUUUUGCACAAAUAUAUAGUCAAAUCAAAAAUUUGCAAAAUGGGCUUAUACCGCCGGCUGAAAUUGUACCGUCAGUUGAAACGGUACCGCCGGUUGAAACGGCGGUAUGGGCCUGGCGCCUCAACGGUCACCCAGCGGAUAAGCUCUGCGCGGCAUCCGAGGAAACUGGCCCUUACCGCCGGUCAAACAGCGGGGCUCGCCCACCGUAUAAGCCGCACCCGCGCCCCUCCCCUCCCCCGCACCAGACUGCGCCAGACAAAGAGAGAACGUCAGAGAAAGAGAGGAAAGGAAAGAAGGGAAGAAAAAAAAGAAGGAGAGGAGAGGAGGAGGAGGGAAGAAGGGGGGAAGGAAAUUCUUCCGUCGUUCCGAGGUAAAUUUUUUUAAUCUCGUAGUUUAGAUAGUAUAGUGUAGUGACUAAAUCUAGAUUUAGAAAUAUUAGUGGAUCUGAGAUUUAGAAAUAGCUAGUGAAUCUAAGACUUAGAAACAUUUAGCCGAAUUUAGAUAUAGUAAAAUGUAGCUUAGUUGGUACAAUAAAUUUAGCUUAAACAGUAAAAUAGAUUUAGCUUCGGUGGUAUAGUAGAUUUAGCUUAGGUGGUAUAGUAGAUUUAGCUCAGGUAGUACAGUAGCUUUAUUUUAGAUCACAGUAAAUUUAAGAAAUAUUAGUGGAUCCGAGAUUUAGAAAUAUCUAGUGGAUUUGAGAUUUAUUUGUUGUGUAUAUUAGUUCUGGUACAUGUCUACGAUAAAUUUAGUUAGUAAGUUUGGUUUAGUGUUACAUAGUUAUUUGUUUAUUGUAGUUAACUGACAUCAUUGUAGUCGUCAUUGUGGUACACUAAGCUUGGUUUAGUGUUACGUCGUUGUCUGGUCCCCUCUCUGUUUGGGCUGUUGCAGCGCCGGUUAUAUAGCGUGAACCCCCGCCGGUUCAUCCGGCGGUAAGGGUCCUUACCACCGUUUCAACCGGCGGGGGUUCCUCGAUCCGCGCGCACACUGCUUCGGCGGCAGCGCUUAGGUGGUGAGGGCCUUACUACCAUUUCAACCGGCGGUAGGGCUCUCCCACCUGCUGAAACGGUAUCAGGGACCGGUGUAGGGGGUGUCAGGCCGUACCGCCGUUUCCGUAUAAACCCAUUUUUGUAAAUUUUUUAUUCCACUAUAGAUUUUUGUAAAAUCGGAAAAAAUAUAAAAAUAAAAAAAAUAUCUCCUCUCCGAGCAAAGCACAUGGGCCAAAACCUGACCUGGGAGACAACAGGAGAGAGAGAGAGAGAGAGACUUGUACAAGCGUUGGGCCCUGUCUCUGAACCAUAGGCCCAUGAACACACUGCUCUUUCCGUUCCAACUAGCCAGAAUGCCAGAUCACCUAACACCCUAUCAAGGGGUAAGCUUGCUACCUCAGUGACACGACCCGAUCUCACUUUUCUUCAACACUUUUUGCACACAUCGUUAUCACGUUUACAAAUCAUUUACUUGUCAAAAAUGCAAGAUGUCGUGCACGUAGACACUAGCGGAGUUAGGUGUAAACAAGACGUGUAGGGGUCCCUGUCCUGUUCCCACGAAAAUUAUGUCUUGAAAUGCUGCAAGAACAAUUGUAUCUGAAUACCUAAACAAACAAUUGUAUCUGAACCGGCUGCCGUCCAAAUCAUGUUUAUGGAAUGGGAGCAGUCUGUUCACGUGGCCCAUGACAGGGAGACAGGGAGAGUGCCUGAAUAACUAUUUGUCGCAUAUACGUGGAUCCCACUUGUCAGCGCCAUAGCCUCCUCUUCCUCUACCUUCGCCCGCUGCCGGUUCUCCUCUCCCUUCUUCCUCUUCCUCCACCGGCCUUAGAAAAGGGGUGGGAGAUCGUAGGUAGACCUUGACGGCAGAGGCGGGUUGUGAGGCGGCGCGGCGCGGUGGCGGGUGGAUAGCCGGUAGGCUAGGGAUUGGCGGGGGCGAAGGUUGGAGGUGAGCUUCUCGGCGGAGCCGUAUUAGGGUGACGGAGGGUGGCGGCGGCAGAUGCGGUGGCUAGAGUUGCCGCAGACGGUGGAGGACAACAGCACGGGGGCGAGCGGAGGAGAGAGAGGGGCCGAGGAGAGAAGGCAGCGGGUUCGGCGGCGAGCCGCCGGAGCCAGGGAGGAAGGUGGUGCAGGGGCUGUUACUGAUGUCGGCUGUUACUGAAGGCGACAUCGGCGGAUUUGUCGCCUUGAGUGACACGUAGCACCGCCCCAGUUAGGUUGCGACAAACGAUUUGAUGCCUGAACAACGUGCAGUCUGACGAAGCGCUGGAGACCAACAGAUUCGAGCAUUACAGCGAUAAGCAAGGUAUAAAUUUAGGUAACAGCAAAUUUAAAUAGUCCAGCAGGAAAUCCCAGGCAGCAGCACCUAAAACUUGCGACGAGAAAUGGACAGGCUGAGACGAUAUUCAGUCAGUGUGCACUGGCGCGUCACAUCACAUCAGCAUUGGCAUUGUUCUUGUGCUCUGAAUCUGAACUGAUUCGGCGAACCAACUUUAACCAACCAAGCCAACCACCAAACAGGCUACUGAUGCGAUCUAGGAAUCCAGAUCCAAACAGCAUUGCCAAGGCACUCGACCAUCCGCAACAAAAGCUUGGCGAUUCGAGCACAGUCCAGCCACUGAUGGCGUACACGCGUGAUGCAGCAGCACAGCGCGUACCAGUGGAGCAUAAUGGCCCAGCAGUUGCAACCUUGGCCACAAGGAAGAUGAAGAUGCCUGAGAAUCUUGCAAUGCCCAUCGAUACCACUCAGAAGUCACAGCAGCUCAUGAUUCUCAAUCUUUUGCGGUGAAUUUAAAAAAAGACCGGAACAACUGUAGGCUCUGAAUAAGUUAUCAUCAUCAUCAUGAUCUCAAAUAAGCAAAGCAAUCCGUUUGAGAAAAAAGGGAAAGCAGCAAAGCUUCUCACUCUCAGUAUCUCCUCAGCAUCCUAUAUGUACAUUGCGGCAAGCCAUCUAGAUAAACGCACUCAAGAACUCCAAAUCCACACGCCCGAUCAGCAAAAGUUUUGUUAAAAAAGCCCGUGAAACCAAGAAUUAAUCCCCAAGUAGAAAAAAGGACGUGGCGAAACGUGUGUGUGUCGCGUCCGGGGCAGUCGAUUCUGUCACCGGCACCGGGAGAUGUCGAUCUCGAUGAGGCUGUCCUCCUCCAGCAAGAUCUCGAUCAUCCCGUCCUCCCCCUCGCCCCCACCGCCGAUGACGCCGUCGUCGUCGCUGUCGCCGCCGACGCUGUCCGAGUCGGAGUCGGAGUCGAGGUCGGAAUCGGAGGCCCAGGACAGGCCCAUCUCCUCCGGCCGCCCCCACUCCGCCUCGAACUCCUCGUGGAUCACCUCCAGGGCGCGCCCCUUGGCCACCCACGACGCGAACUCGAGGGCCUCCGCCGGGAACACGAUCUCCCGCUCCGGCGGCGGCGGAGAAGGAGGUGGGGGAGGCGGCUGGAGAGGCGGGUGCGCGGCCUCGUGAAGCUGCUGCUGAGGCAGCUUCUCCUCCGGCUGCGUCGACGUAGGAGGAGGGUUGACGGGAGCGGGGGACGCCGGCGGCGCGGAGCCGAGGCGGAGGAGGGAGAGGAGGAGGAGCAGGGAGGAUAGCGAGGCGGGGGAGAGCACGAACAGCAGCAGCGGCCGGGGGAGGUAGAGCACGGCGAGGAGGGAUGCCGCGGCGGCGGCGGCGAGGAGCGGGUGGUGGUGGUGGGGCUGCCGCCGGUCGCCGCCGGCGGGGACCUCUUGCGCCGGCGGCGGCGGGGAAGGUGAGGUGGAGGGGGCGGAAGUGGCCAUUUAUGGCGGGAGGAGUGGGGCGGUUAAAGCGCCGGCACCCCGCCAAGCGCGGCGGUUUUUAUAUAGAAGGGGAAGCGGACAAGCAGAGGAGAUUUGCCGCAAAGCUCCGGCACGGUUUGGCAGAAGAGGGGAGAGGGAGGCAGAUGGAGUGAGUGACCGCGUCGAUGAACUACUGCUACGGCUUGGCAGCUCUUGCAAGUACACGCCAACGGGGGAGAGGACAGUCGGGUAGAAAGUCCAGGGCUCAGAACGUGAACGGCCAAACCGUGCCGCGUUAAAACUGGGAUGACUUUUAGGUGCUACUGCUUGGACAUCGGUAUUUUCUUUGGGUGAUUUUUCGAGCUGUAUAGAACAGCGUACAUUUACGAUUUUACGGUACGCGAAGAAGUGGUAUCGCUUAUUUAGGAAAUAACCAAUUGAAUGGUGUUAUUCCUCUGAUCACGUAUUUAAGCCCACCCAUGUUGAAGUCAAAAGUUCUUUUUAAUUAUGACUAUUAAUAUAUAAAGCGACUAGAAUUAAAUCCUAUUUGACUUGUAACCCUAGACCGUCAGCGUAUAUAAAGCGGCCAGGGACACCCCCGAGGUAACUCCCCUCAACCCAACAAACGUUAACUCUUUGCACCUGCGAUUAGCAAUAUAAUUCAUCAGAACACAGGAGAUAGGGUAUUGCUCUUCGGAGGCUCGAACCUGUCUAAACCUUGCGUCCCUAUGUUACCAUUCGAGUUCUUGGUCUUACAAUCUUGCUCAUCUACAAAUCUACCACCUGGAUAACCUCUAGUGGAUUGCCGAUUAGGUUUAGACAAUUAGGUUCACUAACCAAAAAGUACUUUCAUAUAUGCAUUACUCCUUCCAUUUAGGACGUUCUAAUAUUAUUGAUAUCGCUAAAAGUGUUAGAUUGGAGAUGGUAACUUGAUAUCUCGAAGUGUUACUCCUUCCAUAGCUCGAAGUGCUUUAUGGAUUUGAUGUACAAUUCCUAGUUCCAUGGCCAAACAAGUUUUGAUACUUCGAAUUAGUACGGUUGUGGCACAGAUGGUACGAGUUUUACACCGUGAUGGUCUGAUUCUAAUUGUUACAAAAGCUAUGAUAAAAUUUUGGAACCGUAAUUGGCACAAUGGCACAAAUACGUUUCCUUUUUUGAAGGAAAUGGCGGGUGCAAUGCCAUGUCAUUUAAGUAAAAUUAGCAUAAAUGCCCGUGCAUUGCUACGGUUUCUUACCAACUUCCAAGUUGUCAUCCGCUAGCACCUAGUUCGCUUUCUUCACUUUCUAAUCUGGUUUAGAAUGUUUCAUAAUAUUUGUAUACAUCUCUGAUAAUAAUAAAUGGACAACUCCUUUGAAUUCUGCAUGGCCUAUUUGAACGGUAGAAUCUCAAUUACAUAUGUAAUGUGUCCUACAUCUAGUUCAAACAUGCAUUAAAACUUCUGAUAAGAUUCAGUACUAAUGCAACUCAUGUCUUAGUUAUUAUGAACAUAAGAGAUUAUCCACAAAACUUUCAAGCUAUAAAACGAAAAAAUUAUAAGGCUAAACUAAAUGCUCAGUCCUUGAUUAUAAUAUACUCAACAAUUCAUGCCUGGUCCUGAUAGCCUGAUAUCCUGGUCUAGUUGCUCCAAGAAACAUGAGCAAUCAACAUUAUCCUUCAGCAAUUUGCUCCUCAUAAUAUAGUCAACAAUGACCAAAUGUUCUACAGACUCAGCCAAAUCAGCGUUGGAGGAUUUGACAUUUCUUCCCAGUCUUUUUUGCGGGACCCACAUUAGGCUGGCAAUCCAUGGCAACCACCGGCCAGCACCUUCCUGCCGCUAAACCCCUAGCAUCGCAUGGCCGCCGCACGACGGGGCGGGAAGAGGAGGGGCCGCCGCCCCUCGAGCUCGCCGUGGCCGUGCCGCAACGACUUCGUCCAACCUCCCAACGCCGCUCCUCGAGCUCACCGUUGCCGUGGUGCCGCCCUCCUGAACCUUGUCCCCGACCUCUGCCGCCCCUCAAGCUCCCACUACGGCCCGUGCGUCUACAGUGCUGCCGUCAGCACGAGCUUCCCGCUGCAGCCCGCGCGUUUUGGUGCCGCGGCUCGCAGUCGUCACCGCUGGUGUUGGCCAUGGGGAACAUGACCGGGUUGACGGCGAAGAACAACACAAAUUGGGCUUCCUAAUGCCGAGCGUGAGCUCCCUGCAACCCAAACCGAGCUUCAAACACAAAGCUCGAACUCG
rnacentral:lncRNA from 1 species